AAAUGACAACAUCUUUCCCCAUGAAUGCUAGUAAUAGUCCUUACAGCUACUCCAAAAACUCCUUUUUGCAGGUAAUGAUUUCUUGCUUUGUAGGGUGUAUAAGAAUAAUGUUGAAUAGAGUGUACUAGUACUAGUAAUGUUGGUACUAAUUAUGUGAAAAUGGUACGUAUAUAUCCUUCAGUUAGACGGCGUGCAUGCACCACGUGUCCUCAUUUGAAAGAAACUAACACAUUUUCCCUUAGUUAGUAAUUUAUCCCUGACCUGCCGGAAAAAAUGCUCUACGGCCGGAGUUAGAAGCGAGUUUCCUCACGUGUCCCGAUCCUAAAGAAAUGAUCUGUGACCGUAUUGGUUAUGGUUUGCCAAAAAUACACAUGGGUGAAACUAGCUUCCAACUCCGGCCCGUAGAACAUUUCGCUGGCAGGUCAGGGCAUAAAUUGCUAAGGGAAAAUGGGCUAAUUCCUUUCGGAUGAGGACACGUGGCGCGCACCAUCUAACUGAAGCGUAUAUACGUACCAUUUUCAAUAGUUCAGAGGUAUAAACAUACCCAAAGUUAGACGACAAGGGUACAAAUAACCCAAAAGUACAAUAAAAGGUAUUUACGUACCAUUUUCAAUAGUUCAAAGAGUAUAUAUGACCCUUUUCCGAAAAAUAAUUUUUGGUGUCAUACUAAAGUAACUGAACUUUUUCAUCUAUAAUAAUAGAAUCACUAAACUUUACUGUUAAAUGUGACUUUACUGUUAUAAUUGCAUGCAGAAAGAAGUGUUAGAUAGUGCAAAAGACAUGUUGAGAGAUGCAAUUAUUCAAAACCUUGACAUCAAAAUCAUGUUUUCUUCUUCAAAUAUAUUACAUAUUGCAGAUUUAGGAUGUUCAAUUGGACCAAACACUUUCAUUGCAAUGCAACAUGUUGUACAAGUUCUAAAGGAAAAAUACCAUAAUAACAACAUUCUUGAAUUCCAAGUAUUUUUCAAUGAUCAUGUCACCAAUGAUUUCAACACCCUCUUUCGAUCAGUACCCAUCGAUCGAUCCUACUAUGCAUUCGGAGUUCCAGGAACAUUCCAUGGUAGAUUAUUUCCAUCGCGAUCGAUACAUUUUGCACAUUGUUCUACUGCAAUACAUUGGUUAUCUAAGUGUCCAGAAGAGUUGUUAGAUGAGAAAUCUCCAGCAUGGAAUAAGGGAUUGAUACACUACGCAGGUACAUCAAAUGUUGAAGUGUUGAAUGCUUAUGUUGCUCAAUUUGAAAAAGACAUGGAAAUGAUGGUGAUAAUUUCACCACAAUCAAUUGAACGUCUAGUGAAAUUUUUUGGUUCUUGUCUUAUAGAUUUGGUGAAUGAGGUAAGUAGUUUGUUUGUCUCACUUUUCUUUUUUAAGUAUCUUACAAUAAGAACUUAUAUUUCCUUUUUUUGACAACUUAUUAAUUAGUUUCAGUUUUUAAUGCAUGACACGUUUAUGAUUACAAUAUUAAAAGACACUUUGGUACAUUCCACAUAUAUUUAAUUUGGACCACAAUAUUCAAAAGUCUUCUUUACCUUCUUAAAUUUCAUGUCAAAUCAAAAUAAACAAACAAAUUAAAACGACUUUCUUUUUUGGCAACUUUUAAAUUUCAACUUUUCACUUGACAUGUUUAAGAUCAAAAGAUUAAAGAAUAUUUUGGUACGUUCCACUUAUCUUUAGUUUAGAGACCACAAGAUUCAAUAAUUUUUUUUUAAUUACUUUUUUAAAUUUCGUGUCUAAUCAAAACCAAACAAAAUAAACAAAAUUAGAGAAAAUGCACUGUUUCCACCCUGAACUAUAAAUAAAAUUGUUGAGACAUACUCCAACUUAAAGGGGGUCCUAUAACCCUCCCCCAGACUAAUUAAAAUUGUAUUUUUGGCAACCUUAGUGCCUACGUGGCUCAUUGCGUGAAUCAACACACUGAAGGUCCACGUAGGCACUGAGGUUUUUCAAAAUACGAUUUUAAUUAGUCCAGGGGGUAAUAGGACCCCCUUUAAGUUUGGGUGUAUCUCAACAAUUUUAUUUUUAGUUCAGGGUGAAAAGGGUGCAUUUACCGACAAAAUUAAGCAGAGUAACAAUUAUAGCCAUAUAAUUUUAAUAUUGAUGUUUAUUUCUUUUUGGCAAAGGGAAAAUUAGAUGAAUCUCUAGUUGACUCAUUUAAUGUGCCAGCAUACUCUCCCUCUCCUCAAGACAUGACUAAAGCAGUGGAGAAAAAUGAUUGUUUUAGCAUUAAGAGAAUAGAGUUAACGUAUCCCAAAUCAAAGCUUGUGGAUGAGGCUAACGCAAAGGCUUUACUAAUAAGUUUAAGGGUUGCUUUAGAAGGAGUUUUCAUUAAUCAUUUUGGAAGUGAAAUAGCAGAAGAAGCUUUUGAAAGGACUAUCCUCAAAAGCGAUGAAACUUCAACAUGGAUGAAAACGAAUUAUAAAAAAGCAUGUCAAUUAUUUAUCGCUUUGAAGCGUAAAUAAGUUUCUAUAGAGAAAUUCAUAUAUUAUAUAAUUCAGGUCUAUGGUGUGAUGUGACACAUCUCAUAGAUUGAAAUUUUUAUUUGUCUAUUUUUUUAAAUAUUUUUGACUUUAUCAUCGUACCUUUCACUUAGGGGUCGUUUGGUAGAGUGUAUUGAAAUGUUAAUGCAUCCAUUAGUUUAAUAUGUAUUAGUAGUACCUUGUUUGGUAUACCUUUUUACCCUAUGUAUAACUAAUGCAAGCAUUAGUUAUACACUCUAUUGUGUAUUAAAGUGUGUAUUACUAAUACCUCAAAAUCCAUGGCAUUAGUAAUGCAAUGGAUCUAAUGCACGCAUUAACAUGCUUAAAGACCCUAUUACCCCUCAAAAAAUUUUCUGCAUCCUUUCCAACAUAUAUAUUGAGGGUAUUAUAUAACAAAAAAUUUUUUUUAAUAGAAAUUAUGUAAUUCAUAAUUUUUUUAAUACAUUGAACCAAACACUACAUAAGAAAAAUACAAGCAUAAUUAAUGCCAGCAUAACAAACACAAGCAUUACUAAUACACCAUAUUUUGAAUUAUUCUUAUACACUCUACCAAACGACCCCUUAAUUUGUUCUACAAUUACAUUAAACUACCCACAAUAUGCUUGUAGAAAAUGUUGUCAAUCCUUCUUUUGUAGCACUUUUUUCAAGCUUCAGUGUGACAAAACUAGCCCAAACCUAUUUGACCAGCCCAACUCACAAAGUGAUUUUGAAGAUGUACUGAUUUGAGUCAGCACAAUUGAACCAUCAUAAAUCAACCCAAUGGGCUCAUAAUGAUGCCCAACUUUGUCCCAUAAAGAUAUUUAAACCUACUACUUAUAGUCCAAUUUUUUUAUAUUUUUAAUUUUUUUUAGUUGCUUCAAUUAUAUUCUUUUUCCGUCUUGAAAAAAUUAUUGUAAUAAAUAAUUUUUUAAUAAAAAUAAAGUGAAUUUAAUUCCCCCGAAACUCUAUACCCAGUAUUGGCCGGCUGACGGUGUAAUACGCGCGCCACUCUCGUUUUUACACGUGUAUCCAACCUCAUAUUUACACUUGUCCAAGUGGACAGAUAUAUGCUAUUAAAAUGCGAAAAAAAAAGUCUAGGGAUAAUAGGACCCCCGCAAAGUUCUGUAUGCGCUCAACUGAAAAUCUGAUCAAAGUUCAGAUAUUUUUGUGAGUAUUAUCCCUAAAACAUAUGAGCAUGCAUUUUAAAUUGAGGUUUCUUUCUUUUUUUAUGUAGGGAAUGCUAGAUGAAUCUCUAUUUGACUCGUUUAAUUUGCCAAUGUAUUUUCCUUCUCCUGAAGAUAUGACUAAAGUGGUGGAGAAAAAUGAUUGUUUUAGUAUUGAGAUAAUGGAGUUGACAUAUCUCAAAUCAAAGCUUGUGGAAGAGACUGAUGCAAAGACUUUAUAAUGAUAAAUCUAAGGGCUGUUUUAGAAGGACUAAUAAUAAAUCACUUUAGAAGUAAAAUAGCAAAAGAAGCUUGUGCAAGGACUAUUCUCAAAAGUAAAGAGAUUUCGACAUGGAUUAAAGCGAAUUAUGAGAAAUCAUGUCAAUUGUUUGUCGCUUUGAAGCAUAAAUGAAUUUCUAGGGAGGAAUCUAUGGCAGAAGUUUAGUAACUAGUCGAGCAUUGUCUAAGUAAUUUUCCUUUAAAAUAUUGUCAUUAUUAUCUGCAUUUUAUUUGCUUCGCUUGCUAUAUUAUUUGUUGUUUCUACUGUUCUUGUGACUCUUAUUUUUAGCUAUUUAUUGUUGCUACUGAACUGUUUUUCAUUAUUUUUAACCUAACUUCUUCAAUGAUGUAUUUUCCCUUUUCUUUCAUACUUUGUGAUAUACUAUUUAUUUUGCUUGAACCAAGAAUCUGUUAAAAACACCUCUCUGACUCCAUGGGGGGACUAAUGAUGAUAAUGUACUAAAAUAGUCAACACACAUUCAUAUUUGAAACUUUUCGAAAAAUUGCUCGAGCUUUAGUAAAAUUUAGAGCACAAUCAUAUUUGAAAUGAUUUAUUUCUGAAAGAUCUCUGAUUAAAGGGGAGAUCCCUGAUUUUGUGCAAACGACUUUGUCAAAGAAAAUAACUGAGUAUCCGAAACUCAGAGAGAAAAAAAAAGACUCUGAUACCAAGUUGAAUAAAGAGAGAUUCAGAACAUUACAGAUAAAGGGAUCGUGAUUUCUUUCACGAAUUAGAACAGUAGAGUAUACAUUGAAUUUAUAAAAAGAAAGGGGUCAUAAUUGUCUUCUAAUUACUAGCCUUUCUAAUUACUAGCCUAGUAACCUGAUAGAUCCCUGAUUUAUUCUAAAGGAUCUCUGAUUAAAGGGGAGAUCCCUGAUUUUGUACAAACGACUUUGCUAGGAAAAAAAAACUGAAUAUUCCGAACUUAGAAAGAGAAAAAAAUGAGACUCUGAUAUCAAGUUGAAUAAAGAGAGAUUCAAAACAUUAAAGAUAGAGGUAUCGUGAUUUCUUUCACUAAUUAGAACAGUAGAGUGUACAUUACUUUAUACAAAAAAAAAAAGUAGCUCUAAUUGUCUUCUAAUUACUAGCCUAGUAACAAAGGAUAUCUCUGAUUUAUGAUUAAAGGAUCUCUAAUUAAUGGGGAGAUCUCUGAUUUUCACAAUGCUAAAUAAGCUACGGACUAAAUAAGAUACAUAUUUUAUGAAGCUAAAUAAGCUACGGUUAAUAACUUCCAUCUCAUACUAUUUCAUCUCGAGCUAUCAUCGUUGGCCUUGACAUGAAACCACUAUCUAAGCAUAUAUUUUCAGCCUGAACUUGUGUGCUUAUCCUCUUUGAAUGCAUAAUAAAAUAGCUUUCUCGUUAUAUAUAUUUCACAAAUAAAAUAAAGCAUAAAUUCAUGAAUAAUUUACUAUAUAUAUUAACCGUCAACUAAAUAUUGCAUUAGUUAUAUCAAGAUUAUUUUUUUUCUUAUACAUCCAACCAAACAUAGUGCAUUAAGUAGUUAUGCAUAGAUCAUUUUUUUUCUACCAAUCAAACCGUUUAAAUUGGAUUUGUUAUGUUUUAAAAAGAUACUUUCUGCGUUUGGUUUUACUUCAUUAAUAAAAAUAAUGUUUACAUUGUCUUAAAAUUAAUUUAAAGAAAAUAUAACUAAUGCUAAGGGUAAAAUAGGAAAAAAGAAAUUUUUUUUUUUUAUAUGUCAAAAAUGACUGUGAAAGUAGAAACACAAUUAGGAAAUUAGUGACAAGUAAAAGUGAACAGAGGAUGUAUUAAAUAUUCAUUCUCGUCUUACAAGUCAACUGUGUGUGAUAUUAUCAUCCAUUUUGAUAAGAUUAUUCUUGAGGAAUAAAUUUAAAACAUAAAUGGUUCCAAAUCAAUUAUUUUUCCUCAAAUUCAACAAUAAUUAUAUUAACGUUGAAAGCAGAGUCUCGUGCUGAUAACGUAUUAUGAAAUAACUAAGAAUAAAGAAGAAAAGUAUAGAGAGAAUAGAUCAACUAGAUUUUGAUAGAUCUUAUCUAUAUAGACAUUCAAUAUAAUGUAAAUACAUUUAUAACAUAUGUAUUAAAUUUAAACAAAUAAAUCCAAGACUUUUUAUUAAGUUUUUUUUUAGGCUAAUUUCCUGCUUUUAUAAAGUAAAAAAUUUAAUAGCUUGUUUGGUUGAAGUGAUAAAGAAAAAUACUUAAAUAGUAUAAAAUCUCUCAUAAAUAUAGAAAUUACAAAUUUAACUCAUGAAACCAUGAUUUGUCCAACUUACUCAAAUUUAUUAAUUUAUCUCAUUUAAAAGUGAAUUAGGUUGAUAAGUAGUACAAAUUAACCCAUAAAAAAAUUGUCAUAAUAUUUUUUUGGAGAUUAUAAAUUAUAUAUAGCUAUAAUAAAAAAAAUAAUUUUAUUAAUUCAUCACAGAAUUAUAAAAGGACAAAUAAAAAAAAUUGUAACUUAAUAAGAAUUUAUUUCUGUCCAACACAUGCAUGCCAUUUAGUCAAAAUAAAGCAAUUUAAUUUCUUUGGCCCAACACUAUUUUAGUGAAAUUGCCAACAUUUCUCUGGUUGCUUGAUUAUGAAAUGUCUCAUUAUAAUCACUUUUAGUAGUUUGAUAAAUAUGAUUAACUGACUAUAUUUAUGUAAUAUUAAAAUUGGUUCCCAGCUAAUCAAACACAAACCUCCAUUCACCCUGUGCAUUCAUUUUGGGAUAUUUUCAAAAAUAUACCAUUUGAAAAAAAUAAUUAUAUUAUUAGCUCGUUGCAUGGGCUUUACCUAGUGCGGUUUACAUCUCCUGUGUGGUUUACGAGCAAUUGCACAGCGAGGGGUUUACCCAGUGCUCACCACAGAGUGCUCACCCAAAGGGCAGAUGUUGUAGCGGCUCUAGGUUAUCUUGAAAUUUCAAAAAAAAAAAAAAAACAUUAUGCGACUUUAUAUAAUAUUAUGAAUUUACGGUAUAAAAAUCUCUCUCUCUCUCUCUCUCUCUAUAUAUAUAUAUAUAUAUAUAUAUAUAUAUAUAUAUAUAUACUAGUUUAGCUAGACAUGCCUCGCACGUGUAACAUUUGAUUAUUUAAAAUUAAAUGAUUUUAUCUAUUGCAAAGAUUUUAAUGAAGUGUAAAAGUUUAAAUCACUUUAAAAGAUUCUUCACACUUUAAUAUAAUAACGUAAACAUAAACAUACUUUUUACUGUAAGCACACAUAUAUAUUUUGCAUCAUCACUUUUACGUUUGUUAUGCAGUACCUCCUUCCCUUGAUGUCAUAGACUAAGAGAGACGCAACAAUUUGAAUCAUAUUUGUGAUAUGGUUAUUUUUUUUUUUGUUUCUAUAUUUAAAAUUCUUCCUUGUUUUUAAAGUCAAAUAUUUACAAAUUCAUUGUUAUUACGUACUUAAAACUUUUUAAAAUUUGGAACUUUUUGAUUUUUUUCUUAUUUUAACGCUUUUACAUUUAUUUCUAGGUUUUUCAAAUCUUCUUUAAAUCACUUAAAACUUUUAAACAUUUGGUACUUUUUGAAUUUUUCUUAUUUUAACGCUUUUAUAUUUAUUUCUAGAUUUUUCAAAUCUUCUUUAAAUCAAAUUUAGUUGAUUUAGAAUUCUAAAAUUAAUGAAAAAAAAUAUUAGUUAUCAUUAAUUCUGAUGACUUCUAAUAAGGAAAGAUUUUACCAUAAAUAUAUUUAAUUAAUUUUCAACUCUUUUAUAUUAGUAAAAAAAAUAGUGAAAGAUUUUACCAUAAAUAUAUUUAAUUAAUUUUCAACUCUUAAAUAUAAAUAUUAGAAAAAAAUAGUGAACAUACGAUUUUGUCUAAUGCAAAAAACUUUUAAUGAAGGGCAAAAAGUUCAAAUUACAUUUCUAAGACCCUUCACACUUUUAAUAUAUUAUAGAUAUAUCACACCCCUUUUUCCACUCCGAAAGGAUAAGAUUUUCAGUUUGAAAGGAUUUUUAUUAUUAAAGUGACAAAAGAUUAAAAAUUUAUUUUGAAAAAGGACUAUUUACAUUUUUUAUUCAGAGUCGUCACUUGGCAUAAUCCGGUGUGCCAAGUCACCUUUGGAAAAUCCUUUUCAAAACUGUUUUGACUUUUUUAAAACUGGUUUGCGAACAGAGAUUCCAGCUAAGGAAUUCUGUUGACCGAGGAAAAGGUGUUAGGCACUCCUCGAUUCCGUGGUUCGACCAUGGUCGCUUGGUAGAGUGUAUCGGCUAAUUUUAAUACUAUGAAUGUACAAACCACACACAAAAAAAAGAUCAAUCAAACAAACAAAUCCAAAACAAUGUCCAGUCCAAAUUAUACAAUCCCAAAAAUUGUAAUAAAAAAAUGCAAAAAUGUAAAUCGUAUUCUAAACUAAUCCUAGACUAAUGCUCUACCCAACGCUUCGGGUCUUUCUCACGAAUGUAUUUCGAGUACAAGAUACCUCGGGGCAUUCCCCGACUAAAUAAAUACAUUUUUCAGUGUCAGAAAAUCUAAACUAUUCAAUAGAACUUCAAACAUUCAACAGAAUUUCAAAUAUUCGACCAAACACUUAAUCCUAAAUUUUUGCCUACCCAAACCUAUAUUUACCUAUCCGUUGCAACAUGAUCCUAUCAAGUUCACAAACCUGAUAUUUAUUCCAAAUUAAACAAAGCAACAAUAGAUCAAAGUUAACCCAAAUGCAUCUUACCAAACAUGCAAUUCCCAUCCCUCAUUUCAUGCUCAAUCACACGCUUAAUUCAUUCUUCGAUUAACGAUUCAAUUUUCUCUUCAAAAUCCAAAACCAACCUCAACCGUACACACAAAAAAUAUUCAAGCAUGGCAAGCACACAAAGACAUUCAUCUACAAAAAUAAUCGAGAUUCAAGAUAAAGAUAGAGAACGAGAGAAGAAAUGGACCUCAAAUUUUGCUUUUAUGAAUGUUAUCCUGUUGAAACAAAAGAGAAUUCGCGCCGAGAACCUCGACAAUGAACCAAACUCCAACCCGGUAUUUGGGAAAUUGUAACCUCGAACAGAGUAUUUGGGAAAUUGUAACCUCGAACAGAGUAGCAACAGAGCAAUCUGCCCAGAAACUAUUUCAACAAAGGAAAAUCGAUGAACCCAAAGCCCGAUUUUGAAACUAAAAUGCUAAGACAGAUGAUCCAAAGCCUCAGUCAACACAAUAAAAGACCAAAACUGAUGUAUCUUGAGCUUCGGUGAGCUCAGACGGAAGCAAAACACAACGGAUUAAGACAGAUUCUGGAUCGACGAGGCCUAAAACCGCUGGACAACCACUGGUUCCGGCGAGACUAGCUGUUUGACUGUUUCCGACCAGAUUCAUCCAAGAUAGGGAGAAAACCUAGAGAUUCCGGUGAAGUAGUCGCCUGAACAGUGACUAAACGCACAAAAAAAUCUUUUUCCCCUUUGAUUCUCACUUCAUCUCACCCACUUUUCUUCUUUUCUCAUUGUUUUCACUCAUGUUUUCGAAUUUCAAUCAGUGUGUAUGUAGUGUGUUUGUGAAGAAAAGAAAGAAAUGAAAAUGGAGCUCUUUAAGUGGUCUGUGUUAGGAGUGUGCAUCAAUGGUGGAGUUCUAUUGUUGUUCUACCAUGGAAAUUAAAAAAAAAUGGAGGUGGUCUAUAUUUCUAAAGUGGGGUGAGGGUCAAAGAAAGAAAGAAAAAACAUUGAGAGUCGUUCCCUGAUGAAGAUGAUCCUAAAAAAAAAAUGGGUCCUCUUUUCCUUUUCCUUUGUGAUCAAGAAAUGUGAGGAAAAAAACGGGGGCACUUGAGUGGGGGGUGAGAUGAUUUAUUUUGAUUGGGUAGGUUGUUAGGAUAAGAUAAAAUUAGGUAGAGGUUAUUGUUUUGUUAUUUUGUGGAGGGAUUAUAACAUGGGUGAGGGUACAUGGUAGGAUAAAGUAAAAAAUAGGUAAAAAUAAUAUCGGGGAGAAACGAAAUUAGGUGUCUACAAGAUAUAGAUUAUAGAUUAUAAAUUAUAUAUAUAUAUAUAUAUAUAUAUAUAUAUAUAUAUAUACACGUGCAUAAUGUAUAAGAGGUGUUUAAAUAUACUUUUAGGUUGACAUCUUAUACAUAAUUAUACACAUUUAAAUAUCAGUUCAUAUAGGCAAAUAACCCUUCCCUCUUUACUAGGUUCCUCUUUUUUUCCCUAUUUAUUUGUGUCACCUUGACAUAAUAACCCUUUUUAUAAAUCCAAAAAACUUAUUGCUUCAUCAAUGCAACUGUUUGAGUUUUCAACAGUGAAAUUUUACAAAUAAUGAUGACAAAAAUAGUUUUCUCAUAUAACAAAUAAAGUUCAGCUAUUUUGGUAUUACAGUUGGUAAAGUAUAUAUGAGUUGUAUAUAUUUACUAUUUAAAAAAAAAAUACUUAUUUGUCAAAGCGUGGUGUUAAACAGUGCAACUGCAUCCACAUUAUAUCUCUGUAUAAGAACAUGCAUGUGUGAAGAAAAUAUUGAGAAAUAAGGUGAAGAAAAAGCAUAUAUAUAUAUAUAUAUAUAUAUAUAUAUAUAUNNNNNNNNNNNNNNNNNNNNNNNNNNNNNNNNNNNNNNNNNNNNNNNNNNNNNNNNNNNNNNNNNNNNNNNNNNNNNNNNNNNNNNNNNNNNNNNNNNNNNNNNNNNNNNNNNNNNNNNNNNNNNNNNNNNNNNNNNNNNNNNNNNNNNNNNNNNNNNNNNNNNNNNNNNNNNNNNNNNNNNNNNNNNNNNNNNNNNNNNNNNNNNNNNNNNNNNNNNNNNNNNNNNNNNNNNNNNNNNNNNNNNNNNNNNNNNNNNNNNNNNNNNNNNNNNNNNNNNNNNNNNNNNNNNNNNNNNNNNNNNNNNNNNNNNNNNNNNNNNNNNNNNNNNNNNNNNNNNNNNNNNNNNNNNNNNNNNNNNNNNNNNNNNNNNNCCACCCCCUUCGUCUUCACUCACACACACAGAGAUCGUCCUCAUCCCCCUCCCCCGUUGUCUUCAUUUUUUCAUUCUUGAUAAGCAAAAUCAUCAAAAUAACAAAUUGUAAAUCAGCAAAAUGUCAAAUUUUACAAAAGAACCCAUCACAGAUUAAACAAAAAUAUUUAUAUUUAAAUCAUCAAGAGCAAAUAGUAAACCAUCAAAAUUUUGAAUUUUGCGAAAAACCCAUUAUACAUUAAGCAAAAUCAAACCAACCCAAAAAUAAAAUACAUUAAAAUAAUGCAAAAUGGGUGUAUUUCAACUUUUCUAAGUUCGAUUCUCCAUUCUUGACAAUUUCGAGCAACAAAAUUGAAGACACGAUGCAACAAUAUUUGAAGCAAAACCAAAAAAGUUUGCUAAACAAAGAGAAAAUGAAAAAUCUCCAUCACCAACUAAAAGUAUUUGAUGAAAUGAAGAAUAAUAUUGUAUUAUUUUCUCUUCUUCUUCAUCGUCUUCAUUUAUUACUAUUGGGUUUUCUUCUUCUACUGCAUCCACCAUAGCUAUUGCACUUUUUCAUUUUUAUUUUUUGCUUUCUUGAUUGUACUGGUACUAUUGGGGGUUGACAACGAUUUGUUGGGGGUGCGGGUUGAUGAAGACGACGAUGAAUGUGAUUGGGGACGAUCUGGGGGUGGGGGUUGAUGAAGACGAUGAUGAAUGGGGUGGGGGUGCUUUUAUUUUAUUUUUAAUUAAAAAAUUAUAAUAAUUCAAAAUUAUGUUAGUCAAAUAAUUUAAAUAUAAAUUUUUUAAUUAAAAAAAUGAAAUAUUUUUUAUUUUACUAUUCACGCACCCAAGAAGAGUGUAACACACUCUUCUUGCCAAAUCAACAUUUUGUGCCUAAUAGGUAUCAAUUUUAGCACUUGAGGUGUCUGAUAGGUACAAGCCUUAAUUUAGGGGGUUAUGUGAAUUUUCGAGACAACUUUGAGGUCCUAUCGAUGGAUUUGGCCUUAUUCAANNNNNNNNNNNNNNNNNNNNNNNNNNGAUGGUCCUUAUAGCUACUUCAAAAACUUCCAUUUGUAGGUAUUAAUUAAUAUAUAUUUUAAUUAGUGCCACUUAAGUAUUUAGUAGAUAUCUUUUGAUUUACCUUACCUAGGUUAAACUCUAUUUUAUAAUUGCAUGCAGAAAGAAGUGUUAGAUGGUUCAAAAGAGAUGCUGAGAGAUGCAAUUACUGAAAAGCUUGACAUCAAAAAAAUUAUGUUAUCAUCUUUAAACACAAUACGUAUUGCAGAUUUGGGAUGUUCAGUUGGACCAAACACUUUCAUUGCAAUGCAACAUGUUGUACAAGCUCCAAAAGACAAGUACCAUGAUAACAUUCUUGAAUUUCAAAUAUUUUUCAAUGAUCAUGUUACUAAUGAUUUUGUUAAGGCAUGUGGAGUUUUGAUGAUAUACAUGUGAAUGAAACAUGUUGUGAAAGUUGGUCCAUUUAAGUGUACAAAGAAAAGUUGCAGGCAAGACUGUUGAUAAGAUGAUAUUGCGCAUAGACAGGAGUGGAUAAGCAAGAAUAUUCAGGAACCUUCUCAAACACUUAUCACUUUAGUAAAGUGGAAGAAAAAUGCGAUACUCAGAAGUUGAGUUGAUCUAGAAGUCCAACAAUGAGAAGAGUUCUGCAAGGAUAAAGGAUAAAGCAAAAGAGUCCUAUUCAACCAGGGGAGGAGAAACGGCUACAACAAGGAGUGAAGUUACUUGAUAGAGUUGAAAGAAGAAAGAAGCAUAAAUCAACUAGGACUCCAUCAACUAGGACUCCAUCACAGGUGUAUUACAAGUGUGCAUAUAUACAACAAAGCACGAUCAAGUAACUCACUCAAUGCACUAAAAAGAAAUUGAACUAUCAGCAAAACAUUUCUCAUACUUCAAGAAGAACCUUGUUCCUUACUUAAGUCGUAGACUAUGUGUAGUAGGUAGGUUCUUUGAGUUGUAAAAAGUCAUUGUUCUAGUCUCAGUGAUCUAUAAACUGAGUUAGGAGUUGCGUCUUCAAGUUAGGGAACUCGAAGACUUGGGAACACUUAUCUUGGGAAGAUUUGUGUUUUUGUAGUGAUAGGAGUUAGAAGUUUUAAUUCCUAGUUUACAAGAAGUCUUGUAACUUGAUUGAUUGUUGAGGCUCAAGUAUUAUAGUGAAGUUGGGGUUAAAUCCUGUAGAGGUACAGGUCGUAAUUUUCUACUACAGUUAGAAAGGUUACACUAAACCUUUACAUUGCUGAUAUUGCUAGGAUUCUGCAUAUUCCCUCUGGGUGGUGGGGUCACUAUGUCAAAGGAAGUUUGCCACCUCUUGAUAAUCUUGCCUCGGCUCUUGACAUAUGUAGAAAGUAAUCUGAGAAUCCCCACUUGGUCAAUCAUAGAAAGUGUUUAAGAGGGAGAUGUAUCCUCUUCACCAACUAUACUUUGAUGUAGUGCAUAAGAUAAUUCUUCCUAGGAAGGAAAAAAGGACUGUGGCUAGCUUUCUUGAUCUCACUCUCAUGAAAUUAUUAGAUACUGAAGUAAGAAUUAAUUUGCCUCGACUCAUACUAAAGCAUAUGCAAAGGGUUCUACUCAAGGAAGUAAAUGGACAUGCUCUAUCUUAUCAAUUCUGGCUCACCCCCAUAUUUGAGGACUUUGGUGUUUCUAUUCAAGUGUGGUCUUCACAGGCUACCAAGUAUAUCAUAGGUCAUGUGAACCACAUAAUGCUACCUGUUUCCAUGAGGAGUAUUGAUAAUCCGAUGCAAAGAUUGAGAAAUUCACUAGCUGAAAAACAAGCUGAGGUAGAAGUUGUUUAGGCAGCUUUGGAGGCUGCACAGGCUGCUCAUGAAGAAGAAAAAGGGAUCCUACAUGCUCAAAUUGCUUCCCUUAAUUCCUUGUUGGAAAAAGAGAUAACUGAAAAUGCAGAUGUUAUUAGGAAACUCACCUCUCUUAUUCCCUCCCCUGCUUCUACUUAGCCUCUUGACUGAUAUCUAAAGCCUAUCUACUUUUCUUCCUUUCCCUGUUAGCUUAUUCUCUCUUAGUUUACUUUUUGGUAUAUGUCGUCAUCUCUAUUAAUGAAUGAAAUAGGCUUAGUUGUUUUACUAUUUUCUGCUCCUGUUUUCUCAUAUUGCAUUCAUGUUCUCUUAUUCUGAAUUUUGAUUGUCUUAGUGAUAGCCUCAAUGGCCAUGAAUUAUUAGACAUUUUUCACUUGGUGAGCCAGCUUUUCGAUGAUGUCAAAAGGUGGAAGAGUAGGCUAUGCAAUGAUUAUAACUCAAUUGGACUAACCUAUUUCAUUUUGUGCUAUUCUUUUAUUCAAAUUCCUUAUUGAGUAUGUCAGGGGUAUGUGAUGUUGUGCUGCUAUGUUUGUCAUCAUCAAAAAGGGGGAAUUUGUUAAGGCAUGUGGAGUUUUGAUGAUAGACAUGUGAAUGAAAGAUGUUGUAAAAGCUGGUCCAUUCAAGUGUACAAAGAAAAGUUGUAGGCAAGACUACUGAUAAGAUGAUAUUGCACAUAGACAGGAGUGGAUAAGCAAGAAUAUUUAGGAACCUUCUCAAAACUUAUCACUUCAGUAAAGUGGAAGAAAAAUGCAAUACUCAGAAGUUGAGUUGAUCUAGAAGUCCAACAAUGAGAAGAGUUCUGUAAGGAUAAAGGAUAAAGCAAAAGAGUCAUAUUCAACCAGGGGAGGAGAAACUGCUACAACAAGGAGUGAAGUUACUUGCUAGAGAUGAAAGAAGAAAGAAGCAUAAAUCAACUAGGACUCUAUCACAGGAGUAUUAAAAGUGUGCAUAUAUACAAUAAAGCACGAUCAAGUAACUCACUCAAUGCACUGAAAAAAAUCAACAAUCAGCAAAAUAUUUCUCAUACUUGAAGAAGAACCUGUUUCCUUACUUAAGUCAUAGACUAUGUGUAGUAGGUAGAUUCUUUGAGUUGUAAUGAGUCAUUGUUCUAGUCUCAGUGAUCUAUAAACUGAGUUAGGAGUUGUGUCUUCAAGUUAGGGAACUCAAAGACUUGGAAACACUUAUCUUGGGAAGAUUUGUGUUUUUGUAGUGAUAGGAGUUAGUAGUUUUAAUUCUUAGUUUACAAGAAGUCUUGUAACUUUGUUGAUUGUUGAGGAUCAAGUAUUAUAGUGAAGUUGGGGUUAAAUCCUAUAGAGGUACAGGUCAUGGUUUUUUACACCUUUCUUGAGCCGGGUGUUUUCCACGUAAAAACACUUUUUUAGCUUUUACUUCUGUGAACCACGUUUACUUACCUGUUCCACUAAUAGGCAAUUAGUAGGGCUCGUACUCUAACCAGUGGUAGGAUUUCUUAAAUAAGGCUAGAACCUAAGAAAAGAUCAACAUGAUGAAUUUCGCACCUCCUACUAGUCACAGUGAAGGCCAGUCAACUACUAGACUUCCACUUUUUUAUGGCUCUCAUUUUAUCUGGUGGAAAGCAAGGGUGGAGAUGUUUAUUCAAGGUGAAGACUAUUAAUUGUGGGACAGGAUUACUGAUGGUCCUACUAUUCCAAUGAAGAUGGUAUAUGGUGAACAAGUCAAGAAGGUAAGGAGUGAGUUUACUCCUAAUGACUUAUUGGCGUUGAAGAAAAAUGAAAAGGCCAAGAACAUAUUGGUCUAUGGAUUAGGACCUGUUGAAUAUAACAAGGUAUCUACCUGUACUACUGCUAAGCAAAUCUGGGAUGCACUGGUGAAUGCCCAUGAAGGCACCUUGCAAGUAAGAAAAUUCAGGAUCUCUCUUCCAUGUACUGCGUAUGAGGCAUUCAAAAUGAAAGAAAAUGAAACCCUGCAUGAAAUGAUGACAAAUCUUACCACCUUGACAAAUGAGUUGACUUUCCUGGGAAAGAUCAUCUCUGAGGAGGAAUAAGUUGAAAAAGUACUAAGGAUAUUGCCUAGAUCAAAAUGGAAUGUUAAGGUAACUGCAAUCAGGGAGGCAAAUAAGGAGCUUGAAGGAAUGACCCUGGAUGAACUAGUAUGGAACUUAAGGACUUAUGAAAUGAAAAUUGAUGGAACCAAAGAACAAGCUACUGAAGAUAUGACUAAAGUGGUGUAGAAAAAUGGUUGUUUUAGCAUUGAGAUAAUGGAGUUGGCAUAUUUCUAAUCAAAGCUUGUGGAUGAGGCUGAUGAAAGACUUUAAUGAUAAAUCUAAGAACUUCUUUAGAAGGACUAAUAAUAAAUCACUUUGAAAGUGAAAUAGCAGAAGAAGCUUGUGCAAGGACUAUUCUCAAAAGUGAAGAAAUUUUGACAUGGAUGAAAGUUAAUUACGAGAAACCAAGUCAAUUAUUUGUCGCUUUGAAGCACAAAUAAACUUAAGUGUGAAGGAAUCAAUAUAUUAUAUGAUGUGGCACAUCUUACGAGCAAGCUUUCUAAUUAUGUUUUUCUUUAAUGUUUUUGUGUUUUUUCUCAUUUCUUUCACUUUAUGUUCUUUAUAUAAUAUAUACAAUGAAAAUUAAAAGUUCUCUUUGUCAAUAUGUUCUUAAUUUGCCUCCCUCUCUUGCUCUUCUUCUACCCACUAGUAUGUUUUAUGUUUUAAUUCCUCCAUGCAAAAAAUAGAAAUGUAUCCCAAGGAUGUAUUUGUUGGUUUCUCACAUCAGUGGGUUAAAGGGUCCUUGGUCUCCUUAUAUGGUCUUGGGCAAUCCUCCCCUCAUGAGCUAGCUUUUGAGGUUGAGUUAGGCCAAAGUUUCAUUUAUUUAUCAGUAUUCAGAUGACAUUAAAACGAUAAGAGGAUCAUUCAUCGAGAUGACCUUCAUUUGGGGUGAUAAAGUAAUGUACACACAAGACAAAAUAGGGUUUUUUUGUCAAGAAGACUACUCAGGAUGCGAUCAUACCAACACUAACGCAUUGGAUCCCAUUAGAACUUCGAAGCUAAGCGUUCUUGGACGAGAGUAGUGUUAGGAUAGGAGACUCCCUGGAAAGUCCUCGUGUUGCAUCCCUUCUUUGAAAGAGAGUCUUGGAGUAGCUGGUAAAGUUACGUUGUUGUCAUAUGGACAGUAGGUCACAGUUUCAAGACUUGGAAACAGCCUCCGACAGAAAUACAAGGUAAGAUUACGCAAAAUACACCCUUGUGGGUGGGACCCUUUUUCGAACCCUGCGUAUUGCGGAAGCUUUAGUGCACCGAACUGCCCUGACUACUCAAGUGAGAGGACCAAAGUAGGUAUAUUUAACUAUGGAUUGAAGGGAGGGUGUCAAAGUGUCAAACCUUACAUCGAAAUGUGUUUGUGAUACCCAAAGAAACAGUAACUAAAGAUAACCAUAAAGUAACCAACAUGGGUUGUGGUGCAGCAGAUGAGGCUGCUCCACCCUUAACCAGAGGUCGAUGGUUCGAUCCUGGGCAUGGAGAAAAACUCUGUUGGGAGCUCUACCCCCCAAAUGGGACCUUACCCGGCAUGAAUACGGAUUAGUCGGGCUCCAAUGCGGGUACCGAACACUGGAUGGAAAAAACAAAAAGAUAACCAUAAAGUCAAGUCAUGUUACAGUUGUGACAAGUGCAAAAAGGUUGUAAAUUGUACUAAUAGAAAGGAAAAUAAUAUCUCAAUAAUUUACUAUACAAAUUUUGCCCAUACAAUACCAAUUAAUUAUUUGAUUGAAAUCAUCUUUUGUUAGGACAUACAAUCGAUCAAUUUUCACUCAUAUUUUCAUUUUUUAUUUUCGUGCGCACGUGCUUAUAUAGGGUCGAGACUUCAUUUAUGAGAUUAUAUUGAGUAUAUUUUUUUAUAUAAAGCGAUAUAUCAAGUUAUCUUUAUUUUUGCAACACAUAUGACAUUUUUUUCAAAGUUAAAAUUUUCAUUUUAUAUGUUGGCCGUUUUUUUAUAUAGUUGAACUCUAUAUAAGCACAAGCAUCAAAUCAAAUAACUGUUUAUUGAAUUUGUGGGCAAGAUAUAAGGUUAUAAUGGUUGUCGAAUUAUUGGAGAUAUAUUUGUUUCCUUUUACAACUUGUUAGCAUUUAUCACAUGAAAAUAUAUAUGAUGUUAUCUUUAGUUAUUGUUUUGGCAAUAUAUAUGAAAAGCGAAGCUGAGAUGAUCAGAGCAUAGGUAAAUAAAGAGUAUAAAUAUUUCAGUGAAGAGGUGCGAGACACGCUGACGGUGAUAUAUUUGAGGAGAUCGAGGUAGACCAGGGAAGAAUUAGAAAAAAGGUAAUUAGAUAGGACGUGUAUAACACAUUUUCAACUCACUGAGAACAUGACGACCUUAGCUAGAUAGGAGAGCAAGAAGGUCGAAGAUUCAUUAUUGGAGUUGGUCAAGAUUGGAGAUAAUAGAUAGAUUUAAUUAGAUCAAAACACUCCAAUAUUAUCAAGAUAUUGUUAGGAUUUUUGCCCUGAUACUUUAUUUUUCUUGAAAGAAAAAUAUAAAACUUUUUCAUAUUUGGCAAAUCUCUUUCUCGGAGGAAAGAUUUUGAUCAUCUAUGAAUAGAAACUCCUCUUUCAUACCUUAACACAAUAACAUCCAUAAUGUAGUAAUUUAAGAGUUUUGUUUAGGGAGAGAUUUUCUCUCUCAUUAGUUUCUAUGUUUUUAAUAUUAUGUUUUAUAUGUAGGCCGAUUGUCCAAAUAAUAUAAUAAUAUUAAGUUUUUAGUAUUAUUUUUUUGUCUCCUGAAUUGUCACCACAAUGAUUUGCAACUAAUAGCUUCCGCAUGACACCCUCUCGAUUUCGAACCCAACAGAUGUAAGGUAUAGUCUUUUAUUAGUUAUACCAAAAUUAUUAUUUUUUUCCUUAUACAACUAACCAAGUGCACUGCACAUGUUAUGCAUGGAUCAUUAUUUUUAGGUCAAAUUCAUCGAUAGGCACUCAAACUUGUUGCUAAAAUUCACUUAGAACCCUCAACUAUGUCUUAUACCUAUCAGGCCUCUAAACCCCUCAAAUUUUGUUUCAAUUGGGCAUUUUCUUUGACAAUCAACUAUAAAUUUAAAGUGUGUGAAUUACACUCGCGGUGACGUGGCAAUUUAACAAAUAGAAUAAUGACACGUGGCUGUAUGAGUAUAAAAAUUAUUUUAAAAUAUAUUAAAUUAAAAAAAUUAUUUUAAAUUAAAAAAAUAAACCUUCUUCUUCAUCUUCACUCUUCUUCUCCAUCUUCACUCUUCUUCUUCAUUUUCACUCCAUUUCCGGCGAGAUUUUUUCGACGAGUCACUUUCUCUAUUUCUUCCGGCGAGUCUUCUUCCUUCUAUAGCUAGCAAUAUGAACCCAGAUUCAGUUGGGUCAUUUCUAAAAAGGGAAAAGACAUUGUUUCCACCCUAAACUAUACCCGAAAAGUCGAAGUCACACCUAAACUAUACUAAUGACCUAUUACACACCUAAACUAUAAAAAAGUGAAACUAUUUAUACCCUAUCAGGCUACCACCACUUGCAUGUGGUGUAGUGUUUUACACGCGUUGCCACGUCAGCACCACGUCAGUAAAAAGUAUCACUUUUUUUAUAGUUAAGGUGUGUAAUAGGUCACUUAUAUAGUUUAGGUGUGGAUUCGACUUUUCGACUAUAGUUUGGGGUGGAAAUGAUGCCUUUUCCCUUAAUGUUUUUAACCAUUUACUUUUGUUAUUUAAUAGGUUGGACGCGCCUAAAAUAAGUGUAACGCACGCGCCUUAGAAUGGGGGUCGCGGGGAGGUAAUAAUAUCACUUUUAUAUAGUUAAGAUGUGUAAUAUGUCACUUAUAUAAUUUAGGUAUGACUUAUACUUUUCUUGUAUAGUAUAGGGUGAAAAUGAUGUCUUUUCCCUUUCAAAAAAUUACCAAAGGCUACAUAAUCUAUCAAUCUAAAAAAUCACUCAUAACUGAAAUUCCAAAUAGUAAGCAUUUUCUUGAUCUAUUUUUCAGCUAUUCAAUGUAAAAUGUUUAUUUUCUUGAUCUAUGUUAAUUUCUUAAUUUGUUUUCUAUAAUUUAUUUUAUUAUCAAACAAAAUUUUAAUAAAAAAUUAUUAUAGCUACAUAUAUAACAUAUCAAAAAAACAUUUAAAUAUUUUUAUAAGUUCUUCAUGGUUCUUUGAGUCCAGAUCGGUGCAAUAUUUAGAAGAGUUAAAUUUGGGCAAGUCAGUGCAAUUUAUUUACUUGUAAGUAUGUAUUGUGCAUCCUGAUUGUAUAAAGAUUUUAACACCUUUAAUGUGUAAAUAUAAAACUCAUAUACAAGUGAAUUUGAUUUUACACCAAAAUUAAAUGCAUUACUUCUCAUGUUUCGAAUUACAACGUCUUUAUUAGAACAGAAAGAAUUAAUAACAUCUCAUCUAAUUUUUGACAUCUUAAAAAUCUCUAGCGUUGGUUUCAAGAACUAAGUGGCUCAUGGUGAGCGGAUAUAGCAAAAGGGGAUAUAGAAUCAGAAAUGUUAUACUUGAAAAUAGUUGUUGCGUGUUAUGUAUUAGGGUCUCAUCCCCCAUUUAUGGUGAUUAAUGGUUAUAUUUAAUUAUUUAAUGAAUCUGGAGCAAGUAUGGGUCAAACAAAAUGGCUAUGCUGAAAAAUGGUGUCAUUUUAGUUCGCUUUGAGAUCAUGGGAUGGGCUGGGGUUGAAGACGAAGGGGGUGGGGUGGGGUGGGAUGUUAAGAUGACAUAGGGGGAGUGGGGUGCUUUUUUUAAAAAAGAAUUAAGAAAUUAUAAUAAUUAAAAAUUAUAUUAAUAAAUAAAUUAAAUAUAAAUUUUCUAAUUAAUAUUUUUGGGCCCCCUCAAUGCCACUUGACACAUUUUAAUUCGUAAUUUAGUAAAAAAAAAAACUCCUCACGCGCCUACAGCAAGUGCAUAGCACGCGCACUGCCAUGUAGGCAAAAAAUGUUUAAUUGAAACAAAAUGUGGAGGGGUUUAAGGGCCUGAUAGGAACAGUCCUUAGUUUAAGUGUCUAAAUGAAUUUUCGCAACAAAUUUAAGUGUCUAUCGAUGUCUUUGACCUUAUUUUUACUUUUUUUAGUCCUUCCAAUCAAACCUCAUGUUGAUAUGAUUGAUGAUAUCAACAAAUGGAAAAAUCAAAUGUGUCCUUUGGAAUUUCUUCUUCUUUGUCUCUUAAUUAUUUAUCCAAAGAAAAUCACUAUUUGAUAGACAAAGCAUGGAGUUGAACAGUGCAACAUUCCCCGCCCCCCAUAUAUAUAUAUAUAUAUAUAUAUAUAUAUAUAUUAUAUUGUUAUUAAACGAACAGGAAAAAGCAAUACCUCUUUUGAGCCGGUGGUCUAACAGAAACAACCUCUCCAGAAACAACCUCUCCAUCUGUGAGAUUAUACUGAAUAUGUAAUUGAUGUUACAUACUAAAGUAGUUGAACUUUAAUUCAUUCUCUGUAACAACAAAAUCAAUCCAUCAAUGUUAUAAUUGCAUGCAGAGAGAAGUGUUAGAUGGUGCAAAGGGAAUGGUAAGAGAUGCAAUUAUUCAAAAACUUGACAUCAAAAAAAUCAUGUUAUCAUCUUCUAAUACAAGAGAUGCAAUUAUUCAAAAACUUGACAUCAAAAAAAUCAUGUUAUCAUCUUCUAAUACAAUACGUAUUGCAGAUUUUGGAUGUUCAGUUGGACCAAACACAUUCAUUGGAAUACAACAUGUUGUACAAGCUCUAAAAGACAAGUACCAUAAUAACAUUCUUGAAUUCCAAAUAUUCUUCAAUGAUCAUGUGAUAAAUGAUUUCAACACCCCCUUUCGAUCACUACCCAUCGAUCGAUCCUACUAUGUAUCUGGAGUUCCAGGAAUAUCACUACAUGGUAGAUUAUUUCCAUCGCGAUCGAUACACUUUGCACAUAGUUCUUGUGCUAUACAUUGGUUAUCUAAGUGUCCAGAAGAGUUGUUAAAUUAUUUUUUAUGUAUAUAUAGUAGUGUUGGAACCUUGAAGCUUUGAUGAAUGACAAUAUGAAUGAAACAAGUUGAUAUACGUGUUCCACUGAUCCGACAAGUUCAGGAGUGCAAUCUACGGUAUAAAUAAUUAAAAAUCAAAAUGAGUUAAAUCAGUGCAACUGAAAACUUCAACAUACUGAUCAUGUGAGGAAUAGAACAAGUUCAAUUUGAUUCAAACACUUGAUGAUAAGGGAAAGCAAAUUGAGUUGAAAGAGGAGUCCUAUGUGAGAAGGAGUUUCACUUCUAAGCAUAUUCUUAAGAUUCCUAUGUGUAGAAGGAGAAAGAUUCUAAAAAUUGAAGAAGUCAAGAGAGUUGGAGUUUGACUACAACACCAAGGAGACAAGAGUUAGAAUUGAAGAAGGAGUCUAACUUGAAGUAAGACUCUAUGCAAUGAGAGUUUUGAUUAGAGGAGGAGUUUGAAAUAAAGAAUGACUCUUUGGAGAGCUGUGCUUAAAUAGAAGAUGCAACAAUCAGAAUAAUUCACGCACUUACAAAGCAGAAAAGUACAAUCGACAGAUUGACUUCACAAAGUGCUACUCAAUCACUGAAGAAACACAUUGAAGAAACUGGUCCUACGUAUAGAAUCCAACUAAGAGUUUUAUCUUUGAUUUUUAGAGUUGUUCAAUGUGUUUGAGCUAUUGAUGUAAUAUUAGUUUCAGUGUGUUAUAAACUGAAUUAGGAGAUAGUCUUCGAGUUGGGGAAAACUCAGAGACUUUCGGAACGAAUACCUUGGGAGGUGUGUGUAGUUAGGAAUUAGAGUUUGUAAUUCCUAGUAGUUGAGUUAUAGGGAUUAUAGUUUAUAAUUCCUAUUUGUUGAUUACAAGAGUUUUGUAAUCAGUCGUUGUUGAGGCUCAGAUUUAUUUAGUGAAGUUGGGGUUAAAUCCUGUAGAGGUGCAGGUCAUGUUUUUUUAUACCUUUUGAGCUGGGUGUUUUCCACGUAAGAAUCAUUGUGUUCUUUACUUUCUGUUUUACUGCUUCCUUAGAACACGUCAGUGGAACACGUCAGGAAACCUGUUCCAUCGAUAAGCAACAGUUAGGCAAAAAUAAGAUAAUCAGUAGGGCACGAACUCUAACAAGUGAUAUCAGAGCUAGAUUGUCUUAAAAAGGGAUAGCACCUAAGACAAAGAUCAGUAUGAUGAAUUCCGCACCACCUACUAGUUACAGUGAAGGUCAAUCCACUAUUAGACCUCCACUCUUUGAUGGUUCUCACUUCAUUUGGUGGAAAUCUAGGAUGGAAACAUUCAUUCAAGGGGAAGACUACGAGUUAUGAGAUAGGAUUACUGAUGGUCCUACUAUUCCAAUGAAGUUAGAAUAUGGGAAACAGGUCAAGAAAGUAAGGAGUGAAUUCACUCCUGCUGACUUAUUGGCAUUAAAGAAAAAUGCUAAGGCCAAAAAUAUUUUGGCCUGUGGAUUAGGACCUGCUGAAUACAACAAGGUAUCAACAUGCACCACUGCUAAGUGUAGACACCUAAUUUUGUCCCUCCCUGAUAUCGUUUUUACCCAUUUUUACUUUAUCCUACCGUGUACCCUCACCCAUCUAAUUAUUCCCCACAAAAAUACAAAAAUAACAAACUUCUAACAACUUUUGACACAUCACCACCCCACCCCAUACCCUACCUACCCUACCCCAUUACCUUACCCCACAUCACCUUUUAUUUUGUUUUUUUUAACUAACUCACAAAACAACAAAAAUAUAAAAAGGGGCCCACCACUAAGAGAAAGGAAAGAUUACUUUUGGCUAUUUAUACAUACAAAGAACAUGCAUAUACCAUUUUUUUCCCUCUCUCAUGGGAUACACAAAAAAAAAAGACUUACUCGGAGCCCACGUGAUGAGUGAGGAUUUUCCAUUCUUGAAUUGAGAAAAGGAACCUUCUAGGAAAGGGGUAAGGGGGGGACCAUUUUUGGUUUUGGGUUGUUUUCAUUUUAGUAUAUAGAUAUACAUAGAGUACAAAAAAGAAGGGGAGCUUACAUUUUUUUUCUCCUGGAGAGCAUAAACACAUACAUAGAGAAUAUACAGAGAGGAGAGCAAAAACAAAGGAAUUCCAUUUUUCUUGCUCCUUUUUCUCACCCACAACAACUUCGACACCAUCACAGGCAUACGAAUUCACUAAUAGACGCACAUACAUCUUCUUCCAAUUCUUUGGUUCUUCACGAAAUGCAAGCAAGAACCAGCAAACACACUCACACUUCACUGAAUACGCACACAACACAGUUUCUUCUCCGCACACGAUUAACGCACAGAUCACAAACACCACACACAGUGAAGGGCGAGUGAUGGAGAGACAGUGAGUGGGAGAGGGUUCUGAACAGUAAGAGAUUGGAAAUAGCGGGAGAUAGAUUUGAGAGAAUUUCUUUCUUUUUUCGGCGAUUCUAGCCAAAAAACGUCACUGCCGUCCUUUCUUUCUUUAUUUUUGUCACUUUUGGAGCUCGACGGAGCUUGAUGGAGCUCCGGUGACACGGAAACAAUCAACUCCAACACCGUUUCACGUCGAAUUCCAUCCAAACCUGAUCUGAAUCUCUCCUGGUUCAGCGAUUUCUGUUUCGGGUUUAGCAGAUUCACUGAAAUCUAGUCCAAGUCGUUCUUUGUUGAGUUCAAAGUUUGAAAUUCUAAAAUCUCCUCUGCCAGUCUCGGUUUGUUCGUAUUUCAUUAUUGGUAUUCAUCUAUUUUUUGCAAAGUGCUAUUGCGAAUCGAGUUUCGGGUCUGUUGCGGUUCGAACUAAUUUGAGAGUCGAGCUUUCAUUGGUAUUCUUCGAGUUCUUGGACGAGCUCUUAUUUCUCUUAUUAAAAUCAAUCGAAUGCUCUUGAGGUCCAUCUAUUUACUCUCUUUCUUUCUUCUUUAUUUUAUUUUGUUGAAAUGACUAUGAUUAUGUGUUGGAUGAUCUUGAUUGGGUGAUCUUAUCGACGUUGAUAUUUGUUAUUUAUGGAUAAUUGAUUGUGGAACAAAUUUGAUGAUUAGUAUAGAUUGGAUAAUCAUGUCUCGUAAAAGAAAUUUGUGUUGAAAAACAAUUUGGGGAAUAAGAAUCGAAAAUUGAUAAAAUUGAAUAUUAUAGUAUUUUGAUUAAUCAUUGACGUUGAACGUGAUAUGUCGUCUAGUUUGGAAUAAGCAUGGAUGUUGUUGAAACAUAGUAGUAUCAUGUUUAGGUCGAAUAUUGAUAGGCAAAUAUAAGUGGGUUAGGCAAAGUUUAUGACUUGCGAUCGUUGAAUGUUGAAGGUGUUUUGUUGAAAUGUGUUGGUUUAUGUUUUCGAAUUGAAGUGUAUUAAUUUGGCCGGGGAAUGCCCCAAAGAUUGAUGUAUUUAUUCACUGGGGAAUGCCCCGACAUAUCAUGUUGGAGAAGGCGGAUCUCGAUCAAGGCCCAAGCCAUCGGGUAAAAGGUCGGAGCAUAUUUUAGGAUUAGUUUAGAAUAUGAUUUAUAUUUUUAUGCAUUUUUCUAUUUUUGGAUUGUAAUAAUUGGAAUGGACACUAUAAUUUUGGAUUUGUUUGUUUGAUUGAUUGAUUGAUUGGUUUGUAUAUUUUUUGUGUGGUUUAUACACUCUUAGUGUCGAAUUAGCCAAUAUGCUCCACCAAGUCACCGUGGUCGAACCACGGGAUCAAGGGGUGCCUAAUACCUUCCCCUCGGUCAACAAAAUUCCUUAGUUGGAAUCUCUAUUCGCGGAUCAGUUUUAGAGUCAAACCGUUUUGAAAAAGGAUUUCCAAAGGUGACUUGGCACACCUAAUUUAUGUCAAGUGGCGACUCUGAAUAAAAAAUNNNNNNNNNNNNNNNNNNNNNNNNNNNNNNNNNNNNNNNNNNNNNNNNNNNNNNNNNNNNNNNNNNNNNNNNNNNNNNNNNNNNNNNNNNNNNNNNNNNNNNNNNNNNNNNNNNNNNNNNNNNNNNNNNNNNNNNNNNNNNNNNNNNNNNNNNNNNNNNNNNNNNNNNNNNNNNNNNNNNNNNNNNNNNNNNCUCUAGUUGAGUCACCCUUAUUUUAGGGGGGGAACCAUCGGUGUUAUGGAGUAGGUGGAAAGCAAAGCAGCCACUAUCGACCAUACGCUCCCCCGAACAGCCUUGUUAGUGAACCACAACGUAGGUCAGCCUUUAGGUCAUGCUUAUGUGCAUCAUACUGAGACCUAGCGGGACCCACAUGGCCCUUUGUAGGAGACUCACCUCUAAAGCAUCCCUACGUGCUAACUGUUGCAUCUUUAAGGGUAACGUGAUCAUUUGACGGACUGAUUUAGAAAAAAUAUAUUUGUUAGGAGUAAGGUGCAUAGGCAAAAAACAAAAAUGAAAAAAAAGAAUAAAAAAAUUGAAAAAGUGAGUCGAAAAGAAUGAAUCAAAAAGAGUUUCAUAGUUUUUAGAGUUUUUUAUGGAUUUUAUUUUUUACAAUUCCAAAUUCAAAAGGACUUUUUUUCCUUUCGCACUCAUUUCUCAAAAAAUCAUCAGAAAGAUUUUCCUUUAUCUCGUUUAGCAUGCAUUCACAAUUCAAAAAUUUCAAAAAGAUUUUUUAUUCAUAGGAUGUGUUUAUAAAAGAAAAUGUAAAAAAAAAAAAAGAAAAAAAAAGAUGUUAGAAAUUUUUUACAUUUCGUAUAAUGAAAAUACAAAAAAGAUUUUUCUUUCAUAGUUGUUGAUGUCAUUUUUCUGUGAAGUAUCAAAAUGAAAACUCAAAAGAUUUUAUUAAUAUGGUUCAUCGUCUGUCUAUGGUCGUAUCUCUUAAGUCAGGGUCUAACCUGUUAUUUAACCAUUAAUCGUCCAAUCUGGAUGAACUACGCCCCCCUGAUUCCCCUCUUUCGAAAGUGAGAUACGUAGGCAGCCUAUUGUUGGUUCGGGAAUCUUAUUUUUAAAAAAUUAAUUAAAAAAUAUUUUUUUUCACUCUUCAUUUAGAGUAGGUGUUUCAUACAUGUAUUGUAAAGAAAAAUACAAAGAAAAAAAAAAGAUUUUUCUCAAUAGUCGUAGGUUUCAUUUUUGGUUGAUCUUAUUUCAAAAAUUCAAAAAUAUUUUCUUCAUUCUUCAUUUAGAGUAGGUGUUUCGUAUACAUCUUUAAAAGAAAACUACAAAAAGAUUUUUCUUUAAUAGGUUCAAGUUCCAUUUUCAUAUGUAAUUUAAAACUGAAAACCUAAAAAGAUUUUCUUUGGUAAUCAUAGAUUUCACUUUGUAUAAUGAUGUUAUGAAAAAUUCAAAAAUAUUUUCCUCAAUUCUUUUGACAAAUUGUUAUUUUCUUUUCUUCUUAAAGUUUCGAGGAAAAAAAAGAGAAAAAAAAAGAGUUCAAGGUCAUUUUGGCAUGACUUCACGAACUACGCACACCUGAUUCUUCCCUUUCGGGGGUGAGAUACGUAGGCGCCCUUCUAGGAUUUGGUGAUAUUUUAUCAAAAAAAAAAGGUUUUGAAAAAUCUUAAACUCUAACAUAUUUGUUGCCUCUUGUUCAGUUAGUUUAAGGUGGUUGGUUUGUGGUUUCCUGGUUGGUCCUCCAUAUCACACCAAAUCCAAGGAAGGGUUAGUUAUGUCCAACAAGGAUAUAAAGAGUGGCAUCAUGGAUGAAACAAAGAGUCAGGAAAUUGAGAGUUUAAAGGAAGAGAAUUUGAGACUGAGACAACAAAUGAUGGGAAUGUACAGAGCUUGGGCCAGUGGGCUGCCUCCACCUCCGUUCCCCACUUUUGACCCUGCAAAUACCUUGAGUCUUCCACCAAAAUCGCAAAGUCAAUUUCCUACUGUUGUUGAUGCACCACAUCAUGCCUCAGAAUCCAUUCCACAUCAAAUGCACCUCAACACUUCCACCACUCUUUCUUUAUCUCCUCAGUAUAAGUCUACCACAUUCACAACACCACAUACUAUCUGUGUUUUUGUUGCUCAACCUUCUACUAAGGCUUCUACUUUGUCUAUCAAUCCAACGAUUAUGCUUCCCCAGUCCACUAGUGACUCCAUGUUCAAUACUGUUGAUGAUCAUUGGUAUACUCUUAAGCCUACAGUUAAGUUAAGUGAACCGCCAAAAUUUCUUACUAAGAAGCCUAGCAUCCUAAAAGAGCCGGAGAAAAUAGUUGGGAAAGUGAAGAGUAUAGAAAAUGAUAUGAAAAAUUCAACUGGACUUACGGGCUAUGAAGAUAUUUCAUAUAAAAAUUGGGGCAUGUCUUCAAGUGUUAACCUUCCUCCCAGCUUUGAGACAUCAAAAUUUGGGGAGCCCGGUGGACAGAAGGGUUCUGUGAAACAUUUGGGACGACAUUGCAAUCAACCAAGAAACUAAAGGAAAAAAGAAGGAAAACGCACCUAUUGUCAUGACAGGGCCAAAGCAGAGUUUGAGAGGUCCAACCAACCAAUACUGUCAGCCUCAAUCCCGAUCUUACAUAUCAGAUCCACAUAACCACUUGCAACAAGGUUUCUUUCUCCGAAAUCUAAGAAAUCCCAUUCCACUUCCUUGAUAUCCUGUGAACAAUGCACAAUUGUAUGCUCAUCUAUCUUCUUAUCCACAAUGGAAUGCACCUGUCCCUCAACAUCGUCCUCGACCUCCACAAAUUUACCAAGGGACCUCUAAAUCUAAAUUUCAUCCGAGGCUAGAGUUCGCAAAGAGGAGGAAGGAGAAAGAUAAUUUCACUCCUAUUGGGGAAUCCUAUGCCAUUUUAUUCCAGAGAUUGGUACAGUAGGGCAUGAUCGCUCCUCUCCUUGGGUAUACUCCUGACCCGCAUUCAAGAAUCUUUGAUCCUAAUGUGCGAUGUGCAUAUCAUUCUGAUGUUCAGGGUCAUAGUACUGAAGAUUUUCGCACUUUGAAAAGAGAAAUAGAAAAGAUAAUUCAAGAUAAAUUGAUUGUGGUGAAAAACAUUGGCACUUUGAAAAGAGAAAUAGAAAAGAUAAUUCAAGAUAAAUUGAUUGUGGUGAAAAACAUUGGCCCUUCGACCAUCCCACAGAGUUCUUCACCAGCACGCGGUGCUGCACAAUAUGUGGGAGGCAAUGAGUUAAGCAUGGGGAUCCAGAGCUUAUUUGCUGAAGGAAAUGUGUCUGACAGUGGUGGAAGCUCUAGUUAUGUUGAUAUGCAAACCAGUGGCUAAUAUGUCAGGCUGAGCAAUUGAAAAGUCACCCCUCUCCCUACGAGGAAGAGGUCUGGUAGUUUGUUUUAUUUUCUUUUUUUUUUUUGAAUUAUUUCGGGGUUGUAGUACUGGAUCUAUCUUGUUUUGUCCCUUUUUCAUUUAUGUUCAAACCCUUUUAUCUUUUAUUUCAACUAAAUGAAGUGUCCCUUUCCUUUUGUGUUUCGAAUAUGUGUUAUUUGUUUGUUUUCUUUAUAUAGUCACUUUAUGUUGAUUCUAGUGAUAUGACAUGCCUGCGAAAUUUUCAAUCAGAUCUUAAAAUCCAGCUUAAUUAUGAAACAUUGAAUCAGAGAGAUAAAUUUAGGAAAAGAGAGCAUCUAAGAAAAUAAAUAGAGUGUUGGGGCAUUUGGUGAUCAACUUGAAGCCUUCGUUGAAAAUUGAGACUUUUUAAGAAUCGCAAGGAUAACUUGGUCAUCAAUUGAAAGACAUGUCUUAAUUAUGUCAAACAGUGUCCACGUGAUCCUAUCAAGAGGAACAGGAAGAAAAUUAGCUCCACGAAGUCAUGAGUCCUUCAGCAUGAGGAAUGUACAACAAAGUGGAGUUGUAUGCUGGGCAAGUGUAGAAAAAGAGGUGACACACAUUCUUGGGGCAAGUUAGUGUUGUAAAACAUUUCAUAAGUGAUCUGGAUCGUGCACUUUCUCAUUGCAUGCUAUGUACUAGCAUUUUCAAGAAUUGAUAUGAUGAAGGCAUUUCAUUCUGCUAUCCAAACACUCUGUCAUCCUUUGUUUACCCCCAUUUAGGCCUUAGUGUUAUUUUAUUUCAUACCCCUCUUUUGGAAUCAAGAUAAGAGUCAACAAAAUUCAAAAAAAUAUGUCGAAAAAGAAAGAAAAGAUGAGUAUCAAGAAAAAUAAAGUCAGAAAAUUCCCAAAGACGAAAGAGUCAGCAAAAGAAAAAAAAUAGAAUCAAGUGAAAGAAUAAGCUGCCAGAACUACGCAUGACCUGAUUCUCCUCUCUCGAGAGUGAGAUACAUAGACUGCCCUACUCAGGGCUCGGUCCAACCAAAUAAACAAUUUAGAGUCACCCAGUCAAAAAAAACUGGGGCACGAGUUAAUCCUCAUUGUUUGAGUCGAUUCCAAAAGUUGUAAGUCCUACCCCACUUCAAGUAUCGUUUAGGCCCUACGCCAUCUUUUCUUUAUAACCUUAUCCAAAAUCCAAGUUACAUCCAAAGAAAUGCCCUCAGAUCAAUCUUUGAGGAUGUUAAGGCUGAGCAUGCAAGGGAUACGAUGAUGCAUUUGGGAACUAUUUGUCUUCCUCAGCAUAGGGAAUCAAGAGAGAAAUAAAAAUAAGAGUCUUAUUGGUGAAAACCCUUAUGGGCACCAUAAGCCGAUGGUAAGUUGAGAGAAAUAAAAAUGAGAGAGUCUUAUUGGUGAAAACCCUCAUGGACACCUAAGGCGAUAGUGAGCCAAGAGAAAAUAAAAGAAGCUUGUUGGCGAAAACCCUUCAAGGCGCCACUAGCCAAAUAGGGUCUUAAAUGCAAUUGACCUAUGAAAGAAAUUCAGUUUCAAGGCCAUUAACUCAACAACAAUGGGUAGAAAGUUUGGAUGAAAAGAUCAAGCUACUUAUCUUUCUUGAGUCAGUUAUCAAAACAAAAAAUUGUCUUUUUUUUUCGUUUCUUGUCCUUGAGUCAAAUCUGUGUCAAAACAAGUGAGAAAAGAUUUCAAAACUUGAUACCAGCUUCUUUAAUUGCACAAAGCAAGACAAAAGCUAGCACACGAAAGAGACAUAAUUGUGAACCCAAAAAGGGCAUGCAGAAAGUUUUGUCAACAGAGAAGUCGGGGAACUCAUGGAAAUACCAAGGUUUAAAGGGUUUAUUUGAGAAGCACGACAAAGCAGAAAUACUAUGUUUGUUUCAGAGUCAUUCUUAAUAAGUUGAGUUUGGGUCAAUGAUACAGCAAUUCAAUGACAUAUGCUAAUGGUUGGAAGCAAAGCUAAAUAUGACGGCAGCACGAGCAAUUGCCUCAAAAUCCAAUGCCUCAAAAGCCAAAGCCACAAACUAGCCACCAUGUUUUUAAACUCACAAGUUUUCUUUGUAUGUAAUAGAAAUACAUGUUGCAUUCAGAUCAACGAUUUCAGAGCCUAAACAUCAAAGGCCGUAAUUUCUCACCUCAACAAAUGCAAGAGGCAAGGUUGCUGCACAGGUUUGGUAAUCGAAACCAUGGCAAAACUUAUAAUUCAAGAUCUCUAGUAGACGCACCUCCUUGUUUGGAUAAUUCAAACAACAUUGAUAAGGAAACAUACUUCCUUGAUUGGUUAAUUCAAAUUUUUCUUCUUAGGUAAUGCACUUUCUAACUUCACCUUGACUCCUAAAAGACGUACCUUUUAGUCGAGUGAUCCCUUUUGAUUCCUAUAAGAUGUACCUUUUAGUCGAGUCAUCCCCUUUGAUUCCUAUAAGACGAACCUUUUAGUCGAGUCAUCCCCUUUGAUUCCUAUAAGACGUACCUUUUAGUCGAGUCAUCCCCUUUGAUUCCUAUAAGACGUACCUUUUAGUCGAGUCAUCCCCUUUGAUUCCUAUAAGACAUAUCUUUUAGUCGAGUCAUCCCCUUUGAUUCCUAUAAGACGUACCCUUUAGUCGAGUCAAACCCUUUAAUUCCUAGAAGAUGUACCUUUUAGUCGAGUCAUUCCUUUGAUUUCUAUAAGAUGUACCUUUUAGUCAAGUCAUUCCAAUUAACUCAUAGAAAAUGCAUUUCUUUGUUUGGGAUAAUUUUUUUUUCAGUUUUGAUAUGAUAUCAGGAGCAUGCCCAAAGCACAGGGCGAAUAAAUGGAAAACCAAGCAACAAGGUGAAGAAAUUGAAAGUUAAACAGAUUGAAAAAUAGCAAGUCAGGAGCCCGCUUGCAGAAUAGGGUGUAGAAGUUGAAAGCAUGGAAACAAGUUGAUGAAAUAGUAAGUCAGGAACCCGCCUGGAGAAUAGGGUGAAGAAAUUGAAAGGCAAGCAACAAGUUAAAGUAAUAGCAAGUCAGGAGCCCGCCUGAAGAAUAGGGUGAUGAAACUCAAGUCAAGAGUCCAAAAGAAGCUGUAUAGAUAGGAUUUUUGUAAUUUCAUUUAUGCUUUAACUUGUAAUUUUCAUUUUAAUAUAAUGAUAGAGCCGUGAAACAGAACCUCGAUGGAACCUCACUCGACUCUCCAACNNNNNNNNNNNNNNNNNNNNNNNNAAUACCCAUGACUUGCUUCUCUCAUAACUUGGGUAGGUAGGAUGUCUUAAGUCAAAACCCGGUUGUCCUUCUUCCUUCUAUUUCUUUCUUUGAAUAAUGGUCGGGUCAAAAUUUGGUCUUGCUGUCUACUGCUUUGUCUGAAAACACUUCAUGUUUACAUUCGAAGGGGGCAUGAUGUAGACACUUAAUUUCGUCCCUCCCCGAUAUCGUUUUUACCCAUUUUUACUUUAUCCUACCGUGUACCCUCACCCAUCUAAUUAUUCCCCACAAAAAUACAAAAAUAACAAACUUCUAACAACUUUUGACACAUCACCACCCCACCCUAUACCCUACCUACCCUACCCCACUACCUUACCCCACAUCACCUUUUAUUUUGUUUUUUUUAACCAACUCACAAAACAACAAAAAUAUAAAAAGGGGCCCACCACUAAGAGAAAGGAAAGAUUCCUUUUGGCUAUUUAUACAUACACAGAACACGCAUAUACCAUUUUUUCCCUCUCUCAUGGGAUACACAAAAAAAAGACUCACUGGGAACCCACGUGAUGAGUGAGGAUUUUCCAUUCUUGAAUUGAGAAAAGGAACCUUCUAGGAAAAGGGUAAGGGGGGACGAUUUUUGGUUUUGGGUUGUUUUCAUUUUAGUAUAUAGAUAUACAUAGAGUACAAAAAAAAGGGGAGCUCACGUUUUUUUUCUCCUAGAGAGGGCAUAAAACACAUACAUAGAGAAUAUAUAGAGAGGAGAGCAAAAACAAAGGGAUUCCAUUUUUCUUGCUCCUUUUUCUCACCCACAACAACUUCGACACCAUCACAGGCAUACGAAUUCACUAAUAGACACACAUACGUCUUCUUCCAAUUCUUUGGUUCUUCCAGAAACGCACGCAAGAACCAGCAAACACACUCACACUUCACUGAAUACGCACACAAUACAGUUUCUUCUCCGUACAAGAUUAACGCACAGAUUACAAACACCACACACAGUGAAGAGAAAGUGAAGGAGAGACAGUGAGUGGGAGAGGGUUCUAAACAUUGAGAGAUCGUAAAUAGCAGGAGAGAGAGUUGAGAGAAUUUCUUUCUUUUUUUCGGCGAUUCUAGCCGGAAAACAUCACUGCCGUCCUUUCUUUCUUUAUUUUUGUCACUUUCGGAGCUCGACGGAGCUUGAUGGAGCUUUGAUGACACGAAAACAAUCAACUUCAGCUCCGUUUCACGUUGGAUUCCAUCCAAAUCUGAUAUAAAUCUCUCCUAGUUCAGCGAUUUCCAUUUUGAGUUUAGCAGAUUCACCGAAAUCUAGUCCAGGUCGUUCUUUGUCGAGUUCAAAGUUUGAAAUUCUAAAAUCUCCUCUGCCAGUCUCGGUUUGUUAGUAUUUCAUUGUUGGUAUUCAUCUAUUUUUUGCAAAGUGCUAUUUCGAGUUGAGUUUUGGGUCUGUUGCGGUUUGAACUAAUUUGAGAGUCAAGAUUUCAUUAGUAUUCUUCGAGGUUCUUGGACGGGCUCUUAUUUCUCUUAUUAAAAUCAAUUGAAAGCUCUUGAGGUCCAUCUUUUUACUCCCUUUCUUUCUUCUUUAUUUUAUUUUGGUGAAAUGGCUAUGAUUAUGUGUUGGAUGAUCUUGAUUGGGUGAUCUUAUCGACGUUGAUAUUUGUUGUUUAUGGAUAAUUGAUUGUGGGAAAAAUUUGAUGAUUAGUAUAGGUUGGAUAAUCAUGUCUCGUAAAAUAAAUUUGUGUUGAAAAGUAAUUUGGGGAAUAAGAAUCGAAAAUUGAUAAAAUUGAAUAUUAUAGUAUUUUGAUUAAUCAUUGACGUUGAAUGUGAUAUGUCAUCUAGUUUGGAAUAAGCAUGGAUGUUGUUGAAACAUGGUAGUAUCAUGCUUAGGUCGACCAUUGAUAGGAAAAUAUAAGUGGGUUAGGCAAAGUUUAUGACUUGCGAUCAUUGAAUGUUGAAGGUGUUUUGUUGAAAUGUGUUGGUUUAUGUUUUCGAAUUGAAGUGUAUUAAUUUGGCCGGGGAAUGCCCCGAAGAUUGAUGUAUUUAUUCACCGGGGAAUGCCCUGACGUAUCAUGUUGGAGAAGGCGGAUCUCGAUCAAGACCCAAGGCAUCGGGUAAAAGGUCGGAGCAUAUUUUAGGAUUAGUUUAGAAUAUGAUUUAUAUUUUUAUGCAUUUUUCUAUUUUUGAAUUGUAAUAAUUGGACUGGACACUAUAAUUUUGGAUUUGUUUGUUUGUUUGAUUGAUUGAUUGGUUUGUAUGUUUUUUGUGUGGUUUAUACACUCUUAGUGUCGAAUUAGCCGAUAUGCUCCACCAAGCGACUUUGGUCGAACCACGGGAUCGAGGGGUGCCUAAUACCUUCCCCUCGGUCAACAGAAUUCCUUAGCUGGAAUCCCUAUUCGCGGAUCAGUUUUAGAGUCAUACUGUUUUGAAAAAAGAUUUCCAAAGGUGACUUAGCACACCUAAUUUAUGUCAAGUGGCGACUCUGAAUAAAAAAUAUAAAUAAUCCUUUUUCGAAACAAAAAUUCUUCAUUUUGUCCCUUAAUAACAAAAAACCCUUUCGAAACUUAAUCCAUAAUCUUUUGGAUGUUGAAAAAGGGGUGUGACACUAAGAAAAUUUGGGAUGAUCUAGUAAAUGCUCAUGAAGGCACAUCUCAAGUAAGAAAAUUUAGAAUUUCUCUUUUCUUCACUGAGUAUGAGGCAUUUAAGAUGAAGGAGAAUGAAACCUUGCAUGAGAUGAUGACAAGGCUUACUGCCUUAACAAAUGAGCUGACCUCAUUAGGAAAUGCUAUAUCUGAAGAAGAACAAGUCGAGAAGGUACUGAGGGUAUUACCAAAAUCAAAGUGGAAUGUUAAGAUGACUGCAAUCAGGUAAGCAAAUAAGAAUCUUACAGGCAUGACCCUGGAUGAAUUAGUGGGGAAUUUAAGAACUUAUGAAAUAGAAAUUGAUGAAACUAAAGUGCUAGCAACCCUAGAGGAUAUCUAAGCUCUGAAGGCAUCUUACAGUGAUGAAGAAAUUGAACUUGAUAAAGAAUAAGGUGCCUUUAUAGCUAAGAACUUCAGUAAAUUCUACAAAAAGAAGAAGGGGAACAGAUAGCAAGAAAUGGUCAAAUAACAAUCUAAAUGGAUGCUACAAGUGUGUUAAGACUUAUCAUCAUAUCAAGAAUUGUCCUGUCUGGGAAAUAGAGUGGAGAAAGGAAAGGGGUGAAAAGGAAUUGAAAGAAAAAAAUAAAAAAAGGAAAGAAUAUGCAAUGGUAGAAGCUUGGGGAUUUGACUCAGAUGAUGAUGAAGUUGAUGAAACAGCACUCAUGGCUCUUGGAGAUUCAGACUUAGCGGAAGAAGAUGAUGCUUCUGAGGUAAGUAUACUUGAACUUAAAGAAAAGUUGCAUUUGUUUUCUAAAACAAAACUUAUUUCCUUGAUGAGUGCACUAAUUGAUGACUUCCAAGAAUCAACUUCUGAUAGGGAUAAGCUGUUCAACAGUCUUGCAAGAAUCAAAUUUGAUUUUAUUAAUUUAGAAGCUUGCAAGAACACUGUUGAACAGGAAAACCGCUCUCUCAAGAAACAAGUUGAGCAACUUGAUUCUUCAAAUAAUGAUCUUAAGUCUGAAGUUCUAAAAUUGACACUCUCUGGAAAAAAAAAACACCAAGAGUAAAGAACAAGAAAAAGUUGAACUUGAAUUGGUCAAGUACAAAGAAUAGUGCAAUAAUGUAAUAGAAAUGGUGAAUAAACUGAGUCAAGAAGUCUCUAAACUAAAACUUGACCUUGAAAGAGCAAACAGGUGGACAACUUCCUCAAGAAUUAGUCAUAAGUUGAAUGAAAGAUAUCACAGUGAAAAAGCUGGUUUAGGUUUUCACAAAAGUCUUGAUGCUUAUCAAGACUUGUGUUAUAUCUGUGAAAACCUUGGACAUCCAACUACUGAAUGUCUAGUUGCUGCCAAAAGUAGAUCUAGCAGUCUAAAUCUGGCAAAUAAACUAUCUCAGACUAAGAAAAGGAUAACUAAACCUGGUCAGAGAAACAGGUCACGUAACCUGUUGCCUGCAUAGGCUAGAAGAAAUCUAAUUCAUCCAUUUACUCAUAAGGACCCAAACUUGUAUGGGUGCCUAAAGUUAACCCCUAAUUUAUUUUGCAGGUGAGAGUGAAAAGAGGCAAGCAAAAUUUGUGCAUAAAUAAAGCUUACUCAAGGCAUAAGACUAUAAGAAAAUAAAGUUUCUUUCACUCACCAUAUUUAAGGAGGGAAUGGAUCAAUUGAAAGAUGGCCAGAUUUGUAGUGCUCAUGUAAGGGAGAAUCAAGGGAGAUUUAAAAAUGAGAAAAGAGAAUGAUUAUGAAACUGAUGAGCAUGCACAGGAACAUGUUGUACCACCUGGUUCAACUGUUGUACAGACUGAGGGCAUAUUGACAGGGGGAACAACAAAUAAAGAAAUAGAUGAAUCAAUAAAACCAACACAAGUUACUGGUAAUUUUGUUGGUAGAAUCUUGAGAUAUCUCAUGGGAAUCAAUGGCUUGAGACUAUGGUAUUCAAAAGAAAGUAAUUUUACUCUUGAGGGCUAUAAAAAUAUUGACUAUAUAGGUUACGUAAUUGACUGGAGAAGCACCAAAGGCACUAAGUAGAGAGCAUUUAGAAAGAAAUAGGUUAGACUUAGGGAUGAUUAAAAUUUCAUGAACUCCCCUCAAUGAUUGACUAGAAUAAUCAUUUUUCUUCUUAAUCUUAUUAGCUAAAAAGUUAUUCUAUUCAGUCUUGCACAUUUAGUUGUGUGUCCCAAUUCUAGAGUUUUGACUUUUCUAACCUAAUUUGGUAUUAGAUUGUGCAGAAAAAUAGGUUCGAGCCAGCAAUUAUGACCACAAAGUUCUUCUUAUCAGGUAUGUUCUACACUGAUAAAAGCAUAGGCUGUCUAAGUUGAAACAGUUGAGCACACCUGUUCAAUUCCACACACUUUAUCCUCUCAUUGUCUAAUAAAGCUAAUGAAUUGGUUGACCAAACUUUCUUUGAUUAUCUCCAAAUGGGUGUGCAAAAAAUAUGUUAAUCCUACACCAGAAAAUCCUUCUUCUUUCUCAACCAAAAUAUCAGUUGUGUACCAUGGAUUUGCCAAGCUUGAUCAUCAAUCACAUGCAGCAUAAGUUUUCUGAGAAAUGAAAAGGGAUAUGAUCUCCCUUUUAGUUCCUAAUUGGUUAUUUUUUUUUGGAUUUCUCAGUCCUAGUUCAGGUUGACUUAGAAAAAAACAAUAGAUGUUCUUGCACAGAUGAAUUAUGUUGCUCUACCAGUUUCAAUAAGGAGGGCUAACACUAAAAAAUGUAAAAAAAAUUUGAACUUGAAGCUGCACAAGACAGUCAUGAAGUGGAAUAAGUGGUCCUUUAGGCUUGGAUCAUGACUUUAAAGCUUGACCUUGAUUAAGAGAGGGAUAAAAAUGUUGAAUUCACUCGUCAAUUGACACAGUUGAUAUCACUUGUUCCUCCUUUCUCUUCACUAUUUAUAUCCUUAGUCAUGUCCCACUUUUAUACCAUAUUUUUUAAUGCUCAGUUGUAUUGCAUUGUUCAGUACUAGCUUAGGUUUAAUGUGGAACAUGCUCUGUCAGUUAAAUGAAAUGGUUAUCUUUGCUAAGUUGAAUCAUAUUUUUGCUCUCUUUAAUAUAUUACUAUGUUGGCUAAAGUCUUUGUCUGAUUGUUUUGGUGAUAGCCCCAGUGUCCAUGAAUAGCAUAAUAAAUCACUUUGGCUAGUAUAUUAUUGCAUUGAAAUAAUUUUCGAUGAUGCCAAGAGGGGGAUGAUAAGAGGGUUGUGCAAUGUUUAUAACCCAUUGACUAACUUGUUUCAUUCUAGUGUUUUAUACUUGAGUGCCUACAGGUGAAGAUGUUUGAAUGCACAAAGACAAGAAGUUUAUCAUCAUAAAAAAGGGAGAAUUUGUUGGAACCUUGAAGUUCUGAUGAAUGGCAAUAUGAAUGAAACAAGUUGAUAUACGUGUUCCACUGAUCCGACAAGUUCAGGAGUGCAGUCUACGGUAUAAAUAAUUAAAAAUCAGAAUGAGUUAAAUCAGUGCAACUGAAAACUUCAACUUACUGAUCACGUGGGGAAUAGAAAGUUGAAUUUGAUUCAAACACUUGAUGAUAAGGAAAAGCAAGUUGAGUUGAAAAAGGAGUCCUAUGUGAAGAAGGAGUUUCACGUCUAAGCAUAUUCUUAAGAGUCCUAUGUGUAGAAGGAGAAAGAUUCUGAAAAUUGAAGAAGUCAAGAGAGUUGGAGUUUGACUACAACACCGAGGUGACAAGAGUUGGAAUUGAAGAAGGAGCCUAACUUGAAGUAAAACUCUAUACAAUGAGAGUUUUGAUUAGAGGAGGAUUUUGAAAUAAAGAAUGACUCUUUGGAGAGUUGUGCUUAAAUAGAAGAUGCAGCAAUCAGAAUAAUUCACGCACUUACAAAGUAGAAAAGCACAAUCGACAGAUUGACUUCACGAAGUGCUACUCAAUCACUGAAGAAACACAUUGAAGAACCUGGUCCUACGUAUAGAAUUCAACUAAGAGUUUUAGCUUUGAUUUUUAGAGUUGUUCAUUGUGUUUGAGCUAUUGAUGUAAUAUUAGUUUCAGUGUGUUAUAAACUGAAUUAGGAGAUAGUCUUCAAUUUGGGGAAAACUCAGAGACUUUGGGAACGCAUACCUUGGGAGGUGUAUGUGUAGUUAGGAGUUAGAGUUUAUAAUUCCUAUUCGUUAAGUUAUAGGGAUUAGAGUUUAUAAUUCCUAUUUGUUGGUUACAAGAGUUUUGUAAUCAGUCGUUGUUGAGGCUCAGAUUUAUUUAGUGAAUUUGGGGUUAAAUCCUGUAGAGGUGCAGGUCGUGGUUUUUUUACACCUUUUGAGACGGGUGUUUUCCACGUAAAAAUUAUUGUGUUCUUUACUUUCUGUUUUACUGCUUCCUUAGAACACGUCAGUGGAACACGUCUGGCAACCUGUUUCAUCGAUAAGCAACAGUUAGACGAAAAUAAGAUAAUCAGUAAGGCACGAACUCUAACAAGUAGAUCGUUCAACCCCCUUUGAUUAGUUCGUAUGUUCACUUGUGAACCCCUUUGGUGAAAAUUCUGGAUCCGUCGCUAUGUGGCAUAAUACACAUAGUAUGCCACGUAGGAUGCUACAUAGGACAUAUCUGUCUACUUGUUCAACUUUAUACAAGUUAAAGUGUUUACUUGUGCACACUCAAAGUUGGAGGUAAUAGCUAUGUGAUUGAGGCCAAGUAAAAGGACACGUUUAUUAUAUAUUGUGACUUACUAAUAUCAGCAUAUAUUACUAAUACAUCAUAUUCAACCCUAUUAUUAUACUUACACUUUAUCAAACGUUCCCUUAAAAUGAGAAAUAAUUACCUGCAAAUGGGAGUUUUUGGAGUAGCUAUAUAAGGACCAUCACCAGCAUUCAUGGGGAAAGAUGUUGCCAUUUUGGCUAAAUAUUAAUAUAAAUAAUAUUCUUCUUCUCUUCUUCACCGUAUUGCUCAAUGUUUAAUUUUCUUCACACAGACAUACAUGUUCUUGUAUGUAUACAUAUAAUAAUGUAGAUGUUAAACAAGUAUUUUUUGGCAAAGAAAAGUGAAAAAGAAACCUUAUAAAGGACACAUUUAUUUUAUUAUUGUUGAUGUUAAUUUUUUAUUAAAACAGCUAAAUUAAAUCUAUCCAAACAGGACCACUUAAAAGUAAGUUAAAAAAAAAAAAUUGACAGUGAAAAUCGACAAAAUUUAUGUACCCCUUAUAUAUAAAUCAUAAUACAACUAUAACAUGAACCAAACGUGUUACUAUGCAUAACGAAAAUAUUAAAAAAGAAACAUACAAAAAGUACAAAUAUUAAUAUAAUCAAAGUAAAAGAAAUAACAGUAGUAAUAAAAUCAAAAGCAUAAGAUAACCUUAAUAUAAUCUUCAACGUCCACGCCUCUUAUUUAGCCUCUUAUUUAGAGUCAUGUCCUCAAUCAGUGAGCUGAAGAUAUAUGUCAUAUUUUGUCUAAUUAUAUCUCUCAAUUUUUUGUCAGUCUACCUUGACCUCUCGAUCUCCUCAAACCUAUCAUCACCAAACCUCACAUAUCUCCUCACUCAGAGGCUGACCCAGUCCUUUUUAGGGGGUUCGUCCGAAUCCCCUUCGACGGAAAAAUAUACUAUUUAUGCAUGAUUAAAAUUAUUUGAGAAAAUACUCAAUUACCCCCUGAACUAUACCUAAAAAGGAUAUGACACAUCUCAAUUUAUAUUAAAGGGGUCCUAUUACCCCUGAAGGCCUGAACUAAUUAAAAGUGUAAUUUUGAUACCCUUAGUGCUUAUGUGGCACACACAUGUGCCUACGUGGACACUUCAGUGUGUUGUGCCACGUAUGUGCCACAUAGGCACUAAGGGUGUUAAAAUUACACUUUUAAAUAGUUCAGGGUGUAAUAGGACCCCUUUAAGUUGAGGUGUGUCAUAGCCUUUUUGGGUAUAGUUCAGGGAGGUAAUUGAGUAUUUUCUCAAAUUAUUUUUAUGUGGUUAUAGUAGGUGUUGAUGAACCCCCCCCUUCGACUUAGUUUUCUUUGAAUAUUGAACCCCCUUACUUGAAAUCUUGGCUCCGCCUCUGUCCUCACUGAGGUCUGAUCUGUAGUAUUUGUGCUCCUUUUCAGAUGCGAAGCCAGAAUUUCUGUUGAGGGGGUUUAAAAUCUAAAAAAAAAAAAAAAAAAAAAAAAAAAAAAAACUCACCAAAGGGGUUCAACAUUUACAAUUUACACAUAAAAAUUAUUUUAACCAUGUAUUGAUAAUAUAAUUUCUCAUCGAAUGGGAUUCAGAUGAAUCCCUUAUUAAUUACUAGGUUGACUCCGCCUCUCCUUUUCUUCACAUGCUUGGAACAUCUAAGUGUCGCUUCUCGCUUCUUGUUUGCCUCUCUCCCACCUUAACCUAUAUAGGUGUAUUAAUAUUAACAAUGAAAGAAUAAAGUAUUUGAAAAAAAAAAACACCUUCCUAAGUAAAAUACACUAAUUAAUUCUACGUAAUAUUAUUCAUUAUAUAAUAUAAUCCAUGCAUUAUUAUUCAUCACGUACUAAUCAAUUCAUAAUUAUUAUUUACCUAAUAAACAAUCUCGCAUCAUUACUCAUAUGUAUAACUAGUAAAUGAACCAAUCAAAUUCUAUUCGAUGUCCAAUAUUUGAAUACUUAUAACUCAUUUGGAUUCGCGUCGAAUAGGGAAAAAGCUUCCUAUCAAGAGCUUCUUCAUACUCGGAAUUUGAAUCCAAAAUAUCUGAUUAAGAAAAGAGUAACUUUAUCACCACAAACAUUCAGAGGGGGAGCCAGCCUAGUAAUAGGAGAUUUGUUUAAACUUCCUUCGACGGAAAAUUAUAGAGAAAAUGCAUUGUUUCCACCCUGAACUAUAAACAAAACUGCUGAGACAUUCCAACUUAAACGAAAUUGCUGAGACACUCCAACUUAAAGGGGGUCCUAUUACCCCUGGAUUAAUUAAAAUCGUAUUUUUGGCAACCUUAGUGCCUACGUGGCACCUACAUGGUGCCUAGGCGCCAUGUAGGUGCCACGUAGGCGCUAAGGUUGUCAAAAAUACAGUUUUAAUUAGUCCAGGGGUAAUAGGACCCUCUUUAAGUUUGAAUCUGUCUCAGCAAUUUCGUUUAUAGUUCAGGAUGGAAACAAUCCAUUUACUCAAAGUUAUACUAUAAAUACAUGAUUAAAAUAAUGUUUAUGUAUAUAUUGUAGAUGUUGAACUCCUUAGAUGAAUUUUUCUCGAGAUUUUGAAUACCCCUCAGCAUAAAUGUGGUCAUCAUGGUAAGAAUUGUGGCAAGUGCAAACUACAAGAUCUUAAUGCAAACAAUGUUAUUGUCCACACACAAUUAGAUAUUUAAAACUUUGAUUUGAUUGAACCUCUGAUAAAUAAUCAAUCAUGGAGAAAGAUGUGGUUGCACUGUUUAACUCCAUUCUUUGUCUAACAAUUAAGUACUUGUUUGUCAAGGAAAAGCCAAAGAAGAAUAAAUCCUCAAAAAACACGUUUUGUUUUAUUUACUGUUGUCAAUAUGUGAAUUCAGAAUUCAGAAUUUGAAAUUUAUGAGUUAACGAUUCUAUUCCUUUUGAAUUAGAGUGAACGGCGAAAAAAAUACUUAAAAUAUCAUGAUUUUUUUUAUUUUGGCAUAAUACAUAAAUAUGACCCUAGUUUAAUAACGUUAAUUUAAUAACUUUAAUUUAAUAACGUUUUAUUAAAACUAUAAUUUUUUUAUUUAUUAUUAAUAUAGUUUCAUCUUUGAGCUGAAAAUAAUAAAAAAAAUAAUAGUGAAAAGUCAUUUAAAUAUAUAAAAAGAAAUUAGUAAGGGCAGAAUAGUCAUUUUACCCUCUUUUUUACUGUUGGAACGCUCAAAUUUUUAGCCCGACGUGCCCAGUUUUGCGUGUACAACAUGCAUUUUACCGCAUAGGAUUCGAGGUCAUAUUUGUGUAAUUUUGAAUAGUUAAAGGUCAUAUUUGUAUAGUUUUGAAUAGUUUUAGGUUAUAUUUGUGCAGUUUUGAAUAGUUAAAGGUCAUAUUUAUUUAAUGUCCCAUCAGAAUUUAGCUUGACUCGAAAAAUCCAUUUAGAGUCAACUAACUUUUGCUUUGCAGUAGAUGGAACGAGCUCCCAUGUGCCUUGUUUCUGUAAUGCAUGAAUUUCAUCUUCAAUGGCUGCCUUCCAAUCAGGAUCAUUUAGUGCUCUUGACAAAGACUUUGACUUAGACUUUGACUUAUAUAUUUCAAAAAAAUACGUAAAAAAUACUAUAAAUUGUAAAAAUUAACAAUUUAAAAAAAUUAAAAUAUAUUAAAUAUUUGGUUAACUCUUGAAAUUAUGUCAGUGCCACUUAAAUUGGGGUAAAAGAAAUAUUAUAAAUCAUAGUAAUUAAAAACUUAAAUUAUUUUUAAAAUAUAAUUGAUUAUCAAUGUCACAAAAGUUUGGACAGGGAGAGUAACGUAUAUUAUUUAAAAAUUAUAUAAAAAAAUAUUAUAAAUUACAAUAGCUAAUAACUUAAAAUGUCUCUCAACUUAUCAUACAUACUUACAAUUUGCAUUUGAUUGGUAUCAAAUUUCGAGUAUUUACUUUUUAACUUUAAAAUACUUAAAAUAUAAUUGAUGUUGGUCUCACGCUAACACGGGCCUCGCCUCCCUAGUAUCUUAAUAUAUCAUUCGCUAGUAUGUCUAAAUGAUAUCACUAAUGUACUUACAGUCAGGAUAACGUCAAUGUAUAAUUAAUCCAGUCAAUAAAUUUCUAAAAAGCCACUAAUAUAUUUUAUUUAGUCUAUCUAUCAUAUAAGUACAUAAAUUGAUAUUAUUUUAAUGAAUAUAUUGAACAUACACGUUUAUUUUACUGUAAUUAUUGACAUAUAGAUUAAUAAAUCAAUAAUAUUUGGUAAUGCAGAUCUACUUAGUGUAAUUAUCAAAUUAUAGGAUGGUCAAUCAAUAGCAUUGUACAAAAAUAUCAUUAAUUCACUUCUACUUACUAUAAUAUCAACUAUAAGCUAAUUAAUUACUUAUGGUAUUUUUCCCCAUUACCAAAUUUUAAGCUAAUAAAUCAUCAACCUUUACUCAAAAUGUCAAUAAAUAUUCUACUUAUUCUAAUUAUCACUUUCUCAGCUACUCAUUCAGUUAUAACUUUGUUGAAGUGUGUGUGUGUAUAUAUAUAUAGAGAGAGAGAGAGAAAUGUAAUAUAAAAGUAUGAAAAGAAAAAAUAAGUUUUAAAGGAAUUAUCAAGGGAUCAAAAAAUUGAUAUCAUUGGUAUUGUUUUUCGGUAAAUAUAUAAUAUAUAUAUAUAUAUAUAUAUAGUUAUUUAUUGUAUACUCAAUUUUAUAUAUUUAAUUUAGUGAGAGACUUCCGUUGCUAGAUUAAAAAACAAAAUAGAAAAAUAAUUAUAUGUGCCAAAUCGAGGGACUCCUUGGAUAACUUAUGUUUCAUUUCCAUUUAUUUUUUAUUAAUACAUUGUUGGUACCAACCAAAAAAAUCAUAAUAAUAACAUUUAAUUUAUUUUGAAAUACUAAUUUAUUUGUUAUUAUUCAGCGAGAGAGAGUCUCUCACCAUAAUUAAUUUAAUAUCAUCUUUUAAUUAUCAUCAUAAUUUAUACUUUCUAAAAAAAUGAAAAAAUAAAAUAUUUAACUUUAUUUUUAUUUUAGCCUAAUUUCGUGCUUUUAUAAAGCAAAAAAUUUAAUAGCUUGUUUGGUUGAAGUGAUAAGGAAAAAUACUUAAAUAGUAUAAAAUCUCUCAUAAAUAUAGAAAUUACAAAUUUAACUCAUGAAACCCUGAUUUGUCUAACUUACUCAAAUUUAUUAAUUUAUCUCAUUUAAAAAGAAAUUAGGCUGAUAAGUAGUACAAAUUAACCCAUAAAAAAAUUGUCAUAAUAUUUUUUUGGAGAUUAUAAAUUAUAUAUAGCUAUAAUAAAAAAAAAUAAUUUUAUUAAUUUGUCACAGAAUUAUAAAAGGACAAAUAAAAAAAAAUAAUAACUUAAUAAAAUUUUAUUUCUGUCCAACACAUGCAUGCCAUUUAGUCAAAAUAAAGCAAUUUAAUUUCUUUGGCCCAACAUUAUUUUAGUGAAACUGCCAACAUUUCUCUGGUUGCUUGAUUAUGAAAUGUCUCAUUAUAAUCACUUUUAGUAGUUUGAUAAAUAUGAUUAACUGACUAUAUUUAUGUAAUAUUAAAACUGGUUCCCAGCUAAUCAAGCACAAACCUCCAUUCACCCAUGUGCAUUUAUUUUGGGAUAUUUUCAAAAAUAUACCAUUUGAAAAAAAUAAUUACAUUAUUAGCUCGUCGCAUGGGGUUUAGCUAGUGCGGUUUACAUCUCUUGUGUGGUUUACGAGCGAUUGCACAAUGAAGGGUUUACCAAGUGCGCACAAAGUGCUCACCAUAGAGUGCUCACCCAAAGGGCAGAGGCUGUGGCAGAGGAUUGUAGCGGCUGUAGGUUAUCCUAGAAUUUCCAAAAAAAAAAAAAAAGCAUUAUGCAACUUUAUAUAAUAUUAUGAAUUUAUAGUAUACAAAUCUCUCUCUCUCUCUAUAUAUAUACUAGUUUAGUCUGACGUGCCCCACACGUGUAACAUUUGAUUAUUUAAAAUUAAAUGAUUUUAUCUAUUGCAAAGAUUUUAAUGAAGUGUAAAAGUUUAAAUCACUUUUAAAAGAUUCUUCACAUUUUAAUAUAAUAUCGUAAACAUAAACAUACUUUUUACUAUAAGCACAUAUAUAUUCUGCAUCAUCACUUUUUUUCAUGCAGUGCCUCCUUCCCUUGCUGCCAGAGGCUAAGAGAGACGCGUCAAUUUGAAUCAUAUUUGUGGUAUGGUUAUUUUUCUUUUUUAUUUCUAUAUUUAAAAUUCUUCCUUGUUUUUAAAGUCAAAGUUUUACAAAUUCAUUGUUAUUACGUACUUAAAACUUUUAUAUCUCUAUAUGAGAACAUGCAUGUGUGAAGAAAAUACUGUGCAAUAAGGUGAAGAAAAAGUAUAUAUAUAUAUAUAUAUANNNNNNNNNNNNNNNNNNNNNNNNNNNNNNNNNNNNNNNNNNNNNNNNNNNNNNNNNNNNNNNNNNNNNNNNNNNNNNNNNNNNNNNNNNNNNNNNNNNNNNNNNNNNNNNNNNNNNNNNNNNNNNNNNNNNNNNNNNNNNNNNNNNNNNNNNNNNNNNNAUGGUCCUAUAGCUACUUCAAAAACUCCCAUUUGCAGGUAUUAAUUAAUUAAUAUGUUAAUUAGUGCCACUUAGGUAUUUAGUAGAUAUCUUUUGAUUGACCUUACCUACGUUAAACUCUGAUCUAUUUUAUAAUUGCAUUCAGAGAGAAGUGUUAGAUAAUUCAAAGGAAAUGGUGAGAGAUGCAAUUACUCGAAAGCUUGACAUAAAAAAAAUCAUGUUAUCUUCUUCAAACACAUUAUGUCUUGCAGAUUUUGGAUGUUCAAUUGGACCAAACACUUUCAUUGCAAUGCAACAUGUUGUACAAUCUCUAAAAGAAAAAUACCAUAAUACCAACAUUCUUGAAUUCGAAGUAUUUUUCAAUGAUCAUGUCACCAAUGAUUUCAACACCCUCUUUCGAUCAGUACCCAUCGAUCGAUCCUACUAUGCAUUCGGAGUUCCAGGAACAUUCCAUGGUAAAUUAUUUCCAUCGCGAUCGAUACAUUUUGCACAUUGUUCUACUGCCAUACAUUGGUUAUCUAAGUGUCCAGAAGAGUUGUUAGAUGAGAAAUCUCCAGCAUGGAAUAAGGGAUUGAUACAGAGAGAACAUUUCUUUUCAUUUUUUGGGCAACUUGUUAAUUUCAACGUUUAAGACCACUGAAUUAAAAGACAUUUUGGUACAUUUCACGUAUUUUCAAUUUAGGCCACACGAUUCAAAAAGUAUUUUUUACUCUCUUGAACUUCGUACCAUAUCAAAAUAGAACAAUCAAUUAUUGAAACGGAAGGAGCACUACUUCUUCUAUUUCAAUUUAUUUGGCUUACUUUCUUUUUAGUCUGUUUCAAAAGAACGUCUCUUUCUUCUUCUAUUUUUUGAUAGUUUUUAAAUUUCAACAUUUCACAUAACACGUUUAAGAUCACAGGAUUAAAGAACAUUUUGGUGGAUUUCGUGUAUCUUUAGGACCCCGUUUGGCCAUACGUGAUAAAAUCAUGAUUUAAAAUUAUGAGAUAAAGUUGAAGUUUUGUUUGGACAUGCAAUUUGGACUUUUUCAUGUUGUAUAUUUUUUUAUGAAUAUAAAAACCUCAUAAGUUGUGAAAACUAUCAAAAUUACCACAAUUCGUUGCACAAUCUUAUCAAGUAAGCAAAAAUUUAUAACAAAGUUUAAUGCGCUAUCGUCACAAAGCUAUUAUAAAAAAAAAAAUUAGAACAUUUACUGAUUUAACUUUAGCUCAAUAAAAAAGUAAAAUUGAACAUAAGUUUAUAGUGCACUAUUCUUUAAUAUAAUCCUCCCACAUAGGUAAAGUGACAGUUGAUUUGAAGUAAUAAUAAAUUUUAUGUUGGUGAGAGUAAUAAUUAUAUGAGAUAUAAAUGAUUUAAAGAGUAAUAAUAUGAACUAUAAACUUUAUUUACAUAUGAAAUAAAUGGUUGUUAGAUAUAAAUGGCGGAGUAUUUUUCUUAUAAAAUAUAAACUUGUGGGUCAACUUUUGUACUUAAAAAAAAAUUCAAAUCACACUUUUUGGAAAAUUUGGAAUUUCAUAUCAUGAUAUGAAAUCAAAAGAUGAUAUCACAUGUCCAAACACUGAUUUCAUCUCGGGAUUUCAAAUUACACACUUCAUAUCGCAUGUCCAAAACGCCCACUUAGUUUAGUGACUACAAGAUUCAAAGUUCUUUUUUACUUUCUUAAACUUUCUGGCUAAUUAAAAUCACAUGAACAAAUUAAGACAGAGUAAUUAAUUGUAGCCAUACAUUUUUGGUAAUAGAUGCUUAAUUUUUAUUUUAUUUUUCGCCACAGGGAAAAAUAGAUGAAUCUUUAGUCAACUCAUUUAAUUUGCCAAUAUAUUUUCCAUCUCUUGAAGACAUGGCUAAAGCGGUGGAGAAAAAUGAUUAUUUUAGCAUAGAAAUAAUAGAAUUGACAUAUCCCAAAUCAAAGCUUGUGGAUGAGGCUGAUGCAAAGACUUUAAUAAUAAAUUUAAGAGCUGUUUUAGAAGUACUUUUCGUCAAUCAUUUUGGAAGUGAAAUAGCAGAAGAAGCUUUUGCAAGAACGACUCUCAAAAGUGAUGAAAUUUCAACAUGGAUGAAAACGAAUUACCAGAAAGCAUGUCAGUUAUUUGUCGCUCUGAAGCGUAAAUAAAUUUCUAUGGAGAAAUCUAUAUUAUAUAAUUCAAGUUUAUGGAGUGAUGUGACACGUUUCAUAUGUAGACUGGAAUUUCUAUUUUUCUAUUUUCUGAUAUUUUUGGCUUUCACUUAAUGUGCUCUAGAAAGAAAAUUGAAAAGUUCAUUAACAUUAUGAUAAUAUUUUCUUAGCAUGAAAUGAAUGACUUGCAAGUUUUGAUAUGACGAUAUUAAUAUAUAAAUAUCUUAAUGAAAGACUUUUUAAGUAAAAUAAAGAAAAAUAUUUUAAUUGGGCACAAAGAGAAUGUUGUAGUUACACCGCAAGGGGUCGUUUGGUGUGAGGUACUAAGGUAAAUUAUCCCGGGAUAAAAAAAUAGUCCCGAAAUAAACUUUUUUAUACAUUGUUUGGUUGGUAAUACUCGGGAUAACUUAUCCCGGGACUAAUAAUAAUCCCGGGAUAAGUUAUACCACAUAUUUGGUGGUAUAAGUUAUCCCAAGUUAAUUUAUCCUUGGAUAAAAUUAUAAAUGACAAAAAUACCCCAAACCCUUUUCUUUACACUUUCUCAUAUAUAUAUAUAACCUAGUUUAGGUGUACGUGCCUCGCGCGUGUACCUUACUAUAAUGAAUUUAAAUGCUACACUAAAUACGAUAUUUAUUCAAAUAGUAAGAGAAUUUAUUUAAUUAGAUAUAUAGUAGUUGUAAAUAUCAAAGAUACAAAUGAGGUAGGUGCAAAAUAUAUUGACAACCCCUUAAAUUACUGUUGGUGUUUUAGAAAGAAAAAAUAAUCAUAAUAUUUUAUAUGACUCAAAAUUUUGAUCAUUAAUUGUAUAUAUCAUCAUAAUCAUCAUUCAUCUUCAAGAUACCUACAAAAUUGGAAAAAAGAAAACUAGGAAAUCAAUGCAUCUAAGUAAAUUAAAUAUUAUAAAAAUAUAUUUCUUUGACGUAUCUUGGCAACCAAAAAAAAGAAGAAAAUUCAAAUCAAAUAAUAAAGAAUCAUUUAAGAACAAAAAUAAAUAUAUCUUGUUCCAUAUGUUCAUAUUAGAUAUUAUUGUAUUUUUCUAAAAGAAUUUUCAAUUUAUAGAAGUUCAAAACUUUUUUCUUCAAUAAAGAAAUUAUAUAAAUAUGAUUGAUUUUUACUUUUUUCAUUAAUUAUUUAUCAAUAAUAGAAUAUUUUAAAUUCCAAAUAAACUAAACUAACACAAAUAAGAGUGAUUUUUUNNNNNNNNNNNNNNNNNNNNNNNNNNNNNNNNNNNNNNNNNNNNNNNNNNNNNNNNNNNNNNNNNNNNNNNNNNNNNNNNNNNNNNNNNNNNNNNNNNNNNNNNNNNNNNNNNNNNNNNNNNNNNNNNNNNNNNNNNNNNNNNNNNNNNNNNNNNNNNNNNNNNNNNNNNNNNNNNNNNNNNGGGGGAGAAUGCGAUUUUAGUUGGGUUUGAAGUCCUAAAAUUAAUUAGAUAUUAUUAUGUAAAUAGUAAAAAGACGCUUUUAUCUAAAGGACAAUCUUUUAAUGAAGGACAAAAAGUUCAAAUCACUUUUCUAAGGGUCUUUACACUUUUAAAUAUAUAUAUAUAUAUAGUGCAGUAAAAUUUAUGCCGCUUCUGCUUGCUGCUGCUAGGCUCUUGAUAUCUACUAAAUUGAUAUACUGAAUCAUGAACUCAACACACCAGCUGAGAUAGGCGAUGAGAACCAAUGACCAUAGUUACGGAUGGGAAAAAGAGAAAAAAUAUAUAUAUAUAAAUACAAACAAUAUAUUGAUGGGAAAAGAGACAUGAAUUUCUAGCAAUGUAAAAGAGACAUAUUCUAGCUAUGUAAAAGAGACAUAUGAAUUUCUAAUUUGAUGGGGAAAAAAAAACCAUAUCAAUACAAACAAAAACCAUAUAAAUACAAACAUAAAAAUAAUUAACUAAAGUGAGGGUUAUUUUUGUAAACAAACAAUAUAUUUUUACAAACAAUGCAAUAUAUAUUAUUUUUAGUACCACAAACCAAACAACCACUACAAAAUAAUAUCAGUAUAACUUAUCCCAGCACAACUAUCCCAGCAUAACUUAUCCCAGCACAACUAAUCCCAGCAUAACUUAUCCCAGCAUAACUAAUCCUGGAAUAACUUGUUUUCAAACCAAACGACCCCUAAAGGUAUUGUCCUUGUGACUAACACUAAAAAUUACGUUUACUAACGUGGGAGGUCUUGUCCUGAAUAGAGAAUGACCGGUGGAUGCUUUCUUCGUGCAAUAAUAUACAGUUAAACUUAUGACAGUGGCGGAUCCACCUUGUAAUCAGUGAAGAGUUGAGGGCUAGAAAAUUCAGUAUCCAUCAAUCUCGACAUGCAACCAAAUCAAGUUAGAUGAACAUCAAUCAUAUUUUUUUAAUAAGUAAAUCGAUUUUUUCUCUAAAGUUCUAUUUUAAGAGUAUUUUUCUAUCCUAUUUUAGAAGUAUUUUUCUAAUUGAUUUGUACAAAGAAAAAUAUUAAUUGAUUCUCCUUCAUAUAUUUUAGGAGUCUAGUUAAUAUAAUAAAAAAUAAUUAAAUAAUAAAUUGAAGGAAAUAGUGAAAAGACAGUUUUAUCUAAAGAAAAAAAAUUUAACGAAGAAUAAAAAGUUUAAAUCACUUUUUUAAGAUAUUCAUAUUUUUAAUAUAUUAUAGAUUAAAAGUAAUGAGUGAUGGACCCAAUUGAUUGAUAGUAUGUGGACUAUAAUUAUAGAUUAUAGAUUAAAAGUAAUAAGUGAUGGACCCAAUUGAUUGAUAGUAUGUGGACAUUACGAUUCCAAUAAUCAAACAAUUAUUGGAAUAAAAAGUCACUUGGCUACUUUAAUUAGUUGUUAGUUUUAAAGAUUCGUUUGAUAGUGUAUAAAAAUAGUACUGAAUAUAAAAUUUAGUAAGUGAGAUUUCGAGUAUAUGUCAUAAAAUUUUCUUUUGUGCAAAGAAAUAAUUCAUCGAAAUAAUGAGUCAUUGUUGUUAUCGACACAUCAGAGAUCACCAGAUGCUCGAGAGUUCCUCUAUUCAAUUCAUUUCCUUCUUUUCAUACUUGAAUAUCUCGUUCGUACACAUCUUCUCUUUAUUUACCAAUGACAACAUCUUUCCCAAUGAGUGAUGAUGAUAGUGUUUAUAGUUACUCCAAAAACUCCCAAAUGCAGGUAUUAAUUUAAUUUAAUUUAAUUUGUUGAAUCUCUAUGUAAUCUUUGAUUUGGAAAAUCUCUCCAAGUUCAUAGCCAACAACUUAAAAGCACUUCCUUCCUUCGUUUUAUUUUACUUGAUCUCUGUUAACAUGACACACUCUUUACAAAAAUUUAAUUAGAGGUGUAUUUUACUAUACUAACGUUAUUAAUGAUGCUUUGAAAUUCUGAUAAAGUUUGGGAUUAACUUUAUCUCAUGUUUAAUAUGUAUGAACUAAUAUUUAGACUAUUAUUAUAUACCAAUUGUAGUAAAAUGCUGGAAUUACUAUCUCAUAUGAAGGGAAAUAAAAUAGUCUCGUGGGAUACGAUCCCAACACAUGUGAUAUUCUUAUCUAUCCACUCCGAUGUAUCAAACAACGGGUUGAUAGUUUAAGUAGCUAUUUAACACCGUACUAAGAUUAGUAUGAGAAAGAAGUAACAAAUCUCUCUUGAUUUGUGAAAACGGCUAAGUAAAUUGAAAUCUCUGCUUUUAUUAUAGGAGCCAAGUAAACUAAAAUGGAGGGAUUCAUAUUUUGUCUUUCUUAAAAUAAUUGAGGGCAAGAGAGAGGGAUUACAAGGUGUCACCAAUAAGACAGAAAGUUCAGAUAGUCAGCUAAUUGAGCUAAUUGAAUCAACAAGACAAAAAAUUCAAAUAGUCAGCUAAUUGAACUACACAAAAGCUGAACAAAAAAAACACUCUAAUUCUAACUCUGACGCGCGUGGUUUUGAGUGUAUACACGCAUUUUGCAAGACAGGAUUAGAGUAUUUUUUUUGUUCAGCUUUUGUAUAGUUAAAGAGCCCACUUGUGCAUUGAUAAAGUUAAAGGUCAUAUUUAUAAUUUUGUAUCCAGUUAAAGGUCUUGAUUAUGUAUUAUGCCUAUUAUAUAGUGCAUGAAGAAAGAAGUGUUAGAUAAGUAAUUCUUACGCUCAGUCUAACUCAUUUGGACUCCUUAGAGGCUUUAACCAUGGAACACGCAGAUAUCAAAAACACAUAAUUUCUUCGUUAAAUAUGACUUCUUUGGUUGGUGAACGCAUUAGAUAUUUACCUAAACCAGUAAGUCCUUGAGCGGAUCUCACGUUAGCCUCAAGGAGUUGGUUCCUAACUAUAAAAGUAAAUGCUUGAACUUGAAAAAUUCUCUGGUCCAGUAGAUUCGUAAAAUUCACUAGGAUAAGUUGUAUUAUAGAACCAGGCAAAACAACAAGCAACGAGAUCAAAGAUGGUUAAAGCCCCUAUAGUGUAAGUAAGAUAAAUAAGCCUCUUCAGAUCAUACUAAUACACAUCGAGCCCAUGCGAAGGAUUUGAUUAAGAUAUGUCAGAUUCCACCAAGUAUACAAAAGGAACCUAACCAUGUAUACAUAUCCUUCGAUUAUAUCUUCUAGAACCCCCCUCCCUCCCUCCAAAAGGAGAUUUUAGUAAAUAAUCAAAUACGAUGGUCGGGCUAAGGGUCAAGUUAGUAAUUUUUCUUACAUCUCUCCCUUCCGAAGCCCAGAUAUCAUAUACGCCGCCAAAACAAAAGGCCUUGAAUACUAGAAUAAAAGAAUCUAUACCUAACAAGAUUAAAUGAAUAACUAAAAUUGUGGUCAUUUUAUUUUAAUCUUUUUAGAUAUAACCAAAGAAGAAAAUAGAUUCUUCAAGCGCCUCCAAUAACGGAAAAGAAAUUAAAUAAACUACUCCAGAUACAAAAUAUGAAAAAAGUGUUAUAACAUCUUUCUCCCAUCCCCCACCCUAGAGUAACUAGCCCUCCACCCCCCCACCCCAACGCCCCACCCUCCACCCUAGAGUAGCUAGGUGGGGAAGUAAAAUUUAUAGCUUACUGCAAAUAUUAACCAUAAACUAAAUAUUUCAUUAAUCAUACCAAAAUUAUUACUAUUUUUUUCUUAUACAUCCAAUCAAGUGCGCUGCAAAUAUUAAUGAUCAUACCUCUUGUUAAUGGCAUUAAUGAUAUAUAUAUAUAUAUCAACAAAUGUUAAAUUCAAACGUGUCCAUUGGGAUUUCUUCUUCUUUGGCUUUUAAUUCAUUGCCAAACAAGUCCUUAAUUGACAAAGUGUGUAGUUAAACAAUGCAACAUCCACACACAUAUAUAUAUCACCAUACAUAUGUGAAGACAACAUAUAAAAAUAAGGAAAAAAAGAAGCAUAUUAUAUAUUAGUAUUUUCCAAAAUGACAACAUCUUUCCCCAUGAAUGCUAGUAAUAGUCCUUACAGCUACUCCAAAAACUCCUUUUUGCAGGUAAUGAUUUCUUGUUUUGGUAGGGUGUAUAAGAAUAAUGUUGAAUAGAGCGUACUAGUAAUGUUGGAAUUAAUUAUGUGAAAAUGGUACGUAUAUAUCCUUUAGUUAGACGGCGUGCACCACGUGUCCUCAUUUGAAAGAAAUUAACACAUUUUCCCUUGGUUAGCAAUUUAUCUCUGACCUGCCGGAAAAAAUGCUCUACGGCCGGAGUUAGAAGCGAGUUUCCCUCACGUGUCCUAUCCUAAAGAAAUGAUCUGUGACCGUAUUGGUUAUGAUUUGCCAAAAAUACGCAUAGGUGAAACUAGCUUCCAACUCCGGCCCGUAGAACAUUUCGCUGGCAGGUCAGGGCAUAAAUUGCUAAGGAAAAAUGGGCUAAUUCCUUUCGGAUGAGGACACGUGGCGCGCACCAUCUAACUGAAGCAUAUAUACGUUCUAUUUUCAAUAGUUCAGAGGUAUAAACAUACCCAAAGUUAGACAACAAGGGAACAAAUAACCCAAAAGUACAAUAAAAGGUAUUUACGUACCAUUUUCAAUAGUUCAAAGAGUAUAUAUGACCCUUUUCCGAAAAAUAAUUUUUGGUGUCAUACCAAAGUAACUGAACUUUUCCAUCUAUAAUAAUAGAAUCACUAAACUUUACUGUUAAAUGUGACUUUACUGUUAUAAUUGCAUGCAGAAAGAAGUGUUAGAUAGUGCAAAAGACAUGUUGCGAGAUGCAAUUAUUCAAAACCUUGACAUCAAAAUCAUGUUUUCUUCUUCAAAUACAUUACACUUUGUAGAUUUGGGAUGUUCAAUUGGACCAAAUACUUUCAAUGCAAUGCAACAUGUUGUACAAGUUGUAGGACUGCCAUGCUUAUUGGGGAUAUAGAUCCUGCUAGACUGAUGAUUCAUGCCCUAUAGAUUGGGGCAGAAAAGUUGAAGGGGAGAGAGAGGGGAGAUAAGAAGGCUAGAAUAGGAUAGUUUGAAUAUGGCCAGACAAAGUUUGGAAGGGGAAAUCGUUCACAGUUUCAGAGUCAUUCAUCCAUGCCAAUGCCAUUUUAAGCCAGUGCUCCCACCCCCAAACCUAGGAAGAAGUUGUGGAGUAAUACUUCAAUGUACAGAUCUCAUAAUAGUUUAAGUGGAAAACUCAGUUAUCCUUCUUGUGCUAAGUGUGGUAAGAAUCAUCCUGGUGAGUGCUUGUUGGGAUAGAAAGGUUGUUAUGGUUGGGGUAAUUUGGGUCAUGAAAUCAAAGAGUGUCCGCAUGCUAAGAAGGGGAAAAGGGAUGUUCAUCCCUAGACUCUGGCUACUAGCGUACUAGCUCCUUUGGGUCGCCCAGUCCCUCCUCAGGGCGCAUCAUCCAGUAUCGAUGGCAAUCAGUGCCAGAAUUUGUUAUAUGCUUUACCAUUUCAUCGGGAGCUGGAGAGUUCAUAAGAUGUUGUCACUGGUAUACUUCGUGUCUUUCAUCUAGAUGUUUAUGUGUCGUAAAAUCCUGGGUCAAAUUUCUCUUAUGUGACCCCACUAGUUGCAGUAAAUGUUGAAAUAGGUCUUGAAAAGAUCCCUAAGCCCUUCUUAGUUUCUACCCUAGUGGGUAAGUCAAUUGUUUCCAAACAGAUCUAUAUUCUUGAAUUCCAAGUAUUUUUCAAUGAUCAUGUCACCAAUGAUUUCAACACCCUCUUUCGAUCACUACCCAUCGAUCGAUCCUACUAUGCAUUCAGAGCUCCGAGAUCUUUCCAUGGUAGAUUAUUCUCAUCGCGAUUGAUACAUUUUGCACAUUGUUCUACUGCAAUACAUUGGUUAUCUAAGUGUCCAGAAGAGUUGUUCGAUGAAAAAUCCCCAGCAUGGAAUAAAGGAUUGAUUCAAUAUGAAGGUGCAUCAAAUGUUGAAGUGUUGAAUGCUUAUGUUGCUCAAUUUGAAAAGACAUGGAAAUGUUCUUAAGAACUUUUGGUGAAUGAGAUAAGUAGUUUGUUUGUCUCACUUUUGUUUUUAAGUAUCUUACAAUAAGAACUUUUAUUUUUUUUUUGACAACUUAUUAAUUAGUUUCAGUUUUUUAUGCAUGACACAUUUAUGAUCACAAGAUUAAAAGACACUUUGUUACAUUCUACAUAUAUUUAAUUUGGACCACAACAUUUAAAAGUCUUCUUUACCUUCUUAAAUUUCAUGUCAAAUCAAAAUAAACAAACAAAUUAAAACAACUUUCUUUUUUUGGCAACUUUUAAAUUUCAACUUUUCACUUGAUAUAUUUAAGAUCAAAAGAUUAAAGAAUAUUUUGGUACGUUCCACUUAUCUUUAGUUUUGAGACCACGAGAUUCAAUAAUUUUUUUUAAUUACUUUCUUAAAUUUCGUGUUUAAUCAAAAUCAAACAAACUAAACAAAAUUAGAGAAAAUGCAUUGUUUCCACCCUGAAUUAUAAACGAAAUUGUUGAGACAUACUCCAACUUAAAGGGGAUCCUAUAACCCUCCCCCCCCUCCACCCCAGACUAAUUAAAAUCGUAUUUUUGGCAACCUUAGUGCCUACGUGGUAUAUUGCGUGAAUCAACACACUGAAGGUCCACGUAGGCACAGUGAGGUUUUCAAAAAUACGAUUUUAAUUAGUCCAGGGGGUAAUAGGACCCCCUUUAAGUUUGGAUGUGUCUCAACAAUUUUGUUUUUAGUUUAGGGUGAAAACGGUGCAUUUACUGACAAAAUUAAGCGGAGUAACAAUUAUAGCCAUACAAUUUUAAUUUUGAUGUUUAUUUCUUUUUGGCACAGGGAAAAUUAGAUGAAUCUCUAGUCGACUCAUUUAAUGUGCCAGCAUAUUCUCCCUCUCCUCAAGACAUAACUAAAGCGGUGGAGAAAAAUGAUUGUUUUAGCAUCGAGAGAAUAGAGUUAACGUAUCCCAAAUCAAAGCUUGUGGAUGAGGCUAAUGCAAAGGCUUUACUAAUUAGUUUAAGGGUUGCUUUAGAAGGAGUUUUCAUUAAUCAUUUUGGAAGUGAAAUAGCAGAAGAAGCUUUUGAAAGGACUAUUCUCAAAAGCGAUGAAAUUUCAACAAGGAUGAAAACGAAUUAUAAAAAAGCAUGUCAAUUAUUUAUCGCUUUAAAGCGUAAAUAAGUUUCUAUAGAGAAAUUCAUAUAUUAUUAUAUAAUUCAGGUCUAUGAUGUGAUGUGACACAUCUCAUAGAUCGAAAUUUUUAUUUGUCUAUUUUUUUGAAUAUUUUUGACUUUUUCAUCGUACCUUUCACUUAAUGUGUUCUACAAUUACAUCAAAUACAUCAAACUACCCACAUUAUAUUUGUAGAAAGUGUUGUCAAUCCUUUUUUGUAGCACUUUUUUCAAGCUUCAGCGUGAUAAAACUAGCCCAAACCUAUUUGACCAGCCUAACUCGCUCAUGUUUUGAUGGAUUGGGCUAAAGUGAUUUUGAAGAUGGAUUGAUUUGAGUCAUCCCAACUGAACCCAUCAUAAAUCAUCAACCCAAUGGGCUCAUAAUGAUGCCCAACUUUGAUCCAUAAAGAUAUUUAAACCUACUACUUAUAGUUUAAUUUUUUAUAUUUUUAAUUCUUUUUAGUUGCUUCAAUUAUAUUCUUUUUCCGUCUUGAAAAAAUUAUAGUAAUAAAUAAUUUUUUUAAUAAAAAUAAAGUGGAUUUAAUUUCCCCCGAAACUCUAUACCCAGUUUUGGCGGCUGGCGGUGUAAUAAAUGCGUCAAUCUCGUUUUACACGUGUAUCCAAUCUCAUAUUUACACGUGUCCAAGUGGGCAGGUAUAUGUCAUUAAAAUACGUAAAAAAAGUCUAGGGGGUAAUAGGACCCCCUCAAAGUUCAGUAUGCGCUCAACUGGAAAUCUGAUGAAAGUUCAGAUAUUUUUGUGAGUAUUAUCCCUAAAAUAUAUGAGCAUACAUUUUAAAUUGAUGUCUAUUUAUUUUUUGACACAGGAAAAAUUAGAUGAAUCUUUAGUUGACUCGUUUAAUUUGCUAAUGUAUUUUCCAUCUCCUGAAGAUAUGACUAAAAUGGAAGAGAAAAAUGGUUGUUUUAGUAUUGAGAGAAUGGAAUUGACAUAUCCCAAAUCAAAACUUGUGGAUGAGGCUGAUGCAAAGACUUUAAUGAUAAAUCUAAGGGCUGUUUUAGAAGGACUAAUAAUAAAUCACUUUGGAAGUGAAAUAGCAAAAGAAGCUUGUGCAAGAACUAUUCUAAAAAGUGAAGAGAUUUCGACAUGGAUGAAAUCUAAUUAUGAGAAAUCAUGUCAAUUGUUUGUCGCUUUGAAGCGUAAAUGAAUUUCUAGGGAGGAAUCUAUGGAAGAAGUUUAGUAAUUAAUUUUCCUUUGCUUCACUUGCUGUAUUAUUUGUUGUUUCUACUGUUCUCGUGACUCUUUUUAUAACUAGUUAUUGUUGCUACUGAAUUUUUUUUCAUUAUUUUCAACCUAACUUCUUUAAUGAUGUAUUUUUCCUUUUCUUUCAUACUUUGUGAUAUACUAUUUAUUUUGCUUGAACCAAGAAUCUAUUAAAAACACCUCUCUGACUCCAUGGAGGGACUAAUGAUAAUAAUGUACUAAAAUAGUCAACACACAUUCAUAUUUGAAGCUUUUCAAAAAAUUGCUCGAGAUUUAGUAAAGGUUAGUACACAAUCAUAUUUGAAAUGAUUUAUUUCUGAAGGAUCUCUGAUUAAAGGGGAGAUCCCUGAUUUUGUACAAACGAUUUUGCCAAAGAAAAUAACUGAGUAUCCGAAACUCAAAGAGAAAAAAAAUGAGACUCUGAUACCAAGUUGAAUAAAGAGAAAUUCAGAACAUUACAGAUAAAGGGAUCGUGAUUUCUUUCAGGAAUUAGAACGGUAGAUUAUACAUUGAAUUUAUACAAAGAAAGGGGUCAUAAUUGUCUUCUAAUUACUAGCCUAGUAACCUGAUAGAUCCCUGAUUUAUUCUAAAGGAUCUCUGAUUAAAGGGAGAUCCCUGAUUUUGUACAAAUGACUUUGCUGGGAAAAAAAUUGAAUAUUCAGAACUUAGAAAGAGAAAUAUGAGACUUUGAUAGCAAGUUGAAUAAAGAGAGAUUCAGAACAUUAAAGAUAAAGGGAUCGUGAUUUCUUUCACUAAUUAGAACAGUAGAGUGUACAUUACUUUGUACAAAAAAAAAAAAAAAUAGUUCUAAUUGUCUUCUAAUUACUAGCCUAGUAACAAAGGAUAUCUCUGAUUUAUGAUAAAAGGAUCUCUAAUUAAUGGGGAGAUAUUUGAUUUUUGCGAUGCUAAAUAAGCUACGGACUAAAUAAGAUACAUAUUUUAUGAAGCUAAAUAAGCUACGGUUAAUUACUUCCAUCUCAUACGAUUCCGUCCCGAGUUUUCAUCGUUGGCCUUGACAUGAAACCACUAUCUAAGCUAUAUUUUCAGCCUAAACUUGUGUGUUAUCCUCUUUGAAUGCAUAAUGUGUCUGUCUCUCAUACGAUUGAGAAAGCAAGAUAAUAAAAAAGCUUUCUCGUUAUAUAUAUUUCACAAAUAAAAUAAAACAUAAAUUCAUGAAUAAUUUACUAUAAAUAUUAUUCAUAAACUAAACAUUGCAUUAGUUAUAUCAAGAUUUUUUUUUUCUUAUACAUCCAACCAAGCAUGGUGCAUUAAGUAGUUAUGCAUAGAUCAUUUUUUCUACCUAUCAAACCGUUUAAAUUGGAUUUGUUAUGUUUUAAAAAGAUCUUUUUUGCGUUUGGUUUUACUUCAUUAAUAAAAAUAAUGUUUACAUUGUCUUAAAAUUAAUUUAAAGAAAAGAUAAUUAAUGAUAAAGGAAAAAUAUGAAAAAAGAAAUUAUUUUUUUGAUAUGUCAAAAAUGACAAGUGAAAGUAGAAACACAAUUAAGAAAUUAGUGACAAGUAAAAGUGAACAGAGAAUGUAUUAAAUAUUCAUUCUCGUUUUACAAGUUGACUAUAUAUAUAUAUAUAUAUAUAUAUAUAUAUAUAUAUAUAUAUAUAUAGAAAUUAAGAAAAAAAAAAGAGUANNNNNNNNNNNNNNNNNNNNNNNNNNNNNNNNNNNNNNNNNNUAUAUAUAUAUAUAUAUAUAUAGUCAACUUGAAAAACGAGAAUGAAUAUUUAUAACAUAUAUAAUAUAUAUAUUAUCAUCUCAACAUAUUAUCAUCCAUUUUGAUAAUAUUGUUCUUGAGGAAUAAAUUUAAAAUAUAAAUGGUUCAAACCAAUUAUUUUUUCUCAAAUCCAAUAAUAAUUAUAUUAUUAGUAUCAAAAGACAGAUAACAUAAGUAAUUACUAACCUUGAAAUUCCCUUUAAAUUUAGAGAAAAUGGUCUAUUACCCCCCAACCUUUAGUCGAAAUUCCAACUACACACUCAACCUUUAAAGGUGACCUAUUACCCCUCUAAACUUAUUUUUACUGAAUUUAUUACCCCCCAGUUGCUGACGUGUCAAUGGACGUGACUACACUGCCCAUGAGCGCGUCAGUUGAGUCCAUUUCACUUAAAAUUCUUUAUUUUUUGAUUGUCACGUCAUUAUUUUUAAUAAUAUAAUAAAUAUUUUAAUUAUUACUUUUUCUUAAUGAAUUAUAAUUGUCACAUCAUGUCUUCUUCUUCUUCUUCUUCUUCUCUUUUUCAAAACGAAAAUUCAAGAACUCAUUAAUGGAGUUCUUCAUCUUUCCCAUCUCCAAAUUCUCAUUAAAGGUGUUUUUUGAUAAUUUGAAAAAUGUUAUUACUCGAAACCAAGAAACACUUGAACUAAGGAAACAAUAAGAUUUUUUCAAUUAAUGAAUUCUUGAAUGAGGAAUAUGAAGAACUCCGAUUCAAAAAACUUGCAAAAAUUCAAGAACUUCGAUUUCCUAUCUUUUUGCUCAAGAUCGCCAUUAAUGGCGAGUUCAAAGCUUUGAAUUUCCACAAUGCCAUAUAUAAUUUCCAACAUAACCUGUAGACACCUAAUUUUUUUCCUCCCAAGUCCAAUUUUGUUCAUUUUUACCUCACUUUAUCAUACACCCUUACCCACGUGAUUAUACCCUCCAUAAAAUGACAAAUAUAACAACCCUUAACAAAUUUUAUCUUGUUUUGAUCCUAUCCUACUUUAUCCUUACACCUCACCUACCUUACCUCUACCCCACCUACUUUACCUCACAACCCCACCCUCACCUCACUGGAAUAGAAUUUCACUCACAAUAUAACAACACUUCACACACAGAAUAAAGGGACGAAUUUUUGCUUCUUCUUCUUCUUCUUCUUCUUCUUCUUCUUCUUCUUCUUCUUCUUCUUCUUCUCACACAAAGCACACACGCAUAUAUUCACAAUCUCACUCACUAAAAACCAUAGAUAACAGCACUCACAUUUUCACUGGCAGUAGCAACACAUACUCCAUUACACCACCUAUACACAUCACUGGAAUAAUAACACAGGGAGGAGCGAAUACACACUACUUUCACACACUCUAUACAGAUUCACGCACACACAUAGUCGUGAGAAAAGAGUGAGAAAUGGAGGGAGAUUGAGAGAGAAGAGAAGAACGGGAAAGGGAGGUAGAAGAUAUUGAGAGAGAGAUUGGAGAAGAACGAAGUGAGAGAGAGAGCUGCGAAAGAGUGAGAAAGAUCUGUGAGAGAGUGAAAGAGAUUCGCGGGAGAGGACUAUUUUUGGCAAGUUCUCACUGGAAAAAUGUUGCUAUCGUCUUUUCUUCUCCGUUUCGUUCAUUGUUGGGGCUCUCCGGAGCUCCGAUGAUACAAAAAGUAAACCCAACCAUCAUCCCGUCGUCUUCUUGUCGCUGUUGGGGGUCGCCGGAGCUCCGGUCGACCCGUAGCAGUCCAAGUCCCGCAUCAAAAUAAGUCAACCGAUCUUUUGGAUUUGGUUCCAUGAAAUAUGUUAUGGAUUCUUGAUAUUUUAAUAUUUUGGAUUUGAUUUGUCGAUUAAUCGAGUUCGAGAUCAAGUUUUGUGAGUUUGGGUCCAGUUUAAGGUUUGGUGGCGCUCUAAUCAAGUAAUCCAAUUUGAUCGAAAUAAAGUCGUCAUUUGAGGUCCAAUUCUUCAACUCUAUUCUUCUCUUGUUUUACCCUCAUGUGAUGCAUUGAUGUUAUGAAUAUGAAUAAUUUGUUGUUUGGUAUAUAUUAAUCUUUGUUGUGUGUUGGUUGACAUUGGCUUCGAACUUUGAACACUUGAAUUGAUAAUCGAAGCAUGUGAUAAUUUGGUUGAUGGAUCGGGGGAUCGGAAUUUGAUAAAAGAUGGAUAAAUUAGCUUCUUUGAUUCAUUGUCAUUGUUAAUUUUACAUCUAAUUGUCAAUUUCGCGAUAGUAUUAUUAUAGGUCGAACGGGGUAGGCAACAGUAGGCUCAGGUAGGCAAAUUGAGAACUUGUGGAUUAUGGAAUGUUCGAAAUAUAUGUUGAAUGGCUUUGUUUUAUUGCCUUUGACUCAAUUGUACUCAUUUGGCCGGGGAAUGCCCCAAGGUAUCUGUAUUACCUUAUCCGGGGAAUGCCCCUGAGAAAGUUGUACCAGAAGAUGGGGCACGGCCAAGGCCCGGAACAUCGAGUGGAGUUUAGUUUAGAGUAGAAUAGGAUUUAUAUUUCUGCAUUUUUAUUUUGGAACUGUAUAAUUCGGACUGGACACUACACUUCUGGAUUUAUUUUAUUUUGUGUGUUCGAUUGAUUGUUUCAUGUGUUUUGUGUGGUUUAUACAUUUGUAACGCCAAAUUAGCCGAUACGCCUCACCAAGCGACAGUGGUCGAACCAUGGGAUCGAGGGACGCCUAACACCUUCCCCUCGAUCAACAGAAUUCCUUAGCCGGAUUCUCUGUUCGUGGAUCAAUAUUCAGAGUCAAACUGUUUUGAAAAAAGGAUUUCCAAAGGUGACUUGGCACACCCGAUCUAUGCCAAGUGGCGACUCUGAUUUUGAAUGUAAAAACUAUCCUUCUUCGAAACAAAUUUUUAUUUUUUGUCACUUAAUAAUAAAACCCUUUCAAACUGUAAAAUGAAUCUUUUUAGAGUGUAAAAAGGGGUGUGAUAGCUCUGGCGACUCUGCUGGGGAAAAUUUCAGAAUCCGAGCUUUUUUGGAGUCAUAUCGGCUUUGUUUGACAUUACGAGUGUAUAAGUAUUGUUUGUGAUUUUUGUUUGUGUUUUAACUUUUGUGUAUUUUCGUGCUCUUUGUUUAUAGUAUUUAUCCUAUGUGUUACCGCUUUUAUAGCUGACAUCAUGUGCAUAACCCGAGUCAUUCAUUCCGCAACCUAGUUAACGAGCUAGGUCAAGAAAUGGAAGAUUUAGACUUAAGCAACCUAAUGAUUAAUAAUUUAAUGAAUGUUAAUCAAGAAUGUAUACAUGAAUUUCAAAGAAAUAAGGGUUUAGAUAGUAAUCGAUGCCGUAUAUGUAAUUGGUACCCAAGUAAAGACAACAGAGCUAAAUGCAAAAAAUGCUACCUAGAGGCAUGUAUAAAUUGUAUAGAAAACACUUUAAAAAUAAAAGUAGAAUCAGAAAUAAAUAAUGGACAAAAAUUUACGAGCAAUCAAAUUUUAAACCUAAGGGUGUCUACACUAGAGACUCGAUUAAAUGAUCUAGAACAAAGAUUAACCAUUCUAGAAAAAGGAAAAACAAAAGUCACCAUAGAAGAAACGGAUACACAAGAAGCGGUACAUUUAGAAAAGCUAGAAGCAGAACUUAUGAAUUUAGAAGAUAAUAGCACUGGUCUAAUAUGCAACGAAGAUAAAGAAUUCUCUACCAUAAAAGUAUUAGUAAAAAUUAAAAUAAAAGACGUAGAAAUAGAAACUCUAGCAUUAAUAGAUCCUGGAUGUACUAGCUGUUUAAUCAAUAAAGAAAUAGUACCAGAACACUUAUUAAAAAUACUUGAUAAACCUAUAAUGGCCACUCAAAUGGAUGGGUCGCACAAUAUUUAUAAUUAUUACAUAGACAAAGCACAAAUAAGUUUUUUAAAUACAUGCAAUCAAUUCUAUAACCCAGUGUACAAUGUCAAUAAAAUACUAGCACGAGAUUUAAAUAUAGGAUCAGAUUUUGUUAUAGGAUUAAGAUUUUGUAUACAGAAUCAAGGAGGAUGUCUCUUGACAAGAGAUGGAAUAAUGCUCUUUAAAAAUUUAACUUAUACACCAGUACAAACAGUAACACUGCCUACAGUAUUUAGAAAACUAAAUACAAAUAAAAAGAAAUCGCUUCCAGAACCAUGUUGCGACGAUUGCCAAAAUAAUCAAUGCAGCAACCUGCUAAGAGAAAAUCUGGAAGAAGUUAGAACCUAUACACUACUUAAUGCAGAAGGACAAGAAUGUUUAACAGAUAUUGAAAAAGACUAUACCCUAAUAAGUAUAGAAACUCAAUUCUUUAGGUUUUUCUAUUAUGGUUGCUAUUAGUUUUUCAAUUUCUAAUUUUGUAGGUAUUUUUUCCAAGUUAAACUUAUGGUUUAAAUACUGGAUUUUUCUGUCUAUUUCUACUUCUUGUGACUUAAGAUAAUCUAAAUUUUGUUCUAUCUUUUCUAGUGUCUUUUUGUUUUUACUUUGAGUAACUUCUAUUUGGUCUAGAGUUCUUAUUAUACUGUUAUCUUUUUCUUGAGUUUUUUCACUUGUAUUUAUCAGGAAAUCUAUUAUCGUGUUAUAUUGUUUAUCUUCCGAAUGUAAAAUAUGCUCUCCUUGAUUAAAAUUACACCUUAUGGUGGAGUUAUUUUUUAAUAUUCUAUAUUUCUUUUCAGGUUGGAAUCUAAGAUCUAGGUAAUCGAGAUGUUUUAAAGAAGCUAUUUUGUUAUCCCAGGUGAUUUAAGUUAAGGUAUUUUUUACUUAGCUUAGUUUGAUAUCUCAAUCUACUAUUUGUAUAAGUUAUAUCCAAGUCUACUUCUUGUAUAUUCUCUAUUAACCUAGAUUUUUCGCUAAUUAAAGCUUUUUUAUAAUAGUUAGAUGUUAUAGUAAUUAUUUCGUCUGUUUCCUUAAAAUUUAAAAUAUCUGUUUCUAGAUUUCUUAUUUCUUUAUUUAACAGCUCUAGUCUUUCUACAAAUUGUUUACGAAUUUUUUCAAGUUGAUGUUUAUAUAUAAAUUCCCUAUAAUAUUGUUGUUGUAUUUGCCGUAUGACCUCAAUAUAUCUUAUUGGCAUUUAUUAUCCUAACUGAUAAGCUUUUCUUCUAAUGCCUUCUUUAAGCCACCUUAUUGCGGAAGUACUAUUUUCUAAGUCUCUUUCACAGCCCUGUAUUUCCCAAUUUACUGCGCUCAAUAAGUCGUGAUAAUAGUUUGUUCGUACUUUUUUAACUUUUAAUAACCUUUUUUGACCUUCUUCUAAAUUACGUAGUUUAGUCAAUAUAUGUUUUUGUUUUCUAAUUUCUCGGUAUAAAUAAAAAUAACUACACCUUAUGUCUUGAAAUGAUCUAUGUCUUUUCAUAUAAAUUUUGAAAAUUAUUUGCGAGUUAAUAGGUAAUGUUCCCAAAACCUUCUCGCUCUGAUACCAAAAUAAUCGGAUAUUUCAAUAUUUAAUUUUUCAAUAAAUAAUUUACUGAAUGAUAAUAGAUGAAGAUGUUUUUAGAAAAUUGUUUGAAUAAAUCANNNNNNNNNNNNNNNNNNNNNNNNNNNNNNNNNNNNNNNNNNNNNNNNNNNNNNNNNNNNNNNNNNNNNNNNNNNNNNNNNNNNNNNNNNNNNNNNNNNNNNNNNNNNNNNNNNNNNNNNNNNNNNNNNNNNNNNNNNNNNNNNNNNNNNNNNNNNNNNNNNNNNNNNNNNNNNNNNNNNNNNNNNNNNNNNNNNNNNNNNNNNNNNNNNNNNNNNNNNNNNNNNNNNNNNNNNNNNNNNNNNNNNNNNNNNNNNNNNNNNNNNNNNNNNNNNNNNNNNNNNNNNNNNNNNNNNNNNNNNNNNNNNNNNNNNNNNNNNNNNNNNNNNNNNNNNNNNNNNNNNNNNNNNNNNNNNNNNNNNNNNNNNNNNNNNNNNNNNNNNNNNNNNNNNNNNNNNNNNNNNNNNNNNNNNNNNNNNNNNNNNNNNNNNNNNNNNNNNNNNNNNNNNNNNNNNNNNNNNNNNNNNNNNNNNNNNNNNNNNNNNNNNNNNNNNNNNNNNNNNNNNNNNNNNNNNNNNNNNNNNNNNNNNNNNNNNNNNNNNNNNNNNNNNNNNNNNNNNNNNNNNNNNNNNNNNNNNNNNNNNNNNNNNNNNNNNNNNNNNNNNNNNNNNNNNNNNNNNNNNNNNNNNNNNNNNNNNNNNNNNNNNNNNNNNNNNNNNNNNNNNNNNNNNNNNNNNNNNNNNNNNNNNNNNNNNNNNNNNNNNNNNNNNNNNNNNNNNNNNNNNNNNNNNNNNNNNNNNNNNNNNNNNNNNNNNNNNNNNNNNNNNNNNNNNNNNNNNNNNNNNNNNNNNNNNNNNNNNNNNNNNNNNNNNNNNNNNNNNNNNNNNNNNNNNNNNNNNNNNNNNNNNNNNNNNNNNNNNNNNNNNNNNNNNNNNNNNNNNNNNNNNNNNNNNNNNNNNNNNNNNNNNNNNNNNNNNNNNNNNNNNNNNNNNNNNNNNNNNNNNNNNNNNNNNNNNNNNNNNNNNNNNNNNNNNNNNNNNNNNNNNNNNNNNNNNNNNNNNNNNNNNNNNNNNNNNNNNNNNNNNNNNNNNNNNNNNNNNNNNNNNNNNNNNNNNNNNNNNNNNNNNNNNNNNNNNNNNNNNNNNNNNNNNNNNNNNNNNNNNNNNNNNNNNNNNNNNNNNNNNNNNNNNNNNNNNNNNNNNNNNNNNNNNNNNNNNNNNNNNNNNNNNNNNNNNNNNNNNNNNNNNNNNNNNNNNNNNNNNNNNNNNNNNNNNNNNNNNNNNNNNNNNNNNNNNNNNNNNNNNNNNNNNNNNNNNNNNNNNNNNNNNNNNNNNNNNNNNNNNNNNNNNNNNNNNNNNNNNNNNNNNNNNNNNNNNNNNNNNNNNNNNNNNNNNNNNNNNNNNNNNNNNNNNNNNNNNNNNNNNNNNNNNNNNNNNNNNNNNNNNNNNNNNNNNNNNNNNNNNNNNNNNNNNNNNNNNNNNNNNNNNNNNNNNNNNNNNNNNNNNNNNNNNNNNNNNNNNNNNNNNNNNNNNNNNNNNNNNNNNNNNNNNNNNNNNAUGCGUACCCGACUUGCAUUAUUAAAGUUUUCUUUCUUAUCUUUUAUCAAAAAGUGUCGGCCAAUUAUAUUUCGGCCACGUAGCAGUUUUCAAAACCACUCCUUUAUGUAGUUUUUGCCUAUAAAAGGCACACAUUCUUGUAGUAGAAGAUCAGAGUGAAAUCAACCAACUCCACAUCUCCUUGUAAUGUUUAACACCUUUCUCCCAAACAACCUGUCUAACCCAGUGUUUUUCAUAUGAACUUUGUAACAAUAAAGCUUGAAGUUUUUCUUUUUCAUUCACAUCUUUAGGGGGUUCCCGAAAGGGAAACCUCUCUCCUACGUUACUUCAUGUAAGUUCUUAUAUUUUCCCCACAAAAAUAUUUCUAUUUAUGUUCUUAUGUUUUGUUUUUACAUAACUAUGUAAAUUAACUUUUGUUUCUGCAUAACCAUGUAAAUUACCUUAAAAUGCUUACCCUUAGUAUAUGGUUAGUCUCUUAAUUUCUUAGUAUCUACGAUGGAUUAACCUGUAAAUUCCUAGGAAUUCUGGCCUUGUUAGUCCAAAAAAGUCUGCACUAUAGACGAAGGACGAGUGUUAUCUGCCAGAUAGAAACUUUUCCGGGGUGUGGUUAAAGAAGUAUGAUGUUAAGAAUAUAGAUUAAGAGAAAGAGAUGAACAGGGUAAAAAAAAAAAAAAAAAAAAAAAAAAAAGNNNNNNNNNNNNNNNNNNNNNNNNNNNNNNNNNNNNNNNNNNNNNNNNNNNNNNNNNNNNNNNNNNNNNNNNNNNNNNNNNNNNNNNNNNNNNNNNNNNNNNNNNNNNNNNNNNNNNNNNNNNNNNNNNNNNNNNNNNNNNNNNNNNNNNNNNNNNNNNNNNNNNNNNNNNNNNNNNNNNNNNNNNNNNNNNNNNNNNNNNNNNNNNNNNNNNNNNNNNNNNNNNNNNNNNNNNNNNNNNNNNNNNNNNNNNNNNNNNNNNNNNNNNNNNNNNNNNNNNNNNNNNNNNNNNNNNNNNNNNNNNNNNNNNNNNNNNNNNNNNNNNNNNNNNNNNNNNNNNNNNNNNNNNNNNNNNNNNNNNNNNNNNNNNNNNNNNNNNNNNNNNNNNNNNNNNNNNNNNNNNNNNNNNNNNNNNNNNNNNNNNNNNNNNNNNNNNNNNNNNNNNNNNNNNNNNNNNNNNNNNNNNNNNNNNNNNNNNNNNNNNNNNNNNNNNNNNNNNNNNNNNNNNNNNNNNNNNNNNNNNNNNNNNNNNNNNNNNNNNNNNNNNNNNNNNNNNNNNNNNNNNNNNNNNNNNNNNNNNNNNNNNNNNNNNNNNNNNNNNNNNNNNNNNNNNNNNNNNNNNNNNNNNNNNNNNNNNNNNNNNNNNNNNNNNNNNNNNNNNNNNNNNNNNNNNNNNNNNNNNNNNNNNNNNNNNNNNNNNNNNNNNNNNNNNNNNNNNNNNNNNNNNNNNNNNNNNNNNNNNNNNNNNNNNNUAUAUAUAUAUAUAUAUAUAUAUAUAUAUAUAUAAAUGGUAGAAGUUUUGUACAUUUCAUAUAACGAAAAUAUCAAAAUAAAAAAAAAUCUUUUUAUUCCUUUACCAUGCAUUCAUAAUUCGAAAAUUUCAAAAAAUAUUUUUCUUUCAUAGUUGUUGGUGUCAAAUUAAAAACCCAAAUUUUUUCUAUUUUUCAUUUAUUCAUCGGUCUUUGGUUGUGUCUCUUAAGUUAGGGUCAGUCUAUUAGUUAAUCUUUAUUUGUCCAACAUAGACGAACUACGCACCCUUGAUUCUCCUCUUUCGGGAUGUGAGAUACGUAGGCAGCCUAUUGUUGGUCCGGGGAUCUUAUUUAAAAAAAAUAAUUAAAAAAGAUUUUUUUCAUUCUUCAUUUAUAGUAGGUGUUUCAUACAUGUAUUGAAAAGAAAAAUACAAAGAAAAAAAAAGAUUUUUCUCAAUAGUCGUAGGUUUCAUUUUUGGUUGAUCUUAUUUCAAAAAUUCAAAAAGAUUUUCUUCACUCUUCAUUUAGAGUAGGUAUUUCAUAUACAUCUUUAAAAUAAAACUACAAAAAAAAAAAAUUCUUUAACAGGUUCAAGUUCCAUUUUCAUAUGAAAUUUAAAACUGAAAAUCCAAAAAGAUUUUCUUUGGUAAUCAUAGAUUUCACUUUGUAUAGGGAUGUUAAAGCUUAAAAAUUCAAAAACAUUUUCGUCAAUUCUUUUGACAAAUUGUUAUUUUCUUUUCUUCUUAAAGUUUAAAAAGUUCAAUUGGCCAUUUUGGCAUGACUUGAUGAACUACGCACCCCUGGUUCUCCCCUUUCGGGGGUGAGAUGCGUAGGCGCCCUUCUAGGGUUCGGUGAUAUUUUUUUCAAAAAAAAGAGGUUUUGAAAAAUGUUGAACUCUAACAUAUUUGUUGCCUCUUGUUCAGUUAGUUUAAGGUGAUUGGUUUGUGGUUUCCUGGCUGGUCCUCUAUAUCACACCAAAUCCAAGGAAGGAUUAGUUGUGUCCAACAAGGAUAUAGAGAGUGGCAUCAUGGAUGAUACAAAGAGUCAGGAAAUUGAGAGUUUAAAGAAAGAGAAUUUGAGACUGAGACAACAAAUGAUGGAAAUGUACUGAGCUUGGGCCAGUGGGCUGCCUCCACCUCCGUUCCCCACUUUUGAUCCUGCAAAUACCUUAAGUCUUCCACCAAAAUCGCAAAGUCAGUUUCCUACUGUUGUUGAUGCACCACAACAUGCCUCAGAAUCCAUUCCACGUCAAAUGCACCUCAACACUUCCACUACUCUUUCUUUAUCUCCUCAGUAUAAGUCUGCCACAUUCACAGCACCACAUACCGUCUGCCACAUUCACAGCACCACAUACCGUCUGUGCUUUUGUUGCUCAACCUUCUACUAAGGCUUCCACUUUGUCUAUCAAUCCAACGAUUGUGCUUCCCCAGUCCACUAGUGACUCCACAUUCAAUACUGUUGAUGAUCAUUGGUAUACUCUUGAGCCUACAGUUAAGUUAAGUGAACCGCCAAAUUUUCUUACUAAGAAGCUUAGCAUGCCAAAAGAGCCAAAGAAAAUGGUUGGGAAAGUGAAGAGUGUAGAAAAUGAUAUGAAAAAUUCCCCUAGACUUAUGGGCUAUGAAAAUGUUUCAUAUAAAAACUGGGGCAUGUCUUCAAGUGUUAACCUUCCUCCCAGCUUUGAGAUAUCAAAAUUUGGGGAGCCUGAUGGAUAGAAGGAUUCUGUGAAACAUUCGAGAUGACAUUGCAAUCAACCAAGGGAAACUGAUAGAAAGAAGAAGGAAAAUGCACCUAUUGUCAUGACAAGGCCAAAGCAGAGUUUGAGAGGUCCAACCCACCAAUACUGUCAGCCUCAAUCCCGAGCUUACAUACCAGAUCCACAUAACCACUUGCAACAAGGUUUCUUUCUCCGAAAUCCAAGAAAUCCCAUUCCACUUCCUUGAUAUCCUAUGAACAAUGCACAAUUGUAUGCUCAUUCAUCUUCUUAUCCACAAUGGCAUGCACCUGUCCCUCAACAUCGUCCUCGACCCCCACAAAUUUACCAAGGGACCUCUAAAUCCAAAUUUUAUCUGAGGCCAGAGUUCGCAAAAAGGAGGAAGGAAAAAGAUAAUUUCACUCAUAUUGGGGAAUCCUAUGCCAGUUUAUUCCAGAAAUUGGUACAGCAGCGCAUGAUCACUCCUCUCCUUGGGUAUACUCCUGACCCGCAUUCAAGAAGACUUGAUCCUAAUGUGCAAUGUGCAUAUCAUUCUGAUGUUCAGGACCAUAGUACUGAAGAUUGUCGCACUUUGAAAAGAGAAAUAGAAAAGAUAAUUCAAGAUAAAUUGAUUGUGGUGCAAAACAUCCACAGAUUUCUUCACCAGCACGCGGUACUGCACAAUAUGUGGGAGGUAAUGAGUUAAGCAUGGUGAUCCAGAGCUUAUUUGUUGAAGAAAAUAUGUCUGACAGUGGUGGAAGCUCCAGUCAUGUUGAUAUGCAAACCAGUGGCUAAUAUGUUAGGCUGAGCAAUUGAAAAGUCACCCCUCUCCCUACUAGGAAGAGGUCUAGUAGUUUGUUUUGUUUUCUUUCCUGUUUUUUGAAUUAUUUCAGGGUUGUAGUCCGGGAUCUAUCUUAUUUUGUCCCUUUGUUGUUUAUGUUCAAACCCUUUUAUCUUUUAUUUCAACUAAAUAAAGUGUCCCUUUCCUUUUGUGUUUCAAAUAUGUGUUGUUUGUUUGUUUUCUUUAUACAGUUACUUUAUGUUGAUUCUAGUGAUAUGACAUGCCUGCAGAAUUUUUAGUCAGAUCUUAAAAUCCAACUUAAUCAUGAAGCAUUGAAUCAGAGAGUUAAAUUUAGGAAAAGAGAGCAUCUGAGAAAAUAAAUAGAGUGUUGGGGCAUUUGGUGAUCAACUUAAAGCCUUCUUUGAAAAUUGAGACUUUUUGAGAAUCGCAAGGACAACUUGGUCAUCAAUUGAAAGAUAUUUCUUAAUUAGGUCAAACGGUGUCUACGUGAUCCUAUCAAGAGGAACAGGAAGAAAACUAGCUCCACGAAGUCAUGAGUCCUUCAGCAUGAGGAAUGUAUAACAAAGUGGAGUUGUAUGCUAGUCAAGUGUAGAAAAAGAGGUGGCAUAUAUGCUCGGGGCAAGUUAGUGUUGUAAAACAUUUCAUAAGUGAUCUUGAUCAUGCACUUUCUCAUUGCAUGCUAUGUACUAGCAUUUUCAAGAAUUGAUAUGAUGAAGGCAUUUCAUUCUGCUAUCCAAACACUGUGUCAUCCUUUGUUUACCCCCAUUUGGGCCUUAGUGUUAUUUUCUUUCAUACCCCUCUUUUGGAAUCAAGAUAAGAGUCAACAAAAUUCAAAAAAAUAUGCCGAAAAAGAAAGAAAAAAUGAGUGUCAAGAAAAAUAAAGUCAGAAAAGUCCCAAAGACAAAAGAGUCAACAAAAGAAAAAAAUAGAAUCAAGUGAAAGAACAAGCUGCCAAAACUACGCAUGACCCGAUUCUCCUCUCUCGAAGGUGAGAUAGUACGCUGCCCUACUCAGGGCUCGGUCCAACCAAAUAAACAAUUUAGAGUCACCCAGUCAAAAGAAACUGGGGCAUGAGUUAAUCCUCAUUGUUUGAGUCGAUUCCAAAAGUUGUAAGUCCUACCCCACUUCAAGUAUCGUUUGAGCCCCAUGNNNNNNNNNNNNNNNNNNNNNNNNNNNNNNNNNNNNNNNNNNNNNNNNNNNNNNNNNNNNNNNNNNNNNNNNNNNNNNNNNNNNNNNNNNNNNNNNNNNNNNNNNNNNNNNNNNNNNNNNNNNNNNNNNNNNNNNNNNNNNNNNNNNNNNNNNNNNNNNNNNNNNNNNNNNNNNNNNNNNNNNNNNNNNNNNNNNNNNNNNNNNNNNNNNNNNNNNNNNNNNNNNNNNNNNNNNNNNNNNNNNNNNNNNNNNNNNNNNNNNNNNNNNNNNNNNNNNNNNNNNNNNNNNNNNNNNNNNNNNNNNNNNNNNNNNNNNNNNNNNNNNNNNNNNNNNNNNNNNNNNNNNNNNNNNNNNNNNNNNNNNNNNNNNNNNNNNNNNNNNNNNNNNNNNNNNNNNNNNNNNNNNNNNNNNNNNNNNNNNNNNNNNNNNUGAAAACCCUUCAAGGCGCCACUAGCCGAAUGGGGUCUUAAAUGCAAUUGACCUAAGAAAGCAACUCAGUUUCAAGGACAUUAACUCAACAACAAUCUAGAAAGUUUGGAUGAAAAGAUCAAGCUACUUAAUCCAAAAUGCAUGGCAUAAUCAUUAUUGUUGACUGUCAUUUUUAGAUGAAUUUUUCGUUUCUUUGUUUUAAAAGGGGACAUUCAUUGUCUUUUCUUUCUUCUCUUCAUUUUAAUUUCAUCUUUCUUAAGUCAGUUAUCAAAACAAAAUUGUCAUUCUUUUUUUUGUUUCUUAUUUUUGAGUCAAGUCCGUGUCAAAACAAGUGAGAAAAUAUUUCAAAACUGGCUACCAGCUUCUUUAAUUGCACAAAGCAAGACAAAAGCUAGCACAUGAAAGAGACAUGAUUGUGAGCCUAAAAAAAGGCAUGCAGGAAGUUUUGUCAAUAGAGAAGCCGGGGAACUCAUGGAAAUACCAAGUUUCAAAGGGUUUAUUUGAGAAACACGACCAAGCAGAAAUACUGUGUUUGUUUCAGAGUCACUCUUAAUAAGCUGAGUUUGAGUCAAUGAUACAACAAGUCAGUGACAAAUGCUAAUGGUUGGAAGUAAAGCUAAAUGUGACGGGGGCAGGAGCAAUUGCCUCAGAAGCUAAAGCCACAAACUAGCCACCAUGUUUUUAAACUCACAAGUUUUCUUUGUAUGUAAUAGGAAUACAUGUUGCAUUAAGAUCAAGGAUUUCAGAGCUUAAACAUCAAAGACCGUAAUUUCUCACCUCAAUAAAUGCAAGAGGCAAGGUUGCUGCACAGGUUUGGUAAUCAAAACCAUGGUAAAACUCAUAAUUCAAGAUCUCUAGGAGACGCACUUCCUUGUUUUGGUAAUUCAAGCAGCUUUGGUAAGGAGACGCACUUCAUUGUUUUGAUAAUUCAAACAACAUUGAUAAGGAAACACACUUCCUUGAUUGGGUAAUUCGGAUUUUUCUUCUUAGGUAAUGCACUUCCUAACUUAAGUCUUGAUUCCUAGAAGACGUACCUUUUAGUCGAGUCAUUCACCUUGACUCCUAGAAGACGUACCUUUUAGUCGAGUCAUCCCCUUUGAUUCCUAUAAGACGUACCUUUUAGUCUAUCAUUUCUAUUGAUUCCUAUAAGACGUACCUUUUAGUCGAGUCAUCCCCUUUGAUUCCUAUAAAUUGUACCUUUUAGGCGAGUCAUUCCUAUUGAUUUCUAUAAGACGUACCUUUUAUUCGAGUCAUUCCCUUUGAUUCCUAUAAAACGUACCUUUUAGUCGAGUCAUCUCCUUUGAUUCCUAUAAGACAUACAUUUUAGUUGAGUUAUUCCAAUUAACUCAUAGAAAAUGCAUUUCUUUGUUUGGUAUAAUUUUUUUUUUCAGUUUUGAUGUGAUUUCAGGAGCAUGCCCUAAGCACAGGGCGAAUAAAUGGAAAACCAAGCAACAAGGUGAAGAAAUUAAAAGUUAAACAGAUUAAAAAAUAGCAAGUAAGUAGCCCGCCUACAGAACAGGGUGAAAAAAAUUGAAAGCAUAGAAACAAGUUGAUGUAAUAGCAAGUCAAGAGCCCACCUGCAGAAUAGGGUGAAGAAAUUGAAAGCAUAGCAACAAGUUGAUGAAAUAGCAAGUCAGGAACCCGCUUGGAGAACAGGGUGAAGAAAUUAAAAGAAAGCAACAAGUUAAAGGAAUAGCAAGUCAGGAGCCCGCCUGAAGAAUAGGGUGAUGAAACUCAAGUCAAGAGUCCAAAAAAAGUUGUAUAGAUAGGAUUUUUGUAAUUUCAUUUAUGCUUUAACUUGUAAUUUUCAUUUUUAAUGUAAUAACAGAGCCGCGGACUGGAACCUCGACGGAACCCCACUCGACUCUCUAACUCGGUAUAGUCCAUCACUUUCCAAUCCUUUGAGAUACCUGUCACUCAAUUCCCUCAUAACUUGGGUAGGUAGGAUGUCCUAAGUCAAGACUCGGUUGUACUUCUUUCUUUUGUUUCUUCCUUUGAAUAAUGAUCGGGUCAAAAUUUGGUCUCGUCGUCUACUUCUUGGUCUGAAAACACUUCAUGUUUACAUUCAAAGGAGACAUGUUGUAGACACCUAAUAUUGUCCCUCCCAAGUCCAAUUUUAUUCAUUUUUACCUCACUUUAUCAUACACCCUUACCCACGUGAUUAUACCCUCCAUAAAAUGACAAAAAUAACAACCCUUAACAAAUUUUAUCUUGUUUUGAUCCUAUCCUAACAAACUUUAUCCUUACACCUCACCUACCCCACCUACCCUACCUCAUGACCCCACCCUCACCUCACUGGAAUUGAAUUCCACUCACAAUAUAACAACACUACACACACAGAAUAAAGAGACGGAUUUUCGCUUCUUCUUCUUAUUCUUCUUCUCACACAGAGCACACACGCAUAUAUUAACAAUCUCACUCACUAAAAACCACAGAGAGCAUCACUCACAUUUCCACUAAUAGUAGCAAAACAUACUCCAUUACACUACCUAUACACAUCACUGGAACAAUAACACAGGGAGGAGCGAAUACACAUAAUUUUCACACUCUAUACAGAUUCACGCACAUACAUAGCCGUGAGAAAUGGAGGGAGAUUGAGAGAGAAGAGAAGAACGAGAAAGGGAGGUCGAAGAUAUUGAGAGAGAGAUCGGAGAAGAACGAAGUGAGAGAGAGAGCUGCGAAAGAGUGAGAAAGAUCUGUGAGAGAGUGAAAGAGAUUUGCGGGAGAGGACUAUUUUUGGCAAGUUCUCACUGGAAAAAUGUUGCUAUCGUCCUUUCUUCUCCGUUUCGUUCAUUGUUGGGGCUCUCCGGAGCUCCGACGAUACAAAAAGUAAACCCAACCAUCAUCCCGUCGUCUUCUUGUCGCUGUUGGGGGUCGCCGGAGCUCCGGUCGACCCGUAGUAGUCCAAGUCCCAUAUCAAAAUAAGUCAACCGAUCUUUUGGAUUUGGUUCCAGCGAAAUCUGUUACGGAUUCUUGAUAUUUUAAUAUUUUGGGUCUGAUUUAUUGAUUAAACCGAGUUCGAGAUCAAUUUUUGUGAGUUUGGGUCCAGUUUAAGGUUCGGUGGCCCUCUAAUCAAGUAAUCCGAUUUGAUCGAAAUAAAGUCAUCAUUUGAGGUCCAAUUCUUCAACUCUAUUCUUCUCUUAUUUUACCCUCACAUGAUGCGUUUAUGUUAUGAAUAUGAAUGAUUUGUUGUUUGGUAUAUUUUAAUAUUUGUUGUGUGUUGGUUGACAUUGGUUUCGAACUUUGAACACUUGAAUUGAUAAUCGAAGCAUGUGAUAAUUUGGGUGAUGGAUCGGGGGAUCGAAAUUUGAUAAAAGAUGGAUAAAUUAGCUGCGUAGAUUCAUUGUCAUUGUUAAUUUUGCAUCUAAUUGUCAAUUUCGCGAUGGUAUCAUGAUAGGUCGAACGGGGUAGGAAAAAGUAGGCUCGGGUAGGCAAAUUGAGAACUUGUGGAUUAUGGAAUGUUCGAAAUAUAUGUUGAAUGGCUUUGUUUUAUCGCCUUUGACUCAAUUGUACUCAUUUGGCCGGGGAAUGCCCCGAGGUAUCUGUAUUGCCUUAUCCGGGGAAUGCACCGAGAAAGUUGUACCGGAAGAUGGCGAACGGUCAAGGCUCGGAACGUCGGGUGGAGUUUAGUUUAGAAUAGAAUAGGAUUUAUAUUUUUGCAUUUUUAUUUUGGAACUGUAUAAUUCGGACUGGACACUGCACUUCUGGAUUUGUUUUAUUUUGUGUGUUCGAUUGAUUGUUUCAUGUGUUUUGUGUGGUUUAUACAUUUGUUACGCCAAAUUAGCCGAUACGCCCCACCAAGCGACCGUGGUCGAACCACGGGAUCGAGGGAUGCCUAACAUCUUCUCCUCGGUCAACAGAAUUCCUUAGCCGGAAUCUCUGUUCGCGGAUCAAUAUUCAGACAAACUAUUUUGAAAAAAGGAUUUUCAAAGGUGACUUGGCACACCCGAUCUAUGUCAAGUGGCGACUCUGAUUUCGAAUGUAAAAACUAUCCUUCUUCGAAACAAAUUUUCAUUUUUUUUGUCACUUAAUAAUAAAACCCUUUCGAACUGUAAAAUGAAUCUUUCUGGAGUGUAAAAAGGGGUGUGACAUAACCCACGUAUAAUUUUCAACCCAUUUCUCCAAUUUUCUCUAUUUUUGCUCAAGAUCUGUCAUUAAUGGUGAGCUCAAAGCUUUGAAUUUUCACAAUGGGAAAGAAUUCGCCAUUAAUGGAGAUCUUGAGCAAAAAAAGAUGAAAAGCUUUGAGGAGCAUUUAUCCUCCAUUAAUGGGUUGAAGAAGAACAUACGUGUGUAUGUGUGAGGUACAUUUACACACUCAUUUUCUAUUUUUGAUUUCCCUAAGAAUUCUAUUUUUGACCCAAGAAGAUGAAAUUGGGUUGAAGAAGAAAAUGGAGCAAAAUGGGAAAGAAGAAGAAAAAAGAAAAUAAUAAUGUUAAAUAAUUAAUUUUUUAACAGUAAAAAAAAUUUAAAAUGACGUGGCAUGAUGUGGCAGCGUGUGCAUCACACUACAUGCCCAAAUGACUGGUUGUCAGUUUUUGAGAGGGUAAUAAUUCCACUUUAAAAUAGUUCAUGGGGGUAAUAAUUCCAUUUUAAAAUAAUUCAGGGGAGUCAUAGGACCUCAGCAAAGUAUAAAUGUAUAGUUGGGAUUUGGGGUAAAGGUUGGAGGGGCUUUGGACCAUUUUUUUCUUAAAUUUAUAAUCUCACCUUGUUUAGCAGAGUCUCGUGCUGAUAACGUAUUAUGAAAUAACUAAGAAUAAAGAAGAAAAGUAUAGAGAGAAUAGAUCAACUAGAUAUUGAUAGAUCUUAUCUAUAUAGACAUUCAAUAUAAUGUAAAUACAUUUAUAACAUAUGUAUUAAAUUUAAACAAAUAAAUCCAAGACUUUUUAUUAAGUUUUUGUUUUAGGCUAAUUUCCUGCUUUUAUAAAGCAAAAAAUUUAAUAGCUUGUUUGGUUGAAGUGAUAAGGAGAAAUACUUAAAUAGUAUAAAAUCUCUCAUAAAUAUAGAAAUUACAAAUUUAACUCAUGAAACCAUGAUUUGUCCAACUUACUCAAAUUUAUUAAUUUAUCUCAUUUAAAAAUGAAUUAGGCUGAUAAGUAGUACAAAUUAACCCAUACAAAAAUUGUCAUAAUAUUUUUUUGGAGAUUAUAAAUUAUAUAUAGCUAUAAUAAAAAAAUAAUUAUUAAUUCGUCACAGAAUUAUAAAAGGAAAAAUAAAAAGAAAUUAUAACUUAAUAAGAAUUUAUUUCUGUCCAACACAUGCAUGCCAUUUAGUCAAAAUAAAGAAUUUUUAAUUUCUUUGGCCCAACAUUAUUUUAGUGAAAUUGCCAACAUUUCUCUGGUUGCUUGAUUAUGAAAUGUCUCAUUAUAAUCAUUUUUAGUAGUUUGAUAAAUAUGAUUAACUGACUAUAUUUAUGUAAUAUUAAAAUUGGUUCCCAGCUAAUCAAGCACAGACCUCCAUUCACCCAUGUGCAUUCAUUUUGGGAUAUUUUCAAAAAUAUAGCAUUUAUUAACUCGUCGCAUGGGUUUACCUAGUGCGGUUUACAUCUCCUGUGUGGUUUAUGAGCGAUUGCACAACGAAGGGUUUACCAAGUACGCACAAAGUGCUCACCCAAAGGGCAGAGGUUUGUAGCGGCUGUAGGUUAUCCUGGAAUUUUCAAAAAAAAAAAAAAACAUUAUGCAACUUUAUAUAAUAUUACGAAUUUACAGUAUACAAAUCUCUCUCUCUUUAUAUAUAUAUAGUUAGUUAGUUAGUUAGUUAGUUAGUUAGUUUAUAGAUUAUAGAUUUUAGGUUAUAGAUUAUAGAUUAUAGAUAUAGAAAUGAUAUUUUGUUUUUUAGAAAAAAUUAUAUUAUAAAUUUUUCAUUUUACACUUAAAAUCACAUUCUUACAAUCACACAAAUGGCAAGUAAUUCUAAAAUUAUAAUUUCUUUUGUAUCGUUAUAUAUACUAGUUUAACCGGACGUGCCUCGCACGUGUAACGUUUUAUUAUUUAAAAUUAAAUGAUUUUAUCUAUUGCAGAGAUUUUAAUGAAGUGCAACAGUUUAAAUCACUUUUAAAAGAUUCUUCACACUUUAAUAUAAUAACGUAAACAUAAACAUACUUUUUACUGUAAGCACAUAUAUAUUUUGCAUCAUCACUUUUACGUUUUUUCAUGCAGUACCUUCUUUCUUUACUGCCAGAGGUUAAGAGAGACGCAUCAAUUUGAAUCAUAUUUGUGGUAUGGUUAUUUUUCUUUUUUAUUUUUAUAUUUAAAAUUUUUCCUUGUUUUUAAAGUCAAAUCUUUACAAAUUCAUUGUUAUUACGUACUUAAAACUUUUAAACAUUUGGUACUUUUUGAAUUUUUCUUAUUUUAACGCUUUUAUAUUUAUUUCUAGAUUUUUCAAAUCUUCUUUAAAUCAAAUUUAGGUGAUUUAGAAUUCUAAAAUUAUUGGAAAAAAAUUAGUUGUCAUUAAUUAUGAUGACUUCUAAUAAGGAAAGGUUUUACCAUAAAUAUAUUUAAUUAUUUUUCAACUCUUACAUAUUAGGAAAAAAUAGUGAAAGAUUUUACCAUAAAUUUAUUUAAUUAAUUCUCAACUCUUAAAUAUAAAUAUUAGAAAAAAAUAGUGAAAAUACGAUUUUGUCUAAAGCAAAGACUUUUAAUCAAGGACAAAAAGUUCAAAUUACAUUUUUAAGGCCUUUCACACUUUUAAUAUAUUAUUAUACAUUAUAGAUUAUAGAUUAUAGAUAUAAAUUAUAGAUAUAGAUUAUAGAUUAUAGAUUAAGAUUAUAGAUAUAGAUUAUAUAUAUAUACUAGAUAUGAAAGGCCCGUGCUAGUAUAGACCCAAUAUAUGUUAUUUUUUAGUCUCAAUUUAUAUGAUAGAAAUAAAAUUUUGAUAAUUAAUUAUCUUUUAAAUAUUUUUUUAGAUAUUUUAAGUUGUUAGCUAUUGUAAUUUAUAAUAGUUUUUUGACAUUGUAAUUUACUAUUUUAAAUUGUUAGCCAUUGUAAUUUAUAAUACUCUCUUUGUCCAAAGUUUUGUAGCAUUGAUAGUCUAUUAUAUUAUUAGAAUAAUUUAAGUUUUUAAUUACUGAAAGUUAUAAUACUUUUUCUUCUAUUUCAAUUUAAGUCACACUGAUAUAAUUUCGAGAGUCUAUCAAAUAUCAUGAUUGAAGUUCUGAAGUAGACAUGUCUUAAAUGACUCAUAAUAACUUANNNNNNNNNNNNNNNNNNNNNNNNNNNNNNNNNNNNNNNNNNNNNNNNNNNNNNNNNNNNNNNNNNNNNNNNNNNNNNNNNNNNNNNNNNNNNNNNNNNNNNNNNNNNNNNNNNNNNNNNNNNNNNNNNNNNNNNNNNNNNNNNNNNNNNNNNNNNNNNNNNNNNNNNNNNNNNNNNNNNNNNNNNNNNNNNNNNNNNNNNNNNNNNNNNNNNNNNNNNNNNNNNNNNNNNNNNNNNNNNNNNNNNNNNNNNNNNNNNNNNNNNNNNNNNNNNNNNNNNNNNNNNNNNNNNNNNNNNNNNNNNNNNNNNNNNNNNNNNNNNNNNNNNNNNNNNNNNNNNNNNNNNNNNNNNNNNNNNNNNNNNNNNNNNNNNNNNNNNNNNNNNNNNNNNNNNNNNNNNNNNNNNNNNNNNNNNNNUUUUUUGUUAAAUAUUAUUAAUUUUUAAUACUUAAAUGAAAUAUAAGAAUUAAUUAGGGGUGAUAUAGUAAAAUCACAGCUUAAUACUUAAAUGACCUAUAGUAAUUAAUUAGGGAUGAAAUUGUAAAAUUACGGUUGAAACAACUGAAGCAGAUAUGUCAUAAAUAUCUUAUAUUUUUGUUAAAUAUUAUUAAUUUUUUAAUACCUAAAUGACAUAUGAUAAUUAAUUAGGGGUGAUAUGGUAAAAUCACGGAGGAAGCAGGCGUGACGACUGCCUCCUGCUUCCAAGCCUCUUCUAUGCUUGGAAGCAGGAGGCAGUCGUCACGCCUGCUUCCUCCGUGAUUUUACCAUAUCACCCCUAAUUAAUUAUCAUAUGUCAUUUAGGUAUUAAAAAAUUAAUAAUAUUUAAUAAAACAAAUAAAAUAAACAAAAAAAAUAAUAAACAAACUAUUGAAGUUUUAAAUGAAUUUGGCAUCUUAUAUAAGGUCUGUUUAAAUUUUUUUCACCUAUUUUUUAUAUUAAUUUUGUUAUAACACUUCUAAUAAAUUAUUUCCUAAUUGAUUAUUAUACGUCAUUUAUGUAUUAAAAAAUUAAUAAUAUUUGAUAAAAAAAAGUAAAAUAGACAUUUAUAACAUGUUUGCUUCAGUUGUUUCAAUCGAAAUUUUAUUAUUUUAACCCAAAUUAUACAUAUAUUAUUAAUAUAUAUAAUAUAUAAGUGGUGAACAGGUCUUCAAAGCAGGCACGUGGAAGCUGGCAGGACAACCUCCACCUGCCAGCUUCAAAGGGUUAUUUUCGUAUUUUCGGUAGCUUCUCAUGGCCAUUUCCGUUAUUACAAAUAUUAGCUGUUAAUAAGUGAUUUUCUAUGGCUGUUGCUACACGUGUAUUCUGAGGAUGACAAAGACAAGAGCAAAUAAGUCAUUUGGUAUUGUUGUUGCUACACGUGUAUUUCAACGAUGACAAAUACAACAGUUGCCCUGUGGUAUUGUUCAUUUUCAUGGAAGCUUUGACAAAGUUCAUUCUGAGAAUCCUCUUCUUCUCCUCUGAUAAUCUUGUUGUUGUUCCCAGAUCUUCAAUUUACAUAGUGUAAGUUUUCUUUGUUGUUGAUUUUUGUUCUUCUUUGCGAGUCUACAUGGAUUGUGUGGGAAUUUUUGAGAGGAAAAAAGGAAAAGUUAUCUUGCUUGUGUGAAAAUGGGAUUGUUGCAAAUAAAAUGUUACCCGUCUAAACAAAAGAUAGUUGUUGCUGAUCUACUGUUACCCUCAAAAAUUCAUGAUUUAUAAUUUCACCAAAUUGCAUGAAUACAUUGAACUGUAGCUUGGUGUGAGCUUCCCUUUGAAUUUAUCAGUGAACCAUGAAAAAAUCUUUUGAAUUUUUGCUUUCGGCUCGACAAAUUAGUGAACUAGAAAGUUAGCAUUUUUGCCCGUUUCGAGCUAAGUUAAUUGGGGGUUAUACUGAGCCAAAGUAUAUUUUAAGAAAUUACUGCAAGUUGGUGGAUUGUCGUUAUAGCUAUGUUGCAAACCUUUUCUGCUAAUUGGAGUUUUGAAGUGGAAAUUGCAUGUUAAUACUUUAUCCAUCAAAUAGAGAUCUUCUCUGAGUUGCUGGGAUUUUCUCUAAAAAUAUUGUAGCAUAUGUCGAGAUCCUUCAAAGAUGCGCUACUUUUGAGGAAUCCAACACGGCCCCAUGACAUUUUUUUUAGAGUCUGACCAACAUAGGUUUCCGUUAAUCCUCAGAUGCCAGAUUGCAUGAUGGUUGUUUUGUGAAGAUUUAAAAUGUCAAAGUGUAUAGCUUGUUCUUUCCUGUUGAGCAGGCAAUAUUUGACUUUUGGUUUCGCCCAUUAUUUGUUAUAGGCAAUUUAUUGGUUGGUUCUUUGUAUUUUAACAAGCUCUUAUUUCAUAUGUCUACGUUUCAUGUACACCUUCUCGCUAAUACUGAAACAGAGACCAGCAUAAUGGAUCAAAGGCUCCCCGUGGACGCAAUCACAACAGAAACUACAGACUGGACCUGUAAAGUACCGGUAGUAGACAAGUUCCAGCCUCGCAAAAGCAGCAACUCAUCCGUGCAUUUCCAGACAAUACUUGUACAGGAUGAAAGUGUAAGCUUGCCUCUCUACAUCUGCUUUCCUUGAAAACCAAAGUUCAUAUCCUGAAAUUUAUUGCCUCCAACAAUCUUAUAAUGUACACGACAUUUGUUACCGUCGCAAGCGUAAUAACUUCAGCGACCUAAGAAAUUAGGAAAAAUCGAAUUGUAGCCUCAUCAAGAGAAUAACUGAAAUUCUAAGAACUUCUUACAUAAAUUGUUCUCGCACAUGUAAAAUUUGUUCCCUUCUACUUGACUACAGGAACAACAGGUUUCUAUAAUACUCUACGGCGAUGACAUUCCCAAGUAUGAGAAUUUGUUUGGCCUUUUCGAGACAUAUUUGGUGUCGUGUGCGAAAGUUAGAGAGCCCCGCAGUUACUCAAUACGAGCUGGUACGUACGAAUGGGUGGCUGACAGAUACACAAUCGUCGAGGCAAUUACCAAUAACAACGGAUUGGAGGCACCCCUUCCUGCUCCAACAAAAUUGGAUACAUUGUCUUUCUCAGCUAUCGAACAACAACGUCCAGGUGUCGAAUUUGGUAAACAUCCAUCUUACGUUCUGACCCCUUUUCCCUCAACUAACUAGCCCCUACUAAUCAAAUUAACUGUUAACAUGUUAAUCUUAAUUACUGCAGACUUAUUGGCAGUAGUAGUUAAUUGUAGCGCCAUUCAAUAUACAACUGACCAAAGCAAGCAUUUUCGGGAAGCAAUUGUCAUAGACCAGAGGUGAGUUAGUUGUGUACCAACAACAACUUCACCAACCAUUCUAUUUCCUUGUUAAAACAUGGUUGCACUAUGAUAAUUUUUGCAUCUAUUAUUUCCACCAGCAAGAAACCUUUCCUAUUUACUAUAUGGGGUGAUCUAGCCGACAACGAAGGAGCUGAAUUACUACACCAUCUGCAUGAGUACCCUGUCAUUCUUGCGAGACGUAUAGGCGUAUAGGCGUUACUGAAUUCUGCAGUGGUAUAUUCAUUAGCCAUCUUCUGCAACUCUGCUUUUUUACUUUUCCUUUCUCUAUAUUGAAUUAAAAAAGCUUUCCUCUCUUUCACAUACGCAGCUCUAAGACUAGCAACAAGAUAUCAGUCGACAAUCUCAACAAAUCCUCAGUAUGUGCAGGCUACUACACUGACAAACUGGUAUAUACUAACAUGCUCCCUCUUCGUACGACUAUGCAAAAACAUAUUUUUACUGUUUCACCUAACCUUCUCCAGGGUGAAGCACAACGAGCGAAUGUUGUUGUCUUACACUUUAAGAAGCUCAUCAUCAUCAUCCUCACUAAAUCUUGCGCCAAUUGAAAAUCAAGUGCUAGCUAUAUCAACCAUUCCGGAGCUGUUAUCUACGGUUAGUUUAUCCCAUAACGUAUACAUGUACUCAUUAUUUUCUUACCCAACUAAAGCCGUAUCGCAGAGUACAACUUGUGAGGUCAAAGAAGUUUCUAACAUUAUUUUACAUCAACACUGCAGGUACAAAGUUCCCCCGUGGAAGCAACAUUAUCGCUCCCUGACCGUCCUCAACCAUUUUACCUGCUUGCGUGCUCGAAUUGCAGUCAGUUUGUGCGCCCCAAAACUAAGAAAAUGGUUCGAUGCUUCAACUGUAAGCUAGAACGACAAUUGGUUCCCAGGUAACUAUUACAACUACCAUAUUCUAAACCUUGAACAAGUGAGUCUACUGUCCUGUUUUGGGGAUUUUUGAAUUUUCUUUCUGCAGAUCUCAAAGAAAGGCAUCUUAGCACUUUUCCGAGGGGAAAAGGAUAACAUUGUAAUUUUUACGAGUUACUAAUCUUUCAGACCAUUGCUAAUGUCUCAUUCCUAACACCUUCCUCAGCUCUUGUUUAUCGGGUAGUUUCAGCUAAGUAUUUGUUUUCUUCUUGUAUUCCAUAUUGUUCAGGUGCUUUGGUUGACACCAAUUACCUACCUGAGCUUUCUGUCUCAGCCUCGCUUCUCUACAUCUAAGAAAAUGACCAACUAUUUUAUGAAAGACAAUCUAUCGCGUAGAUAACUUUACCGUUGUCUUAGAGCCCCCUUCAGUUUUUGACUCUUACACUGAUAAACUUGACAUCGUAUUAGAGAAUAUUACAUUUGAGGGAGUUACGUAAUAUCUAAUGAUGGUGGGGAGCCGGAAAGUGACCCUUGAAUUUAGUCGAGCUACACAGAAGAUGCUCUAGACACAGCCUUUAUAAAAAAAAGCUAAAGAAUGAAUAGGGAAAUUCAUAAAGCCAACCUUUACUGCCUCUAUUUUGGUAAUAGAAGAAUUCGUGGUUGUGGGAACUUUUUCCUGCUUACAACAAUUGGUUCCUAGGUAACUAUUACAACUCCGAUAUCAUAUAGACACUCUAUUAUGCACUUUCUUUUCCCUGCCAUCUAUGGUAAACCUUCAAAAAGUCUGUGUUGUCCUGUUUUUGGCAUUUCUGAAUUUUCUUUCUGCUGAUCUCAAAGAAGGGAAGCUUAGCACUUUUUCGACAACGACCUCUUUAUCUCAACAAGAUAGAGGUAAGAUUUACUUACAUGCUAUAGUUCCGCAAAAAAGAUUGACGUGAUUAUGUUCUGGAAUAGUGGCAGCCGAACAGUUUCCAGACACAACCUGUUUAUGUUGACGAAAUGAAAAGGCAAAAUGACAUUUCAAUCUAAUCUUUCUGUUCGUCACUACGCUCCUUCUCCUAUAUAUGUAUCUCACACUAUAUUUAGUCCAUUAGGAUCUGCAGGUUUAUUCAGAUUUCUUAGUGUGUCCAUUACUAAUAGUAAUAGAUGAAAACAUAGCGAUCAAAUAGAGAAAAGACAUUAUAAAAGGGAUAAAGAAAUUACAAGAGAAACUAAGUUGAACGGAAUAAGAAUAGCGUAGAAACAGAGGAAAAACAAUACGCCCUAACCCAAUAUUAAUCUAGAAAUUAUAGAAGAUUAGUAUAAGCAAUACAUGUCCUCAGUGUUAUGGAAUUUUGGACGUGAAGAAUGCAACCUACUGAGCUACUAAGAUACUCGCUCUAUAGUAGGUUUUGAUCCGCGUCUUAAAAGUAUAGUCAAUUCUAGAAACUUUCAUGAUUUUGUCUAGGAUGCCAGAGUGUCAUUUAGAGGAAGAGACACUAGAUCGUUUGAUGCAGAUGCGCUAUAAGAGCCUUGAGCUAGACUUGAAAUGUUAGUUAUCAGUGGAAGACAUUACAUGUUAGGGAAGACGGGCACACAAUCAAAGAGCCCGACGGGGUAACAGCGAAAAAUACCCAAGACUAAACUUUUUCUUUCAACUUAAACCAAGAGGAGACAAGAAAACCAAGCAAAACAAAGUAAUAUGGCAGCAAAUGAAUUACCACACAAAUGCGAUAGGGCAAGAAUAAAGGCAAUCACACAAGACACCAAAUUUACGUGGAAAACCCUUCGGUGUGAAGAGUAAAAAACCACGGGACCAAACCUCCACUAUAAUCAUCAAAGAGUUACAAUAUUUUCCUCCAAAAUGGCCACCAAUCAACAAGAAACAAUACAUAAACUACAGCACCAAACACGAGAGAAAUAAAGGAGUGAAAGCACAAAAAAUGCAGCUACUAUUCGGGAGUGAAGAACAGGAGCUACAGGCCACCAAAUCAAGCUCCGUCUGUUCCUAAUCAAAGAUUGAGAUGAGAGGAACAAGAAGUCCAAAAAUCAGCUCAAUCGGACAAGAAAUGAAGCGGGAAUCAUAAUUUGAAGUUGACAGCUGUGGCUGAAAUUUAGUUGCAAAAUUCAGCUUUGUUUUUCUCUCUUUGGCUGCUGAAAACUCUCUUUUUGUGAUGGUGAAUAAGACCUAAAAAGAUCAAUAUAUAUGCCCCAUAGUAAUGGGCCUAUGAGCAAAAGUGGGUUGGUCCAAAUUGAGCUUCAUUUAUCCACCUAGGAAGGGAAAAAGACCCAAUAACCCAACAAUUCUCCCCCUCCCAACUAUGUGGAGGAGACUGCCCUCCCGGCGAUCAUGCAACAAUCUUCAAACUUCCCUCUUGGCAAAGCUUUAGUCAUCAUGUUGGAACCAUUAUCAUCCGUAUGAAUCUUCUCAAGUUCAAGCAACUUAGAAUCCAACACAUCCCGAAUCCAAUGGUAUCUCACAUCAAUGUGUUUAGACCGACCAUGAAAUGUAGAAUUCUUGCCAAGAUGUAUGGCACUUUGACUGCCGCAGUGAAGUACAUACCUCUCUUGAGCACAACCAAGUUCCCCCAAGAAUCUCUUCAUCCAAAGCAAUUCUUUACAAGCUUCAAUGGCAGCAAUAACCUCAACUUCUGUAGUAGAUAGAGCAACAUAUUUUUGCAACCUAGAUUGCCAAGACACAACUCCCCCUGCAAAAGUAACCAAAUACCUUGAAGUAGACUUGCGAGUAUCAACAUCACCGGCCAUAUCUGAAUCAGUAUAACCACAAAGAAUAGGCUUUCCUGUACCAAAACACAAACUCAGACUGGAAGUGCCACAAAGAUAUCUCAUAAUCCACUUCACAGUAUUCCAAUGUUCUCUUCCCGGAUUAGAAAGAAAACAACUAACAACACCAACAGCAUGAGCAAUAUCCGGUCUUGUGCAAACCAUUGCAUACAUUAAACUACCAACAGCUGAAGCAUAAUGAACUUUCUUCAUAUCUUCCUUCUCAUCAUCACUGGAAGGACACUGCUUCGUGCUCAACUUGAAGUGCAUAGCUAAAGGUGCACUGAUAAUCUUAGCCUUGUCCAUGUUAAACCUUCUAAGUACUUUCUGAAUAUACUUCUCUUGUGAUAACCACAACUUCUUUGCCUUUCUGUCACGGACAAUCUGCACGCCAAGCAUCUGUUUUGCUGGUCCUGUGUCUUUCAUAGAAAAAGACUUACUCAACUCUUGCUUCAACUUUUGAAUCCUAUAAGCAUUAUGACCAACAACAAGCAUGUCAUCAACAUAAAGCAACACAAUAAAGUUGUCAUCAAAGAAUUUUUGCACAAAAACACAAUGGUCUGAAGUAGUCUUCUUUUAAGCCCUGCUGACUCAUAAAGGAACCAAAGUCAUAAAGGAACCAAACUUCCUGUACCACUGCCUAGGAGCUUGUUUCAGACCAUACAAGCUCUUCUUCAAUUUGCAGACAUAAUUCUCUUUUCCCUUGACUUCAAAACCUUCGGGUUGCUCCAUAUAAAUUUCAUCUAAGUCACCAUGGAGAAAAGCAGUUUUAACAUCCAUUUGCUCAAUCUCUAAAUCUAGACUAGCAGCUAAGCCUAGAACCACACGCAUAGAUGACAUCUUUACAAUCGGAGAAAAUAUCUUAUCAAAAUCAACUCCCUUUUUCUGGUUAAAUCCCUUCACAACCAAUCUAGCUUUGUACCGUGGAAUUGGAUUACCAUCUUCGUGCUUCACCUGAAAAACCCACCUAUUUUUCAUAGCUUUUCUGCCUUUAGGCAGCUUAACAAUCUCUAAAUCUAGACUUGCAGCUAAGCCUAGAACCACACGCAUGGAUGACAUCUUUACAACCGGAGAAAAUAUCUCAUCAAAAUCAACUCCCUUUUUCUGGUUAAAUCCCUUCACAACCAAUCUAGCUUUGUACCGUGGAGUUGGAUUACCAUCUUCGUGCUUCACCUGAAAAACCACUUAUUUUUCAUAGCAGCUUAACCAAAUCAAAGGUAUAAUUAUCUUGCAAAGAUUUAAUUUCAUCUUCCAUAGCAUCAAACCACUUUUCUUUUUCAUUCACUUUCUAUGGCCUCAUUAAGACUCUCAGGUUCUCCCCUGUCAGUCAAGAUUACACUCACUAUUACACUCACUGGGAGAAUAACGAGAUGAAGGUAUUCUCUCUCUUAUAGAUCGUCAGAGACAAUUCUCUGGAGCAUCAACAACUGGUUGCUGAUCAACCAUAUCAACUUGCACUGGAGCAUCAACAGCUUCUUGCUGGUCAUUCUGAACAUGAUCAUCAUCUUCAUUAUCAACUUGAUUUUCAUUAUCAUGAAGAUUUUCUUCAGGAUCAGUAGUCAAAGGAGAACUGGAUCAACAUCAACUAGGCUCUCACUACUCUGAGAAUCAACCUUCUCAGCUUUAUCAAAAUAUUCAAUUGUUUGGUCUUCAAAGAAAACAACAUCGCGGCUUUUAACAAGUUUCUUCUCAACUGGACAUAGAAACGAUAGCCAAAUUUAUCUUGACCAUAACCAAUGAAGAUACACUGUCUAGUUUUAACAUCCAACUUUGACCUUUCAUCCUUAGGAACAUGAACAUAAGAUUUACACCCAAAGACUCUAAGAUGAUCAUAAGAAAUAUAAUAUUCUUACCAGACCAAACUCUGUCAGGGACACCACCAUCCAAAGCAACACAACAGUAGUAGAUAAAUUGAUAACAUAAGCAGCAGUAUUAAGUGCUUCUACCCAAAAGGAAUCUGGCAGCUUUGCAUCUGAAAGCAUACAUCUAACCCUCUCAACUAGAGUUCUGUUCAUCCUCUCUGCUAAACCAUUCAACUGAGGAGUCUUUGGAGGAGUUUUCUGAUGCCGAAUAUCCUGCUCUCUGCAAUAUCUAUCAAAAGGACCAAUAUACUAACCACCAUUAUCUGAACGGAUGCAUUUCAAUUUCUUCCAUUUCUGUCUUUCAACGAAGUCCUGAAAAUUCUUGAACACAUCAAGUACUUGAUCCUUGGACUUCAAAGGAAAUACCCAGAGUUUGCGAGAAUGAUAAUCAAUAAGUCACAAAGUAAAGUGCACCACCAUGAGACCUUACUUUAAAAGGACCGUACAAAUCAGAAUGCACCAACUCCAGGAAAUCGAGCUUUUUUGAAGGCGGAUGACUCUGAAAAGAAACUCUUUUCUGUUUACCGGCUAAGCAAUGAACACACUUCUUCAACUUUGCUUGUUUUACUCCAGAAAGCAAAUUUUUCUUAGCCAAACUAUCAAUCCCCUUCUCACUCAUAUGACUUAACCUUUUAUGCCACAACUCUGAUGAAGUAUCAUUCUCCACCAAGUUUAUCAAGCUUUUAGAAGUAGAGCCCUGAAAUACAUACAAUCUUGUCACCUCGAGCCACAAUCAUCGAACCUCUAGUAAGCUUCCACUAGCCAGCACCAAGGGUAUUAACAUAACCCUCAUCAUGAAGACUUCCUACAGAAAUCAAAUCUAGAGCAUGCUUGACAUUAUUAAGAACUAGUUUGGAACCAUUAUUACAUUUCAAACAAAUCGUGCCCGUGCCAAGUACUUUAACUUUAUCAUUAUUGCCCAUUUUCAAUAUCCCAAAAUUACCUGGAGUAUAAGAAGAAAAUAAUUCCUUCUUUGGCGUAACAUGAGAUGUAGCACCAGAAUCCACAAACUAGCUAGACUUAUCGCGAACAAGAUUAAUGGCAUCCUCGCCACAAGCAACAAGAAGAUCAUCAUUAGCAACAACAGCAACACGAUUUUCAUUAUCGCCUUCUUUCUUUUGCCGUCUCAUAUCUCUCUUAUGCUUGUAACAAUACUUCUAACAAUACUUCAUGAUAUGCCCCUUUUUGUUGCAAUAGUCACAUGUAACAUUCUUGAAUUUGGACCUUGACUUGCUUUUACUUUUAUCUUUACAUUUAAAUCUUUGGACUUGUUUCUCCCCCUCUCUUCAGUAACCAAAACAUCAGAGUGUGAAGAUGAAGAAGAUGAGGCCUGAGAUCUUCUUCUCAUCUCUUUAUUCAAGACACCACUCUUAACAUAUUUCAUAGUUACAAUACCAUCGGGAGUAGAAUUAGUCGAAGAAACUCGAAGAGUUUUCCAAGAGUCGGGCAGAGUAUUAAGAAGCCAAAGUCCCUGAAUUUCUUCAUCGAACUUUACACCCAUUUCGGACAGCUGGUCAAGAACACCCUGAAAAUCAUUAAUAUGAUUAGAAAUAGGACUGCCCUCUUUAUACAUGAUAUUCAUCAAUUGUUUAAGCAGGAGCAACUUGUUAUUGCCAGUCUUCAAAGCAUAAAGUGUCUCAAGCUUGUCCCACAAACUUCUAGCAUGUGUCUCAUUUAUAAUAUGAUUUCUAACAUUAUUUUCAAUCCAUUGUCUAAUAUAGCCACAAACCUGUAAGUGCUCAAAUUUUCAAUCCUCAUCUGUGAUGGAUUCAGGUUUAGUAGAUGCAAACACAGGUAGAUGCAUUUUCUUGACAAAUAGAAGAUCUUUCAUCUUGCCUUUCCAAGUAUGAUAGUUACUACCAUUCAAACACACCAUCUUGCUCAUAUGCCUCAUCAUUCAAAUCUACAAUCAACAACAACCAACGCUUUGAUACCACUUGUUAGGAAAGACGGACACGCAAUCAAAGAGCCCGACGGAGUAGCAGCGGAAAAUACCCAAGACUAAACUUUCCUUUUCAACUUGAACCAAGAGGAGACAAGCAAACGAAGCAGAACAAAGUAAUAUGGCAGCAAAUGAAUUACCACAAAAAUGCGAUAGGGCAAGAAUAAAGGCAAUUACACAAGACACCAAAUUUACGUGGAAAACCCUUCGGUGUGAACAAUAAAAAACCACGGGACCAAACCUCCACUAUAAUCACCAAAGAGUUACAAUAUUGUCCUCCAAAUGGCCACCAAACAACAAGAAACAAUACAUAAACAACAACACCAAACACUAGAGAAAUAAAGGAGUGAAAGCACAAAAAUGCAGCCCUUAUUCGGGAGUGAAGAACAGGAGCUACAGGACACCAAAUCAAGCUCCGUCUGUUCCUAAUCAAAGAUUGAGAUGAGAGGAACAAGCAGUCCAAAAAUCAGCUCAAUCGGACAAGAAAUGAAGCGAGAAUCACAAUUUGAAGUUGACAGCUGUGGCUGAAAUUUAGGUGCGAAAAUCAGCUUUGUUUUUCUCUCUUUGGCUGCUGAAAACUCUCUUUUUGUGAUGGUGAAUAAAACCUAAAAAGAUCAAUAUAUAUGCCCCAUAGUAAUGGGCCUAUGGGCAAAAGUGGGUUGGUCAAAAUUGGGUUUCAUUUAUCCACAUAGAAGGGAAAAAGACCCAAUAACCCAACAUUACAUACGCCUUUAUACAGAACACACAUACAUUAAAGACUUCACCUAGAUUAUGUAUUAGCUCAAAUGCCACUGCAAGUAUUAAAAAUGCCUGGUAGUUAGUAUCAUAAUACACUGCUAAGGUUUGCAGUCAAAUGAUAUUUUAUGUUGAAACACUAACAACUGAGUUCCCAUGAACUCAGCGUAUUGAGUAUAGUAAAUUUUAAAUAUAGACAAUUUAAAGUUUCUUUUCACCAAGUCAAAAGCAACUUUAACAAGUUCAGGCAAGUAAGUCUUUGGGUUGAACUACGGUGUAAUACCGUUAUUUAGGACUUACAUGUUUUAAGGUUAACUUAGGAUAAAAUCUAAGAUACAAUGUGAACUGAGAUUGUUCACAAAGGAUAUUGAUAAUACUAAUCAAAUGAAGGCACAUAAUUCACUGAGAUGAAUGUUGUACUUGCCAUGAUGUACGACAAGAAAAUAGGUCUACAAAAAAAUGUCAUGUGUUUAUUCCUGGAUAUCCUCAUUUUGAAAGGCAUUUUUAGAAGCUGAUAUCAUGUACAUGGCUGCUUUUCCUUUUUAGGCUACACUGAACAAUAUCCACCUUCCCUUAUAAACUACCUGCAUUACACCAACAUUGUUACUGAUUGACCAGAAACUCUAUUUGGUCUGAGGAUCAUUCCUCUUCAGGUGUACAGUUAUCUAUCUUGUGCAUGUAUGAUAUCACCAUUCUAAUCUUAUAUACAAAAUUCCCCAGAACUUCCCAUUCAUCAUUGCUAACUCUUUUAUCAAUCAAGCUUCAAGGGAUAUCUAUACGACUCCACCCGCCUUCACACUUAUCUGAUGUUUACUUAUUGCUUCUCUAAUUCCUUAAGUACGAUAGCAAGCACACCAUAAAAUAUGUUCUUACAUUUCUAAUCGUGCCUUUCAUGUACCAUACUAAUCGUGCCUUUCAUGUACCAUACAAACAUCGCAAUCUCAGCCCUCCCUUAAACUUAUAGGUGGCAUAAAGUGGUCAUCUAGCUAAGUGUUUACUGGAAUUUCCAUAGAGAACUCUACAAAAACUUGACAAAUAAUUAAUGCACUUUAAAUAGUACCCCAGCAAUGGGGUCACUUGCUUAUAACAAGUGCAUAGCCAUGCUUUGUAUAUAGAACAUAUUUUAUCACUGUAGUUCCCCCUUCCACUGUUACUAAUUUCCCUAUUCAUGAGCUUAAGUUAUUCUAGACUCUAUCAAUUAUUUUCUUGUAAUGUACAUGCCUCUUUCUUUCAUCGAACACUGGAACUCCAAAAUAAGUGACAGGAAAAUACCAGAUCAACGAUGCCCUGUGUUAUCUGAUUAUGUAAGUAUGUGGCAUUCUUGUUUUUGUUUAUCUUUCGUGUACUAACUUCUUUAUACUCAAUUAAUUUAUUUAUUACCAACUUCAAUAAUAUAGUGUAACAUUUGAAUAGGCCAAAUGAUAUUUGUAUGAAUAUAUAUACCGGAAGCUGUUUCUCCGACUCACCUCCUACUGAAUAUUACAUCAUAAUAAAUUCCUAAUAAUUGCUCUACUUAUACCAGAAAGCGCUCAUGUACUGUAGUGUUCAAACAAGAAAAAGGUGAAAUACUUCUUUCGAAAUUCUCUUCACAAUCCUGAAACAGUCCAAAACAUCCAACCAUACCAUCUUCAGCAAAUUAUGAGUUCUCUUUAGUCAAGGCUUUAAAUGCUUCAGCCAAACUUACUGUCAAAAUUACCUUAACUGACAAAACACACUCCUUUAAAGGAACUCUCCAUGCUUUCGGAGGACUCAAACUACGAAACAUCGAGAUGACUACUGUUGCUUGAUUCGCCUUCACUUUGAUGGCAUCCACCAUGAUCAGCGCCAGUGUUGUUAUGUCACCGCUGGUGCUGCGCUUGUCGGAGAGAAAUUUUUCCACAAAGGUUGUAGUUUGGUGUCAUUCCUAACACCUUCCUCGGCUUUUGUUUAUCUGGUAGUUUCUGCUCAGUAUUUGUUUUCAUGUUGUAUGCCAUAUUGUUCAGGUACUUUGGUUGACAACAACUACCUACCUGAGUUUUCUCUGUCAGCCUCGCUUCUCUCUUCUCUGCAUCUUAGAAAAUGGCCAACUAUUUUAUGUAAGACAAUCUACCGUGAAGAUAACUUUACCGUCGCUUAAAGCACCCUUCAGUUUUUGACUCUUACACUGAUAAAGUUGACAUCGUAUUAGAGAACACUACGUUUGAUGGAGUUACCUAAUAGCUAAUGUUGGUGGGGAGCUGAAAAUUGUCCCUUGAAUUUAGUCGAGCUACACAAAAGGUGUCUGCACACCGGUUUUUGUAAAAAAUGCUAAAGAUCGGGGAUGAAGGCAAAUACACCUACGUGCCGCCUCGGGAUUCUAGCAAGCGGGUGUGACUCGGGGCAAUAUACUAACCUUUGCUGAGCCUUAUAAUUCGGAAUCAGCAACAUGGGAGGCUCGGGCAAGCAUGAACUGAAUUUGAUGUGACCUUUGUUUUGUUCUCUUACAAUAUGUGUUUACGUUUACCUGAGUCAAGUACAUGCAAACUGACAGACAACUUCUGCACUUUAUUUCCUGGAGUACUAAAUAUUCUAUUCUCUGUUUUAAACUCCUACUGAAUAUUUUCGCACUGAUUCACUUCAUUUACGCUUCUCUGUUAAUCACAGGUGCCACUUCGAGGUUAACAUCCUGGAUGCUAGCGAUACAAUUACGGUAAUGAUCUCAGUAAACGCUCGGUGAAAGAAUGUUGUCCUUAACUGCUGAACAAAUAUAUGAACGGGUUGCUGUCCAGUUACACAUACAAUUAACAACGGGAAAAACUCAUUUCCUUAAAAUUUAAAAUUUAGUUCUCAGAGUAAAUAAAACCCCUAACAUUAGACAAAUUUUUAUUUAUCGUGGUGUCUUUUUCCUUUUCUACUUAGCAACAACCGAUAUGUAUUUCCAGCAUAAAUCAGCUGCUCGCUCAUAAAUUAUUUAAGCUCCAACUACAAAAGCCAUUAUUCAGAUUUCCUGAUCAAAAAGCUGGUAUGCUGGCUAUCACCUACUUCACUGAAACCCCACUUUCUCCCGAGGAGACAGGUAAGAGGCAGAAAAUCGACCCACCCACCCCAGUGAAAAAAAAUUGAAGGUACCAAUACUUUCAAAAUUGAAUUUACUACUGUGGGCUAGCUAUUAUGUGACUUAAUUAUGCCUACCUUGUGUUGUAUAUCUAAAUUCCUUCGUUUAUGAAUUUGUACUUUGAAGAUUUGGGUUGAUCGCGUUGAUAUUAGUAGGGCUAAUUAUGACGGGUUGAUACUAAUUGGAUUAAUUAUGUUCAUUGCAAGAACACCACAUAACAUAUGCUUACAUACUUGCUAACACAAAACAGAAAAAAAAAAAACUUAUUAGUAUAUAUAACUGUCAUUGUUUCAAUAUAUUUACAACAUAUUCCUUAGUUAUCAACUUUCUUUAGGCUUUGUUUGCUAGCUAUAGUUAUAUAACCCCUUCUCAUUUUUAUUAGGGGUUAUUGUGAAGAAGUUUGAACUUGAAUUUGGUCAACUGGGGCAUGCAAAUUGUUGAAUAAUUAUGGAAUAUUCUCGCUUUGCAAUUAGCAUGCUAAACUUUCAAUCUUCAGCUAUAUAUCUGCGAACCCUUGUAGUUUCAGAAAGGUUUUGAACCUGCAAUAGCGUCACUUACUGCAUGCAAAUUCUUGACUAUUGUGCAAAAGUUCAAUCUUUACAUAUUUUUUGGUCAACCCUUUCGAUAUCUUGAGGUUCUUAACCUGAAAUAUGAUUAUCUUUAUAUAUCUUCCUGUAAUAUCUUUAUAUAUAUACAUAUAUAUAUAUUAGCGUUAUUAUUCAAAAUGACAACAUCUUACCCUAUGAAUGCUGGUGAUGGUCCUUAUAGCUACUUUAAAAACUCCCAUUUGCAGGUAUUAAUUAAUUAAUAUGUUAAUUAGUGCCACUUAGGUAUUUAGUAGAUAUCUUUUGAUUGACCUUACCUACGUUAAACUCUGAUCUAUUUUAUAAUUGCAUUCAGAGAGAAGUGUUAGAUAAUUCAAAGGAAAUGGUGAGAGAUGCAAUUACUCGAAAGUUUGACAUCAAAAAAAUCAUGUUAUCUUCUUCAAACACAUUAUGUAUUGCAGAUUUUGGAUGUUCAAUUGGACCAAACACUUUCAUUGCAAUGCAACAUGUUGUACAGUCUCUAAAAGAAAAAUACCAUAACACCAACAUUCUUGAAUUCCAAGUAUUUUUCAAUGAUCAUGUCACCAAUGAUUUCAACGCCCUCUUUCGAUCACUACCCAUCGAUCGAUCCUACUAUGCAUUCAGAGUUCCAGGAACAUUCCAUGGUAAAUUAUUUCCAUCGCGAUCGAUACAUUUUGCACAUUGUUCUACUGCCAUACAUUGGUUAUCUAAGUGUCCAGAAGAGUUGUUAGAUGAGAAAUCUCAGGCAUGGAAUAAGGGAUUGAUACACUACGUAGGUACAUCAAAUGUUGAAGUGUUGAAUGCUUAUGUUGCACAAUUUGAAAAAGACAUGGAAAUGUUGUUAAAUGCAAGAGCUGAUGAGAUUGUUGAAGGUGGAAUGAUGUGAUAAUUUCACCACAAUCAAGUGAAUGUCUUGUGAAAUUUUUUGGUUCUAGUCUUAUGGAUUUGGUGAGUGAGGUAAGUAAUGAAAUUAUUCAGUACUCCUUCCGUUUCAAUUUGUUUGUUUUCCGUUAUCUUUUAGUCUGUUUCAUUUAGUCUGUUUCAAAAGAAUAUGCACCUUUUUCGAGUAAAGCAUCUAGUACCCACCUGAAUUAUGAUCAAAUUUGCUAUGACACACUUCAACUUCACGGGUUCUAUUACCCCUUGAACUGAAUUUUAACAUAUUUUUGUCGUAGCCGCAUGACACUUUUUGUCAACCUUUUUAGCUGAUGUUGCAUCUUUGAUGUGGGUCCUAUUUUAUGUAAUAAAGGUGCCACGUCAGCACAAAAGGGUGAGAGAAAUACGCUAAAAUUAAGUUCAGGAAGGUUGUCGAUCCCUAUGAAGCUGGAGUGUGGCGUAGCAACUUUGACCAUAGUUUGAGGGGUAAUAAUAAAUGCUCGUCUCCCUUUUUCCUUUUUGGAAACUUUUAAUUAUAACUUUUCAUAUUAUAUGUUUAAGAGCGCCGUAUUAAAGAACGUUUUGGUACAUUCCAUGCAUGUAUCUUUCAUUUAAGCUUCAAGAUUAACAAUUUCAUGUCACAUCAAAACUGUACCAGACAAACAAAUGAAAACAGAAUGUACUUAUGUAGUUAGUUAUAGCCCAUAUAUACAUUUGUAAUAAUUGAUAUUUCUUUCUUUUUUCCACAGGGAAAGUUAGAUGAAUCUCUAGUCGACUCAUUCAAUGUGCCAACGUAUUUUCCCUCUCCUAAAGACAUGACUAAAGCAGUGGAGAAAAUAAUUGUUUUAGCAUCGAGAGAAUAGAGUUGACGUAUCCCAAAUCAAAGCUUGUGGAAGAGGCUGAUGCAAAGACUUUAAUGAUAAAUCUAAGAGCUGUUUUAGAAGUACUUUUCGUCAAAUCAUUUUGGUAGUGAAAUAGUAGAAGCUUUUCGUCAAAUCAUUUUGGAAGUGAAAUAGCAGAAGCUUUUACAACGACGAUUCUCAAAAGUGAUGAAAUUUCAAUAUGGAUGAAAAUGAAUUACCAGAAAGCAUGUCUAAAUAAGUUUUUGUGAAGAAAUCUAUAUAGUAUAUAAU
rnacentral:lncRNA from 1 species